UUUAGAAUUAGUUAUCUAAAAUGGGAUGGAUAUACCCAAAUUGCAGAUUGGAAAUAUCCCCACCAUUUUAGACACUCAAUAAGGAAGUGCAUAUAUUUUAAUACUUGAAUAGUGGGUUUACUCCUUAAUUAUUUCUAUAUAUGGAUUACUAUUUUACCAAUAUUUGAUUUUUUUUAAUUUGUUACCUAAUUAGCCUCACACUCACUCCAGUAAUUAUUAAAAUUUCAAGGCUUUGGGUUGUCAUCAAUUAAUAAAUCUUUCCGAAAUUAUGCUGGGCAAAACAGUAAAAAAUUGCAAGCUUUUGGUUGUCAUCAAUUAAUUUAUCUAUCUGUAUGAGUACGUGAUAGACCUACAAAUGGUAGAUGUACGAAAACAACUUAGGCUGAUUCUGAAAUGAAGAUUUUAAGGCAUUUCUACUUUAUGCAUCUUUUCUUUCUCUCUCUUGCUGUUAGGACUACAAUCACGUCAUCCUAUUAUACUCCACAUGCUUGUUCCAUAAACGUGCCAUAAUCGCAAUUCCAUUUUGCUAUGUUAAAUUCUUUAGAACGAUAAUCUUGUAAAUAUAUCUUCAAUUUACCCCUACCUAGAGGGAGAAUAUUUAAUUUACCACCUACUUAAAAUAACGAUCUUCAAUCUACUCUAUAAAAGUGUGAAAAUAUGAAUUUAUCCGCAUUUACCACACACACACACAGACACACAUUAGUUUUUUGGUCAGGGAUCUUAAAGUGUAGAAAAGUUUAGGAAAGUUUUAAAACUGCACAGUUUUAAAAUAUUGUGAAAUUAACACUAUAAAACUGCAGGGUUUUAAAACUUUCUCGGACUUUCUCACACUUUAGAAUUCUAGAUUGAAAAAUUUCUAUAUAUAUAUAUAUAAACACACACACACACACACCCAAUCAAAGCGCCCCCUAUUUUCUAUCAUCUUUUGAAUUACAAUUAGGGUAAAUAGAGGUUUUUACACUUUUUCGGAAUAUAUUAAAGAUUGCCAUUCUAUCUAGGGAAUGAAUUGAAGUUCACCUAAUUCUUUUUAUAUAGUUCUAUUUUACCUUAAAAGUUGUGAAUUUUUUUGUUAAGAUUUUACGUUCAAAAUACUUAUUACUCUAUGUCACAAACAAUUAUGUGGAACCAUACGUCUCAUGGGCAUAGUACAAUUGGCCAUGAAUUCACUUUGUACCCGAUCACCCGAGUUCGAUAAGAAAUACUUAGGGUAGGGGUUAAUAUUUAAUGGAAAAGGAUUUUUAUCUCCAUCGAAACCUUACAUAUGCAUUCAUAUCAUUUGAUUGCCCACCAAAAUCGUUUAUCUUUGUUUUUAAUCAAAUUUCAAAUUGAGGAAAUUAAAUAUAUUUGUAGCUACCUACUUCCUUGAGGGUUUAUUUAUCUACUUGUGAUUAUAAACAUAGUUUAAAUAGCUGGCUCGAUGAUGUAUUUCGAAAGUUGGGGUUUCCAAAGUAAAUCUAGUUCACCAAGCAUGAACUAGUAAAUUACUUGGACAAAUUGACAGAUUACUUUGAAUAUUGCUGCUAAUGAUGCUCACCAAGCCAUAUCACACUUUUAGGCACAACAAUAACUUGCAUUCUCAAAUUAUAUCAUAUGCAUUUACGAUUGGUAGUUUCUAAGCAUUAUCCAGUUAAUCAUUUGGACCCGCAGCCUCAGAUAUUUUAUAGACAAAUGCCAAACCAAAUGGAAAAUGAGGUAUAUUAUUUAUGAUGAAAAUACAAGGAAGGUGCCACGGGGGAAGAGGCAGCAGCAGCAGCAGCCCUUUCAUUGAGCUUGGCCAGAAAAAUUUGGUGCAGAUCAUCAACGGCUGAAUCCAUUUGAAGCUGCUCCUGCAGGUUAUGCUCAUCAACAGGGGUUUCCCACAUACGCGGCUGAGUCUCUUUACCCCUCCUCAUCUGCGUCAAUAUCUUCUCCUGUUCCUUCUCCUCGUCCAGCUGGCGCCGCAGCUCAUUGUGCUGCUGAUUCAGCUCGUUAAUUCUCACCUGGCGGUGACCGACAACCAGCGAAUGAAUGUUGUCAUUAGGCAACUGGUUCAUCCCAAGGAAGCGAUUUGCAACAGCCUCGACGGAGGGGUGACCAAAGGUGUAUGGCUUCCCAGAUUGUGAGAACACAACAAUGGCAAUCUCAGAGCCAGUUAGAGUCACAAGUUCACUGGCGUUUUUGUAGAUCCAUGAUCUACGUUUAGAGAAUGUUAUUAUCAUCUCAAUCUUUUGUCUCCCUUUGGUUUUCUUAGCUGCCAUUUCCAAAAUCAAUGUAAUUGGCUGGUUUCUCUUUUAUUAAUAAUGAUUUUUCUGUGCUCUGAUAUGGUCAUUUUUUGAUGAAUUUAUAAGAGGAAAAGCACGUGGAAUUAAUUAGUAUGAGGUCAAGAAUUUCUCUGUAUAAGUUGUUAACUUACCAUACAUUUAAAAUUUAAUAUAAGUCUAUAAAGUUACUAAAUGAGGUACGUUAAACUCUAAACAAUUUAAUUCAUUAUUCACUAUAAAGACGAGUGUGUCAAGUUGCUCAGUAAGAUACCAUAAGCUCUAACGAUUUUAAUUCAUUAACAAUUAUGAAGAAAAUAUGGUAAGGUAACAACUUAGAAUAGUUAUACAGAUUUGUGACCUCCUAACUAAUUCGUUGUGUCUUUCCUUUUACAAUUUCAUCAGAAAAAUGACCAUGUCAAAGGGCAUGAAAACCACUUUGUUCAAAAAAAAGAAAAAAAUAAUUUAAUCAAUCACUUUGAUCCCGGAAAUUGCUGAUUGAGCUUAUUAUAUAUGGUAGUAAUGCCGUGUUAUUUGCAGCAAUUGAGGGAAAAUCUUGUAGAAGUGCAUCUGACAUUUUAACAAAUUAAAAUGUUGCUCUAGUCUGUACUAAAUACUAAUUAUAUAUCCUCAAUGUUUUCUAAAAUGUAAAAUAAUUCAUGAAAGUCAGAUUUCAUCCACCAAAAUCUUUUGGUGUGUGUAUUGGCAUGCAUAGGUACUUUACAAAGAAUAAUGUUGGAAUCAUAUGUUAGACUUGUUGUUUUGUGCCCUAAAAGCAAGCGAUAAAACAACAAUUCCUGAAUUCCAUAAGAUUUAUUUAUUCAUUAUUUAUUUUAGGGUAAAAGCUCGUUUAAUCCAUAUAUUUUAAAAAUAUCUCAAAACAUUCCUGCCAUUACUUCUUUUUCCUUUUGACUUACUUUUACAAUAUUAUCCUCUUAAAAUAAUGUUUCUUUUUUUUUGACAUUAAUAAAAAGAAAUAAAUUAAAUUAUCAAUUGAAGCCUAAAAUAAAAUAGAAUAAAAAAGAACAUAUAUUAUUUGUUGCUGAACACUUUGUUGAUGAGUAAAUAUAUUAGUUUUUUUAUUAUUGUCCAAAAAAUUGGUAGUUUAACUUUUCUUACAAUAUUUUUUUUUGACAUACAUGAGCUUCCACAAAAAUUAAUAUAUAUUCUUUUGUCUUUAUUUUAUUUUAUGUAGUUUCUAGCUAUAUAUUACAAAAAGAAACAUUAUUGUAAGAACGUAAUAUUUUAAAACCAAGCCAAAAGAAGCAAAUAGUAAUGGCAUGAUUGUCAAUAAUUUAACGCCAUGAAUGUUUUGAGAUAUUUUUAAAACUACAAGGACUAAACGGGCAUUAAUCUCAAAAUAUAGAGACUAAACAAGAUUUUACCCUUUAUUUGAGCACUACAUUAUCAGCCCUUACUCAUAAAGUAUGUGAUUAUUGGGCAUAUGAUGUCAAUAUUAGAAGAUAUAAAUCACAAGUUCUUUAUAAAUAAAAUAUUGUGCACAACUAUUAAUGAAAUGGGCAUUUCAUACACAAGGCUGUAACUUUCUACUUCUAUUGUGAUGAUUUUAUCUUGAUCAAUGAAGUGGAGACUUAGAGUAGAAUGGUUAAUAUGUAUGUGUUAUAUGCAUAUUGAACUAGACUAUACUAAUUUAUGAUCUAAUUUAACAAAUAUCGUUGAUUAUAAUUUACAUAAGCUUUAAUAAGCUUAAUUGAUCUUAUACUUGAGUAGGUAAUGAACUCGCGUUCAUUUAUUGUUUUUUUUUGAGUUGUGAUGGAGUAAGAUCCAUAUAAACUGUUAAAGCCUCAAUAGCUUGGAGAUGUAAUUUCGUGGAUCAUUGGAACAUAUAUUUACAAGAUGGAAUCUAUACUAAUGAUGCUUACCCAAGUUAUUUGUGAUACUUGAUCAUUUAAAUUUGUUGCCAUAGUUUAUUCAAUUAAUUAUUUAUUGAAUAAUAAUAUUUAUUUUAAUUUAAUUUACAAAUAUAGAUAUAUUGAAGAUAAUCACCAGAACAAAUAGCGACCUAAGGAUUAUGUAAUUACAGAGGCAUGACAUUUGUCAUAGGCCUAGCUUUAAUUAUGAGCGUCAGAUAGAGGGUCAAUUAAGUGGUUAUUAUUGGUCUAAGACCAAGGACAAAAUUAAUUAAAGAGUAAUGAUACUGCCACAAACUCUUGUACAAACUGACGUGGUAUUAAUUCAUUGGUUGAAUGAAAAUAUAAAAUAAUAAAAAAAAUCAUGUGGGCCAAGUGAUAUUUAAUUCAACCAAUCUUAUUAUGCCACAUCAGUUUGUACAAAAUAAAUUUGUACAAGAGUUUGUGGCUAUAUCAUUACUCUUAAUUAAAAGGAGUUUUAAUUAAUUAGGUUUUUAUUUAAUUACAUGGUUUACUAGAGUGCAUGGGGUUUUAGUGGAAUAGCCUGGGUUGACUUAGUAGUUUCAGUGUGUCAUGAGAUGACUAGGCCUUGACUGUUAAGUUGGAGCUAAAAAGUCCAUGGGUCUGCAAUUCCUUUACUAGCUAAAUUCAUGUCAAACUCUGAUUCUAAUAAAUACCUAUGUAAAAGAGAGGAAAUUAGAACGAAAAUAUGAUUUAUCGUAUAGAUUUUCUUAAAAAAGAAAAAUAUAGCUUUAGGAUUUUCAUCUCCUAUAUAGACUUGUUGAGACGGUUGGGGAUAAUAGAGAAGACUACAACCAUAUUAUAUAGAUCCCGACAACGGCAGUGUAAAAGAUUACAGUCGACUUCUUCAGAUCUUCAACAAGAAAUCAAGGUAUUUCUCUAACCUUGUGCAUGUAUACAUAAUCAAGAAAAGUUCAUAACUUUGAUUGAUUUUAUAAUAGACAGAAAAAUUAUUUUUUUUAGAUUUGAUCAACCAACAUCAUAAGCUCUUCGUACAUAUUAUUUUGUAUAUACACUGAAGUGGCAUAAUAGUAUUGAUUAUGUGGAUUAAACUAAUACUGUAUCACAAAUGUUUGUAAAAUAUAAUUUGUAUGAAGAAUUCGUGGCAGAUUCUAUACACAGAAAAAUAUUACGUGCUCUCUCUCAUUUAUAGAAUUUUGUCAUGAGCAAUAUGAGUCAAGAAUUCAAUUGGAGACAAUAUACACAUCGAGAGUACUUAUUAUUUUCUCUCAAAAUAAUAUUGAAUAUGUUUUUUCUUUUGUUUUUUUUAGAUAUGUAUUGUUGGAGAAUGAAAUGCAAAUUUGAUCUCUCAACUGAGUAUUACAAGUUGGUUAUAGACUCAGAGAUAUAGCGAUAUGUUGGUUGAAGCCUCCAAGGAGGCUAUAUGACAGGCUUUUUGACACGACCCGCUCCGACCUACAUGUCGGAUUUGAUGCGAAUCAUGCGGAUUAAUAACUAAAUUUUGUGGUACAAAUUUAAUUCAUGAAAAUAUGUAUAUUAUAUGGCCUUUUUUAUAAACACAUAACAACCUCUGUGCCUUUUCUUAAAUCAUAUAUGAAUUCAAAACUUGCAUAGAUCAUGUCUCAUUGUACAUACUGACAUUACAAGUAUAUUUACAUAUAAAAUAUAAGCAACAUAAACGUGCUCAAAAUGCAAGACAUGCAGCAAUGCGUCUCGUGGACCACUUCAAUUAACUAUAACUAAUCUGCACGAAAUCCUGCGGAAUCCUAGGAGGAAAGGGGUAAAUAGAAAAAUAGUGAGCUUGCGACUCAGUGAGUGGAUGUAAUUAUAAUAAUAAUAAUAAUAAUAAAUAGUGUACUAGUGCUUAUGCAUAAUUAUGUAACAUAACUCCACAUUGAAUAUCAUACAUCAGCAAACAUGGAAUUCAUACAUAUACACAUCACAAACUAUACCAAAUAGUACCCAUGGGAAAUAACUCUCAAUACUCGUCGGGAUCAUCAUUGCACGAGUAGAGCGGGGGAAAAACCUCUCAAUACCUGGCGUAAUUAAACUAUCUUGCACGGGUAGAGUAACCUAACUCCCAAUACGCAAGCGUAGAGUCUAUGGAGAAUGGUACAUAUAUGGUGAUUUGCAAUCACAUCUUAUGACUCAAUCAAACAUAUAAUAUGCAUACAUGUAAUCAUAAUAUGGUAUUAAAUCAUAAUAUCAAACAUAAAUGCUGCACAUAAUACAUAAUAGUAAUAAUAGUAUCUACUCACAGAUCCUAUUUCACUCCAGGGUUCGUUGUGGGUCUCUAAACUCGUGGAUUUUUCCUAGAAUACAGGGUUCAAAAUUAACUGUUAGAACUGAUAUAUAAACUUAUACGUAUCAUGCAAACUGUAACAUAACUGCUCAAAUUUCAUAAAUCUAUUACCCACUGGUUUGCUGGAUUUUAAUCUAACUAUCCAAUUCUAUUUUCUGUAACUUUUCUUUUCAGUUACUCUCUUCCCCACUCUCGACUUCUUCCUUUCUUCUUUUCUUUUCUUUUUCCUUUUCUUUUCUCUUUUCUUUUCUUCGGUUUUUAUUCUUUACUUCUCUCGGUUUUGCUUUCACUUUAACGAUGGAAGCACAAAUGAGAGCUGCUUUCAAUUAUUUCAAUUUAUAUAUACAUGGCCACCGACUCACGAAUGAAGCAUGCAGUCAUGAAGCAGGCAGCUGGCUGUUGCUUUUGAAGAUUACCACGCUUGGCCUUUUUUUUUUUCCUCCAAGCGGUGCGUGACACUUUUGAUAUCAGCUGCGUGCAUUAGUAACACAUGUGGCCAAGCACAUGAACAUCUUAACCAAAACGGCAGCUAAGGUUGGCAUUUCAGCAAAUAAGGUUAAUGAGACAUAGACACAUGGUCAUGGGCAAUUUUAAAAGGCUGUUGAAGGUUGUUAUAAGCGCGGGAAGUAGCUGAGUUUAUUAUUAAGCUCAGGGGUUAUAUGCCGACGUUUGGGGGAUCUUUCUAGAUUAGUCUCGUCUUUUAUAUAUAGGGUGCGUUUGAGAUUGAGAUUCUGUAUCUUUUAAGCUACAGCUGCUGUGGAAAAAAAGUUGUAACUAUUAAACAAAAGUUAGUAAUAUAUAGUAAAUGUAAAUUUUAAAUAAUAAUUUUGAUAAAAUUAUUAAAGAUAUAAUAGAUUUUCCAUUAUACAAGUGAAAAAUCAUAUCAAUAUAACUUCCAAACUACAGCAGCUAGUGUUUACCAAACACUUUAGUGCUGUACCUUUUAAGCUAUAGCUGCCCAACCUCAAUCCCAAACGCACUCAUAGUCACAUACUUUGACAUGUCAUGAUGUUGAUUCAGUUAUAUCUUCUUUGUAAAUUUGUAUCUUGUAAACUCUCAUUCAGUGAAAGGUUGGUUCAUCUUUUCACAGUGGAUGUAACCAUAUUAGUGGCCGAACCACUUUAAAUUUGCCUUGCGUUGUUGUUCUGUUGUUGAUCUUACGUUGAUUAGUUUUGCUUAUCUUGGUUAGCUUAAUCAUAAACACCAAGAUUAGUUUGAUUGAUUGUUGUUUUAACAUCAAGAAGUGAUUAGAGUGGAUCUUGGAGAGCCAAAUCCAAUGCUGCACUGGUUCUUGGUUCUACAUGUAUAGUUUUUAAAAUCAAUUUAGUUGCAUUUAUUUUUUUGUCUGAAAUCUGAAUAGACUUAAAUUGCUUGGAAUUCUAAGUAGACUAAAUGUCAAAAUUUGACUAAUAUGUUUUUUUGGGUCCGUGUUUCUGAAAAUAAGUAUUGAAUUGUUUGUUUUUUCCACUUAAAAAACUAAAAACAUGUACUUUUACAUUUGUAUCCUUAUUAAAUUUGAAUAUCAAAUAAAGAAAAUAAGCAAACACACACACACACACACACACACACAUAUAUCCUGAAGAAAAUAAAUACCAUAAUAUUUUAACAUAUAUAAGCAAAAACAUAUUCAAUUGAAUAGAUAAUGAUUUUGGAAUCAUAAUAUAUAAAGUACCACAAGUUUCAGAUUUUAUCACGACUUCUCAAUAAUAGUACAUAAUAUAAGAUAAGAUUAUCAGUGAGUAAAUAUUUAUGGGUGAGUUUUGGAAUAGGCAUGAAAAAUAAUAUAUAAUAGGGAUAUUUUUUAGAUUGAAAAUUAGUUAGCUCAUUCAUAUUUCUCUAUUCCAAAAAAUUAGCUAAUUUUAUUAAGUACAAAUUAUCUAAAAAGUCCCAUUAAGUUACAGAUACAAAUACCUCUACUUAACUAAAUUAAUUAAGUCAAGUCUCUUUAAGUCAUUAAAACAAACAUCCUUUUACUUAAUUAUUAGUCUAUUAGUAAAUGAAUAUAUAUAUAAUUAUUAAAAAUCAAUUAUUUAUAAUGUAAAAAAAUUUAAAAUUAAAAGUACCUUGUCAUCGUCAACACAGCUAAUGGGUACCAUCACAUUGAGUUGCUUGAUUGGUAUCAGUUGCGGCCCCACCUUUUCGGCUAGCUCUUGUCAGAUAAAAUUGUGAGUACUUCCAGAGUCAAUAAGUACUGUCACCACCUUUUGCACCAGCCUUCCCAUAACUCGCAUCGUUUCGGGAGUUUGAGUUCCCACCAUGGCAUGGAAGGAAAUUCCAGGUGUUGUCUCAGUUUGUUCAACUACCUCAUCUCCUUCAAUCUCCAUCUUGAUAUCUUUAUCACUAUCAUCAAAGUUUGCUUGAAUUAGGAACAACCUUUUGCAGCCAUGGCUAGGGCUGAAUUUUUCAUUGCAUUUGAAGCACAACCCUUUCUUUUUUCGCUCGUUCAACUCUUCAAUUGUCAUCUUUUUUAUUGGCACACGAGGCAAGCUUGGGGGUGCCACACUGCGAGAUUAAGAACUCCCUUUUGCAGCAAAGGAGGAUUUGCAUCUAGAGAUUUCUCUUGCUUCAUAUGACCGAGCCAACCCAAUAGCUGAAGUCAAGCUAUCUGGUCGAUUGGCUUGUACAUCGGUACGAAUUGAUUCACACAAACCGCUAAUAAAACAGCUCACUUGGCGUGCUUGAGGUAGAUGCCCGACUUUAGCUAAGAGUUUCUCAAAUUUACUUUGUUAUUCCUAUACACUUCCAAUUUGCUGCAAUUUGGUUAGCUCUCCAAAAAAAAUCAAGAAAUUUGUUAGGACCAUACCUUGAGUGAAGCCCUUCUUUAAAUUCAUUCCAAGAUAUGUAAACUGCUUCUUGUUUCAGUAGUUGGUACCAUAAUUGUGCAUCGCCCUCCAAGUGAAAUGAGGCUAAAGAAACUCGAUCAGCAGCAUGAGUUUCAUGGAUUUCGAAAAACUGUUCAGCUCUGCAUAGCCAGCUUGUUGGAUCCACCCCACCAUCAAAUCUUAGAAAGUCCAAUUUUACUGGUUUUGGUGCAUAGUAGUGGCUGGAACUUGCUUGAGGUGUGUUGUCGUUGCCCUUGCUAUGUCCUCUUUGGACUUACUGAGGAAUCGAAAAAUCUUCAGCCUUAUCGUUAGCUGCUUGACUUGAUAAUUGAUCUAUCCGUGCAUUCAGCUUUUCAAACAUUAAGUUAAUUUGGCUGAGGAUUUCAUUUUGGUUAGUGGUUAGUGACUCAAUACCUUUUUCAAUCUACUCCAUUCUUUGAUCCAUAGCCAGGCUCUGAUACUACUUUGGUACAGGCAAGCUAUUUUUAUUCUGCUUGUCUCUUCCUAUCUUGCCUUUGCACUUGGGAACGUUGAUAGUUGGCUAGUUCGAGGAAGCCAAUCCCUCCAAGAUAUACACAAGUAUUUUUUUGAUUGAAUGAUUCAUGACUUUAUUAUUCAACCAUGGCUAAUUUAUAGAAGCCAAAAAAAAAAAACAGAAACAGGAAUGAAAACAAAAUAAUCCCAACAUAUCAGCAACUAGAUACUAAGUUGAUAAUAUCUCAACUAACUUAGACUUAUUCAGUUGGGCAAUACGGUGAAGUUUUUAACUGGGUCGGAUGACGAGAUACUGAGUCUGCGAUCGGCAAAAGAGGCACGAUUUAGGCAUACAUUCCUUGCUGAAGUGGUCCAUUAUGCUCAACGUAGUGUCAUUUUGAACCAUGGGGAGUUGCUCUGAAAAUUAAAAUAGGAAAAUCAAUAACAAAAAUAACAAUACAAAUAAAAAUAAAAGAAACAAAAGAACUAUGGCAAAUAUUAAUUUGUUACAUAACAAGGAAUCAGAACAAAGGGAAACUUUGACAUGCUUAAGCUCUAAUCAAUCUAAAUCCCUAGCAAGAAAUUCACAAAAAGAUGAAUCCAAUUGCCCUUUUUUCAUAAAACCAUAAAUAUUUUUUAUUUUGUUUAUUUUCUAGUAUUAGAAUUCUUGAAGUCUGAACUAGGUCUGAGCAAAAUGUUAAAAUAUUUAUAGGGAAAGGUGCGUAAUAUACACGUAUGCAUUUGUGUGCAUGUGCCUGUGCACAUACAUAUAUAAAUGUAAACAAAAUUAUAAUCUUUUAAAAUUUUAAAUUGAAGAAUGUUAUAGAUAAGUUAUUUCAAAUUUGCUUAGUUAGUGAAUAAUAAUAGAACAACAGUAUUUGUAAUCACAUAAUGUCAAGAAACAAUUAAAAGAACAUUUUUCUCGGGAAAUUUACAAAACAAGCCAAAAAAAGAAGGCAUUUUUCAACUUUAACCCCUCAAAUUUUUUUCUUUCAACAUUAGCCAAAUCACCACAUUUUGGACGAAAUUACCCUCCUCAUUCUCACGUUUCCCUCAAGCAAAUUCCUUCCCCUCUCACCAAAAUCUCAUCACCGGAAGUUCUAUAGAUUGUCGGCGGCAGCGUACAUCGGCAGCGGAGGAAGUUGUUGGCACUUGAAAGAAGCUAAAUCACGUUGAAAAUCUUCGGAGGUCUCCAAAAUCAAAGAAAAAAAUUGAAAACCCUAGGUGAGUUGUUAUUGCCAUUUUUCUUGUUGUUGUUGUUGCUGUUGUUGUUUGGGAUGUUGUUGUUGUUUGGGUUGUUGUUGUUGUUUGGGAUGUUGUUGUUGUUGGUGGUGUUUUAAUGGCGGUGGUGGGUGAGAUGCAUGUGGGAAAGGGAAGAGAAGAGAAAGGGGGGAAGCUAACUCGCACUGCGUCGCACGCGAGAUGCGCGCGCAGUGCUGCCUUAAUUUUUUUUUCUUUUGUUCAUAAUUUUUUAAUGUGUGAUACUUUUAACUUGUACCAGAUAAAUGGGCAAAUCAAAAUUAGCAUUGCAUAACCCACCCGGACCGAUUAAAGAACCGGGAAUGAUGAAGAUACCUUAUGUUGAUCACUUCCCUGGGCGUAUCACGAGUAUGUGCAAAUUAGAUGUCGUUGUUAAUGCCAUCCGGGAAAAAUUAACAAGGCAACAGUUGAAGCUAUUCAAAGACGAUAUAUUUGGGCAUUUCUUACAGUGCCGGAGCUAUCCGUUCAGUGGCGUGAUUGUGCACAAUAUAUUGCUUCGGCAAGUGUCACAUGGCGAUGGAAAUGACAAAGAUGAGUUAUGGUUUCAAGUUGGCGACCAUUUGAUACGGCUAUCGAUUGGAGAGUGGUGCCUAGUAACGGGACUUUGCUAUGGCGAAAAAGUAUUCCUGACGAAGCAUAAAACAAAUCAUAGGUUACUUAAUAAGUACUUUGGAGGCAGGAUUCGCGAUAUAAAUCUUGGCCAGUUCGAGGACAUAUUUAUGAACUUACGCUUCAAGACUAUGAAUGACACCGAUGCGCUAAAAAUUGCCAUGUUUUACUUUGCUGAUAGAGUGCUACACGGAAGAAAGGAUCAUUGUCAAAUCAAUUUCAAUUUACUUAAUGAGGUAGAUGACAUAAAUCAUUUUCGAAGUAUUCCGUGGGGUCGUUUGUCAUGGGAAACAAUAUAUAAAAGCAUUGAUAAUGUAUUGAACGGCAAAGCCAAAAAAUUUAAGAAGGCAAGCGCAGAAAAUCCAUUGCAUAGAAUUGAGAAAUACAACUUUUACGGCUUUACGUCGGCAGUGCAUGUGAGUGAAGAAGUUUUUUUUAUAACUUAGUUUUGUUAUAAUAAAUAUUUAAUGACACGUUUUUUUACUUCAUAUCUUUCCUCGUUGAAGGCAUGGAUUUUUGAAGCGAUCGAAGGACUACCAUUAGAGUGGGUAGAGAAAAUUAAGAGGAAGGGUGCUCGGAUCGUGCGAUGGAAGCCUGUGGCUUCUUCAAAUAUUAAUUUCGGCGAAGUGUAUUCAUACCUGAACGAGCGUCUUGUAAGUCAUUUAUAUGUAUGUCUGUAUAUAAGUAUUACAUAAUAUAUGGUUAUACUAAUUGGAAAUUUGGUAAUCUUUACGACAGGAUGACACCAUUUUCCAAACCCUGAAACCGGAUGCAAAGGAGAGAGCCACAAAUUAUUGGAAGAGUGUCGAGGAUUACGUGCCAUAUUUGCCAAGUUGGGUCCGUAAUGUGGGUAUCAUCUAUAGUAUCAUUGAAAACCAGGUGCAAAGUCAUUUAUAUGUUUGUUUUUUAGGUAUUUAUUGUUUUCUGUUUUACUUGGUGCAGCACCAGCCUUCAAUCAAUGCGCCAUCCAGUACAAGGCCAAACGAGGUGGAUCCUGACCCCACGAGCCCAAUAGGACUGGAGCAGAGUCCUGUUGAGGAUGCCGGUGCUGCCGACGACCAUUAUGAAUCCGCACAUGAUUCAGAUGACAGAAAUGAGCCAGAGGUAACUUCUGUCGUCCUGAACAUUUACAAUGCACAUAUACCUAUCCGACAUUUUGUCAUUACUUUCUUAUUUGCGUAAAUUGUAGGCAAGGACUAAGUUCCGCAAUGAUUAUUUCGUUGGACGACUGGAUAAAAUAGAGUCUUCCAUUCACGAGUUGAGGUCGGAACUUCAGACUGGACACAGUUCCAUUAACGAACUGAGGUCAGAACUUAUGGCGGAACGCAGAGAAGCACAACAAUAUAGAGCAGCGGUCAUGGGGUUUAUGGCUUCGUUUGGCACGGGUGCUCCAAAGGGCGCGUACGGUGAUUCUCCGUUUGGCCCCGCACCCUCGGUGAGCAAGUUUCGUAUGUUUUCGUUAUGUUAUUGUUAGAGUGCAAUUUAUGCACUAGUUUUGCAUUAUUUACUUCCCUUAAUAUCAAUGUUUUGCACUUAAUAAUAGUGAUUUACUUAUGUUUUACUUUUGUAGGUGCAAUUCUAUUGAUUGAUGAUAAAAUUGAGCUAUAAGAUGAUGUUUAAGGAUGAUUAUUCUCUUGGAGAAAUUAUGAACGUCAGAAGAACUUUGUUGAUAAGGCGUGGGCGCGUGCUGUCAACUGCGGACCUGCAGUUUUUAGUUUAACGUGUUUUGUAUUUUUGGUUAUUUUUGUAAUUACGAAUUUAAUAUUUCAGAUAUUAGUAUUUUAUUUUAAAUAGAAUUCUAAAAGAGAGGAGAGAGAGAGUAUUUAAGGGAGGAAUCUAUUGUGAAAAGGGGGGAUUUUUGGAUUGGAGAAAAAGAAAGAAACCCUAGAUCUAAUUUUUCUCUUCUCUCUAUGAGGAACUAAACCCAUUUUUCUGGUUGAAGGUUAAUGAAGCUUUGAUUCAUCACUACUGUGAGAUCUUUCUUGUGCUUUAAUUGUUUUAUUGCUUUUUGGGUAUUUGUUUAUUCUCUGAAUUAGUUUCAUGAUUAUGUUUGUUAAUUAGGUAAUUGGCCACUAUUUAAUUAUCAACUUAAUCUAUUGUCAAUUAAAGGAUUCAUCGUAUGAAGAAUUUAAUGCUUGUGACAAAUAACAUAGCAGAGAGUUGUGUUGUGAGAAUAAACAAUCUAAUUUAAAUGAAUCAUCAUAUGUGUUGAUUAGGAUUUGGGUCUCUCUGGUUUUUCAGGCUGUCAAUUGAUUAAAUUCUAUGAUCGUAUCUAGGGUUGUCUAUUGAUUAGGGAAAUAACCAACGGUCGUACCUUGGUUAUCGACUAGUUAAGGAGAGAUUGGCUAUUAGAGGGUCUCAGUAGCUAUAACCGGUCUAUUCAUGAGUAAUAAUAAUCUAUAUUUGAAUCAAUGAUCAGUAGUCGAAUCAAGCUGAGUUAAUUCCUUCAACCAGAGCUUUCUCCAAUUUGAAUUACAACUUUAAUUUGCAUUCUUGUUAUUUUAAUUUGAUUUUUAUUAUUGUCAACAAUUCCCCCAUUUUACGUUUUACGUUUCAAAAGGAUUUAAAUAAUUACCGAUCUCUGUGGACACGACCCUGCUCAAUCACUAUACACAAUUUAUUUAGAGUAGGAAUUUAUUUUUGUUGGCUUUGACAACCAUCAAAUUUUGGCGCCGUUGCCGGGGAUUGGUGUCAUUUAUUUAAUCCUUUUUACGUUUUACUUGGUGUAUGGUUCGUUCUUCUCGUACAGGUACACUUUCGUUUGAUCCUGAAAUUGAGAAGACAGCUCGCCAGCUGAGACAGCAGACAAAGCGAGCUAAGCAACGAUCCUCGUCGCCUUUGCUUUCUGAAACAGAUACAGUGCCUGAUUUAGUUGAAUCAUCUAGCGAUUCAGAAGAACAAGUGAUGGAUAGACCUGCACCUGUAGAAAGAACUCUUAGAGAGUUAGCUGAACCAGACUUGAAUCAACAACCACUCUGCAUUCAAUAUGUAGACUUGGAGGUAAAUUUAGAAUUAAAGUCUGGUCUUAUUCAUUUAUUACCCAAGUUUCAUGGUUUUGCAGGUGAAGAUCCUCAUAAACAUCUUAAGGAGUUUCAUGUUGUGUGUUCAAGUAUGAGACCACAAGGCGUGACUGAAGAGCAGAUUAAGCUGCGUGCUUUUCCGUUCUCUGUGGAUGGGCUAGCUAAAGAUUGGUUGUACUACUUGCCUCCUGGAUCGAUUACAACGUGGAAUGGUUUGAAGAAGCAGUUCCUCGAGAAGUACUUUCCUGCUUCAAGAGCUGCCAACAUCAGAAAAGAUAUUUGUGGGAUCAGACAACUUCCUGGGGAGACUUUGUAUGAGUAUUGGGAGCGAUUCAAACAAUUGUGUGCCAGUUGUCCUCAGCAUCAAAUUUCUGAUCAACUUCUUAUUCAAUAUUUUUACGAAGGAUUAUCAUUGAUGGAUAGGAGUAUGAUAGAUGCUGCUAGUGGAGGCGUGUUGGUGAACAAGACCCCUACUCAAGCAAGGGAGUUGAUCUCAAAUAUGGCUGCCAAUGCACAACAAUUUGGCAGCAGGCAAGAUGCCACUUCAAGAACGGUGAAUGAGGUAAAUAUUUCUUCAGUUGAACAACGUUUAGAUAAACUCACUUCUCUUGUGGAAAAGUUUGUUGUAGGUAAUGUGCAACAAGUGAAGACUUGUGGUAUUUGUUACAAUAUGGGUCAUUCAACUGAUAUGUGUUCUACACUUCAAGAAGAACCCGUUGAACAAGCCAAUGCAGUUGGAGGAUUUCCAGGCAUGCCUCAGAGGAGGUAUGAUCCUUAUGCACAAACAUACAAUCCGGGAUGGAAGGAUCAUCCCAACUUCAGCUAUGGAGUUAGGCAGUCAGGAUUCCCACAACAGUAUCCACCAAGACAACCAGCACCUCCACAGUCAAACUCCAAGUCAGGUAUAUCUCUCGAAGAAAUUGUUAAAUCACUUGCGACUAACACACAACAAUUUCAGCAGGCAACUACAGCAAGCAUUCAGAACUUGGAGAACCAAAUGAGUCAAUUGGCGACUACAGUGAGUCGUCUGGAGUCUCAAGUAUUAGGGAGAUUGCCUUCACAAUCUGAGGUGAAUCCAAAGCAAAACGUUAGUGCUGUCAUCCUUAGAAGUGGGAAAGAGUUGCAAGAGCCUAGUAAGAAAGUGACAAAGUAUGUAGAAGAUGAGCUUGAGAAGAAUGAAUUGAUGCCUCAAUCUCAAGAUGCGCAACCCACCAGAGCGAAACCCCUACCUAUUGUGAUACCUCCUCCUUUUCCAAGCCGGUUUGCAAAAUCCAAAAAGGAGGAACAAGAGAAAGACAUCCUUGAGACAUUUCGCAAGGUUGAGGUAAAUAUUCCUUUAUUAGAUGCUAUAAAACAGAUACCUCGAUAUGCUAAAGUCCUUAAGGAACUAUGCACCUCUAAGAGAAAAUUAAGAGGAGAUGAAAAAGUUCACAUGGGGGAGAAUAUUUUAGCAGUUCUUCAAAAGAAACUACCUCCUAAGUGCAAGGAUCCAGGUAUGUUUACUAUUCCUUGUAAAAUUGGUAGUGUUAGAAUUGAAAAGGCUUUGUUAGAUCUAGGAGCUUCUAUUAAUGUCAUGCCUCGUUCUAUUUAUUCAUCUUUGAAUAUUGGUCCAUUAAAAGAAACUGGCGUGAUAAUUCAACUAGCCGAUAGGUCUAAUGCAUAUCCUGAUGGGGUAUUAGAAGAUGUCUUAGUACAAGUUAAUGAGUUAGUUUUUCCUGCUGAUUUUUAUGUACUUGAUAUGGAAGAUGAUAACUCCUCUAAUUCUGUCCCAAUUUUGCUAGGAAGACCUUUUCUUAAGACUGCUAGGACUAAAAUGGAUGUACAUAAAGGGACUCUCACUAUGGAGUUUGAUGGAGAGGUUAUAGAAUUCAAUAUGAAUGAUGCCAUGAAAUAUCAUAGUGAUGAACAUUCAGUAUUCUCUGUGGAUGUUAUUAACCCUAUAGUGCAGGAAGUUUUUUACAAGAAAAAGACGAAGACAUUUCAUGAUAGAAUGAUUUUGAGAAAGGAGUUCUCUGUUGGUCAAAAAGUUCUUCUUUUUCAUUCUAAACUUAAACUUUUUCCGGGUAAAUUACGUUCUUGCUGGGUUGGACCUUUUAUUGUUACUAAUGUUUUUCCUCAUGGUGCAGUUGAGAUUCGGAGUCCGACCUCUGACAGAGUUCUUAAGGUUAAUGGUCAUCGCUUAAAACCUUUUUAUGAAGGUUUUUCGGUGAAUAUCGUGGAGGAUGUGGCUCUCGAGAGUCCCAAUUAUGGAGAUUGAUGCAUAAAUGUGUCUAGCCAAAGACAUAAAACAAAGGCGCUUUUUGGGAGGCAACCCAAAUGAUUUAUUUAUUUUGGUUUUUGUCAUAUCUUCUUUUAAUUUUGAUUCAGAUUUUUUUUUUUAAAAAAUAAUGUGUUUGCUUAUUUUGGUCAGAAGAAAAUUUUUGAUAAGGCGUGCCCACGUCUUAACUAAUAAGUACUUCUGUGAUUUUUAACGUGAAAUGGUUUUAAGGCGUGCCCACGUGCUUAUUAGAAAAGUACUUCUGAAAUUUUUUUUUUUUUUUGUGUCUCAAAGUGGUUCAUCAUAAAAAAAAAUUAUUUAUUUAUUUAUUUGAAAAUUAAAAAAAAAACUUUUUUUCUUUUCCUUUCUUUUCUUUCUUUUUUAUAUAUAUAUUUUUUUUAUUUGAAAAAAAAAAACGAAAAAAAAAAAAUUUUACUGUUCACAAAAUCCCUAAUUCACAGAAUUGGUUUUCUUCUCCAGCCUUCACCGAGCAGCCACGCAGCACCAGCGAUCCACCAUCGCGAACCAGCCCACGCAGCAGCAGCAGCAACUGUGCGCCCAGCCAGCUCCAUCCCACGCGUGCGCAUAUUCAGCCUUCACCGAGCAGCCACGCAGCAACCCGCGAGCGCAGAUCCAGCCUUUGCCUAGCAGCGCGCAGAACCAACGUCAGCCCAGGUCUCACGUGCAAUCAACCCCAGCGCGCAGAUCCAGCAACCCACUAGCGCAGCAGAACCAGCCCCAGUAGCGCGCAGCAUCCCGCACGCAACCAGCAUCACCAACGCGCAACCAGCAAUCCCCCAGCGCGCAGCAACAGCCGCAGCACGCAGAUCCAGCGUCACCAGUUCGCAGCAUCAGUCCCAUCCGCGCGCAACUGAACCAGCAGCCGUGUACCCGCAAGCUCCAGUCGAGCAGCAAUAGUCCGCAACCAGCCUACGACCUGCAUUCCAGCCGCGUGAAUCGAAAUCUGUGACAAGAUGGAGCAGAAUUUGGCCGCAUACUUCAAGAGUGUGGGAUUUAUCCCACCAUUCCCGCCAAGCCCAUAGACGUUAUGAGGAUCAAAGCUCACAAUUCAGGGAAGUUUUUGCCUUUAAUCUUUUAUCCUGACGCUUUAAUUUUUAUGUGAGCUUUGAUUAUCUUACAUUGGGGACAAUGUAAGUUCUUGGUGUGGGGGAGGGAUUUUUGCAUUAUUGAUGUCUGGAAUUAUUGUUUUCACUCUACUUAUUUUAUUUUUUUUUUCACUCUACUCAUCCUUAAAUGAUUUUGGAGUUAGUAUGCUUUAUAUAUUAUUAAUUUUCUUUUCCUUUAUCUCUCACUACUCUUUUCCCAUCUAUCUCACAUUAUUUACAUCUAUUUUUUUUUCUAUCAUACUUUUUCAUCACUCACAUUUUAUCUUUCAUUUUUUUUACUACAUACAUCUUUCUUGCUUAUUAUCCUUUUUACCUUUCCUUUUAUAUCUCACUCAUACCUUCUUCUCAUUCUACACCACUAUUGAUGGUUGAUUCAUUUGAAGAGUGUACAGGAUUUGAUGGUAAAUUUACCAACUUUGUGAGGAUUUGAGCCUAUGAGCAACCACUUUGCUCUAAUUAUUUUUGUUAUGUGAAUAUCAAUCCUAGUUUGUUUAUUCUAGAACUUGCUUUAUUAUGCAUGUUGAAGCCACAUUACGAGAUUUUAUGCAUUAAAAUGAUAAGGGCAAACCAUUUACCAUUUUUCUAUUCUCGCAUUUUCCUUUUUCUCUACCCGAAGACCUUUAUUUGCUAUCUUUGUUUGAGCCUUAACCAUUACCCAUCUAAUUCUCUCCGUCUACUUAACCAUUUUUCUUCUUUUUGAGCCUCAAUUUAAGGAGAUUUUUGGACUCAUUGUGUGGAUAUAUUUUGUUGCUUUUUCUACCUUGUAAUAAAGUUUCUCAAUUAGAUCAACAAGCAUUAUGCUUGAAUUAAAUUGUGCAAGGUUCGUUUCUUUUGUUUGAUUAAAAAAAAAAACAACAAAAAAAAAACAAAAAAAAAAAGAAAAAAAAAGAAAAAAGAAAAAAAAAAGAAAAAAGAAAAUUUGAAAAAAAAAUCGAAAUAAAAAAUGUUUACAUUCUUGGUGACUUGAGUAGAAAUAAGCAUUUUGAUAUCAUAAGUUCAUUCAAUGAGUUCAUUCUUCUCGUUUUGAUCUCUUUUUCUUUCGUAAACCUUUCUUUUUCAUUUAACACAUUUAACCCCAUUACAACCCUUUUAAGACCCUUAGAUUUUUGCAUUUUAUUCAUGUUUUGUGGAUUGAGAUGUGAUAUAUGAGCAAGCUUAUGGUAAUAGCAUUCUUUGAUUUGAUUUGAGUGGAUAAAUGACACCCUAAACACUUUGAGUGCAUGGAGUGAAGUUAUUGAGAGGGCUAUUACAUCUUGUUGCACUUGAAUUUUGAACGAAUCUUCUUGGUGGUUGAAUGUUCUUAUUCUAUCUUAUGAAAUUCUAUGCUUUAAAAUCCUUGUCUCUCGAACGUUGAACGACUUAAUUUCUUGAGGUAUGCUUGCUUAAAAUUAUUUUUGGAUGAGUUGAGAUGAGAAUUUAGUGGAGAUUUGAGAUUAGUCUUGAGUUAUAUGCUUGAGGACAAGCAUCAUCUUGGUGUGGGGGAAUUUGUUAGAGUGCAAUUUAUGCACUAGUUUUGCAUUAUUUACUUCCCUUAAUAUCAAUGUUUUGCACUUAAUAAUAGUGAUUUACUUAUGUUUUACUUUUGUAGGUGCAAUUCUAUUGAUUGAUGAUAAAAUUGAGCUAUAAGAUGAUGUUUAAGGAUGAUUAUUCUCUUGGAGAAAUUAUGAACGUCAGAAGAACUUUGUUGAUAAGGCGUGGGCGCGUGCUGUCAACUGCGGACCUGCAGUUUUUAGUUUAACGUGUUUUGUAUUUUUGGUUAUUUUUGUAAUUACGAAUUUAAUAUUUCAGAUAUUAGUAUUUUAUUUUAAAUAGAAUUCUAAAAGAGAGGAGAGAGAGAGUAUUUAAGGGAGGAAUCUAUUGUGAAAAGGGGGGAUUUUUGGAUUGGAGAAAAAGAAAGAAACCCUAGAUCUAAUUUUUCUCUUCUCUCUAUGAGGAACUAAACCCAUUUUUCUGGUUGAAGGUUAAUGAAGCUUUGAUUCAUCACUACUGUGAGAUCUUUCUUGUGCUUUAAUUGUUUUAUUGCUUUUUGGGUAUUUGUUUAUUCUCUGUAUUAUUUUCAUGAUUAUGUUUGUUAAUUAGGUAAUUGGCCACUAUUUAAUUAUCAACUUAAUCUAUUGUCAAUUAAAGGAUUCAUCGUAUGAAGAAUUUAAUGCUUGUGACAAAUAACAUAGCAGAGAGUUGUGUUGUGAGAAUAAACAAUCUAAUUUAAAUGAAUCAUCAUAUGUGUUGAUUAGGAUUUGGGUCUCUCUGGUUUUUCAGGCUGUCAAUUGAUUAAAUUCUAUGAUCGUAUCUAGGGUUGUCUAUUGAUUAGGGAAAUAACCAACGGUCGUACCUUGGUUAUCGACUAGUUAAGGAGAGAUUGGCUAUUAGAGGGUCUCAGUAGCUAUAACCGGUCUAUUCAUGAGUAAUAAUAAUCUAUAUUUGAAUCAAUGAUCAGUAGUCGAAUCAAGCUGAGUUAAUUCCUUCAACCAGAGCUUUCUCCAAUUUGAAUUACAACUUUAAUUUGCAUUCUUGUUAUUUUAAUUUGAUUUUUAUUAUUGUCAACAAUUCCCCCAUUUUACGUUUUACGUUUCAAAAGGAUUUAAAUAAUUACCGAUCUCUGUGGACACGACCCUGCUCAAUCACUAUACACAAUUUAUUUAGAGUAGGAAUUUAUUUUUGUUGGCUUCGACAACCAUCAGUUAUUAUGAUUUCAAACCCGAACUUAUGUUAAUAUGUUCAUCUCCUCGAAACAACAGGCCCCAGAAUGCUAUGGUCCGAACGUUGAUGCUGGCUAUGGUACGCAUACUGAUGCUGGUAAUGACGACGAGCACACCCCUAUGUCCUUGUACAGUCAACAUGGGGACAUAUGUGAUGACAGUGUACAGAUAUUCACGGAGGCACCUCCCGGCGUUAGUAAGUUUGGGCGUCCGUACCGACCGUCGUAUAUAUUUGGCAGUCCUUACUUCAUUCCUCCUUUCAAGAGAGUUAGGAAUGUCAGGGCUCUACCCGCACUCAACAUUACGGACUAUGAAAUUGAUGAAAGAUCGAGUGUGGAUAUGAAUCCGCUUAGGGGACUAGAAGACUCAAGACUAUGUGAGGAGUUUGAUCAGUGGUUUGCCGGCAACAUUGCCGUGGAUCGGCCCGUCCAACAGUCUAGAAAUUUCUUUGAAAUACUCAUGGGCAAUGCUUCGAUGGGGUGGCUUGGUGACGAGGUAAGCGUGUUUAAUGGUCAGUACAUUACAAUACACAAUAAUAUUUCUGCUGGCAUGGAUAUUGAUAUAAAUUAACUUGGUAUAAUCCCUUCACAGCAUAUUCACACGUAUUACCGUUUGAUCAGCGAGAAGCAACGGCGGUUUCCAAAUGCACUACCACAACGCGUCACGCAUACAGAUACAUACUUUUGGGCAUGUUUUUAAAUUUUAUAAUCAUUAAUUAUAAUUUCGAUGUUUUAAAUAUCUCGAAAUGUUAUUAAUUUUCUACUCAUCGUGUAAUAGGUGUUUCUAAAGCAAUUAUGGAACAAUGGUAGUUGUGAUGUCAAUUCAUUACAAUAUGGCAACAACUUGAGCAGCUAUAUGGAUGGGCGGGAAGAUCUCAUGUCCAAACCGUUUACGGAUGUCGAUAUGGUAAGAAUUGUCACUCAAUCUUAUGGUAAUUGUGUAUAAAAUAUACUAAUUUACCAAUUUAUUUAUGUAGAUAUUCAUCCCUGUGAAUUUGGGCGGCGAUCAUUGGGUACUAGCUCGAGCGGACCUUCACGCGAGGAGGAUGCGGAUUUACGACUCGUUGGUUACCUUUCGCGAGGACAAAACAUAUUUGCGUAAAUUCAAACCUCUUCAGGUCGUCUUCCCUCAAUGGCUUCAAGAUGUUGGAUUCUACAACCUUCGAUCUGAGCUGCAGAGUGCCGACCCUUGGAAAGUAAGAAUCAUUAAGGAUGUGCCCCAACAAUCACCUGGAAGUGGUGAUUGCGGUGUAUUUAUGUUGAUGUUUACAAUGUAUUUGAUGUUCGGGCUAAAACUUGAUUUUGAUAGUAGCCACGGGCAUUACUUCAGGAAGAAAAUUGCUGUAGAUAUAUUCACGGGCGAUAUUGCCUUGUAAGUCGUUGUAUUGUAUUAAGACUUGAUGUAUGGAUGUAGAUUGUUUUUCUAAUAGAUAUAAACUUUUGAUAUAUUCAUAUAUUUAGCUAUAAGUAAUUAUUGAUCAACUUUAGUACUCAUUAUGCAAAUGAACAUAACAUAAUAUACCUCAUUACAUAUAAUUGUAAUAUAAAUUAUAAUAAGAGUUCAUAAUCCAUAAUUAGUUACAACGACACAGUCAGUUUGGAUUUGACACAAUGGGAUUUUUACAUCUCUUGCGGUUAUGACCUGGUUGGUUGCAUCGACUACAUCUCACAGUUCUUCGGUUAACAUCCUCACCGAUAGAAGGAAUUCUUAACUCUGGACGACGACCAGGUGGUGGUGCUUCGAUCGGUGGGUUAACUCUGAUUUCCUGGAUUUCUUCUGGAAUGUCCCAAUCUGUCAUGUCCCCAACCGGUUCUACUGGUUCUGCAUAUGCCAUGACCAAUGAAUCUUUAGAGUAAUAAUCAGAGCAAAGACUUAUGUAAUCCACACGGACGAUCAGACAAGCAGCAAUUGCAUGCGCACAAACAAGCUGAUCGAGUUGGAAUACUCUACAGGAGCAAGUUCUUUCAUGAAUGUCAACUAUCCCUUCCUUCAUACCACCACCCAAAACAUGAAAUCGAUGCUGAGACACUGGCCGAACGGUCAUUCUUUCGGCCAAAAUUCUCCUUUCGCCGACUAUCUCAUCUGCCCACGUCGUUAGACGAGUGCUCAUCGAUUCAGCGACAAUUUUCCUAUCAUAAAACCAUUGCUGUAAUGUUUUUCUAAAGUGAUCAACAAGAUGAGUAAUAGGAAAUUUUCGCGGUUCCCUCAUUAAAGAAUUCACGCUUUCUGCAAUGUUGGUGGUAAGUAUGCUGUAUCUCCUACCUUCAAAUUCAGACCUUGCCCAAUUACACGUGCCCACAUUAUUCUCUAAGUAAUCAGCCGCGGCCGAGUGGAGCAUCCACAACCCUUCAAGUUGUCUUUUAAAUUCUUCGUGUCCAUAUGCCUUUGCUGCAUUAAUAAAAGCUGGCUCGAAUUGAUCCCAAAUAGCUUUGGACAUUCUGAAUUUAGACUUAAUGUUGCCUUUGACAUGGUAAAAACAAACUCCAUGACUAGCAGUGUGAAAUGCUUUUAAAACGGCUCGCUUGAUGGCAGUGCAUCGAUCAGAGAUAAAUACUAACUCUGGCCUAUAGCCAAUCACUCCGUGUAACUUCGUCAUAAACCAUUCCCAAGUAUCAUUGUUUUCUGAAUCCAUGACCCCAAUAGCUAACGGAUACAGUUGAUUAUUACCAUCCAAACAUGUUGCUACAAACAUGCUUCCACGAUAUAGCCCCUUCAAAUGAGUGCCAUCUACAGCAAUCACAGGCCUUAUGUACUGUGUGAAGCCCUUAAUGGAAGAUCCAAGCGCAACAAAGUAGUAUAAGAAAUUAUCAUCUCCAUCCCGCUGGAGGUGUGUCACUGUGCCCUCAUUCGCUUUGGUCAAAACGUGAGAGUAUUUGGGAAGUAAGUUGUAUGACUCUGUAGGGUUCCCUCGUACUAUUUCAAGACCGACUUCUUUAGCCCGAUAUGCUUGCUGAUAUGUUAACUGGACCCCGUAUUCUUGCUGCAUGUCUGUUCUAAUGUCAUUCGGCGUGUAUAUCCGUUUAUCUUGAAUAAAUUUAUCCGCAAUAAGAUGGCCAACAACCCGACUCCUAACUUGGCGGAGGCCACUAGGCAAAACCUCAUUAGAGCACGUAUGAACAUUGUCAACUCUUCUCACUACCCAAGGAACAUUAUGCUCAUCCGAACCUCUUGUUGCGCGAAGACGCCAAUUACAUGAUUCCGAAGAACAAUGAGCCUCAAAGCGUGUCGUUGUGGACCGUGCAAUCUUGAAAUCAAAUUUUUCCCGCAAGGCCACUUUGCGCAAUUCCAGUAUUAACUCAUUCUUCUCAACGAACAACUUUCCCACACCAAUGUCGGCAGAAUUACAGCUUCUAACUAAGUCUGGAGCAACCAAGUUUGAAGGCAAAACUGGAGCAAGACUCACCAGGGGAUCAACUGUUGUCCUCCUCCUCGAACGGGCCAUCGGAGGAAUAGGUCGAUUCUCUCUAUUGUUAACAGGAAUAUCAUACUGAUGCUCAUCCUCAUUAUUGAUAGGAAUAUCGGAAUGACCAGUGUCCCUAUCAUCAACUUCAGUAUUGGAGUUCAUGCCUUGCACAUUAUCAGCUUCUGUGUUGUUGGUGUUAUAACCAGGAUCAUCAUAACUGCGGAACUCAUUAUUUUGAAAUGGAGAGUAAUGUUGCCCUAACAAUGUCCCUAAUGGUAACACAUUAUCUUCAACAUCCGCUAUCGUAAUGCCAUUAUCAUCAAUAGUGUCAUUGUUUUCGUUGACUGGUGAGUAAUGUUGUUGGAACGACAUUUGUUGUGGUAACACCUCUUCCUCAAUAUCAGGGACAGACUCGUUUGCUCUAAACGAACUUUCACUUUGCACAAGUGGCUCAGGAUUUUCGGCCGGAACUCGAGGAUGUGUGGUGACAAAUAUAGGGAUGCAUCCAUAAUUGACCACAUCAGAGGCCAUGUGCAGCACAACAUUAACCAUUUCAUCAUUAAAUAUAUCCAUAGGUAGUGAACAUGCACGAUACAUUGUGUUACUAGAUCUCAAAGUUGUCUUCAUCGACAAACUAUAUUCAAUAGGAUUUAUCUGUAAAACUUCAUACACCCUUGCCAUAAAUUGCUCAAACGUACAAUCUUUCCGAACUAAAAAUGCUGUAUUCUUCGCAUUCACGUACUCCGUACGGCCAUCUGCUAAUGUCUCCCACCAACCGUCAUAACAUAAUUGAAGUACAACGGAAUCCAUUAAACCUAAAAAAAAAACAAAAGAGAUAAGAUUUCACGCUACAAAACCUAGUAAAAAUGAAUAUGCAGUACAUUUAUGUGGAUUAUAUGAAGUAUACAAUUUUUGAUUUACUUCGUCUCAUCGUAAGCUUCGAAAUGAUAUAUUAUACGCCUAAAACGGACACAUGUAGCCCAAGUUAUUACUUUCGGAAAAUAACUUAAAUUUAGUGAGACAGGCAGUGGGACAGGUGCCUGUCUCACAUAAAACCAGCAAAUUUAUGUGAGACAGGCGCCUGUCCCACUUGCCUGUCUCACAUAAAACCAGUGGUAACAAGUGAGACAGGCGCAUGUCCCACUUGCCUGUCUCACAUAAAACCAGUGGUAACAAGUGAGACAGGCGCCUGUCCCACUUGCCUGUCUCACAUAAAACCAGUGGUAACAAGUGAGACAGGCGCCUGUCUCACACGCCUAUCCCACUUGCCUGUCGCACAUAUUUUGGUGAGACAGGCAAGUGAGACAGGUGCCUGUCUCACUUGUUCUGGGCUUCUGUUUCACUCGAUUUUUCAAGGGUUUCAAUGAUUGAUUUUCAUUUCUCAACUCAAACUAACUACUUUAACAAGUCACAUUGUUUUGUUAAUGAAAAAUAACAACAUUUGCAAUAAAAACUCACAUCAAUUUCGAACUCAAAUGAUAAAAUCAAUAGAUUAAAAGUUUAGGUUAUGGUAAGAGUAUAAACUAACCUUAAGAAGCUUUCCAAUUGAUAAUUAUAUCUUCAAUUAUGUAAUACUUGUUUGAUGAAAUUUGCUAAUUUAUUGAGAGUAAUGGAGUUUGUUGAGUGAUGAAAUUUGUUAAGUUGAAAAGGGAAAAAUGGUGGAAGUGCUGGAAUUGAUAAGGGAAAGUGGCAUGCCUUUGUAAAUUUGAUGAAAAUGAUGAGGGUAAUGUAGUCCAAAAAUAGGGUGUUUGGCCAGUUAUGAUAGAAAAAAGUUUGAAGGGUUAAAGUUGAAAAAUGCCUAAUUUGUUUGGCUAUUUUUGUAAAUUUCCCAUUUUUCUCUGAGUACAUUUAGAAAAACGAGUUCUACCCAAUGAUAUCAGCGAAGAAGAAAAAAUGUGACUGUGAAAAGGUUAAUACACACACACACACAUCCAUCCAGACAUACACAUACACAUAUUUGGCUCAACUAUGCUUCAUAAUAUUACGUUCAUAUAAAAUUUAACUGUGAGUAAAGUAUAUUGAAAAUGAUGAGAUUGUAUAUCGUUGUAAGAAAUUUUGUGCUGAAAGAGGAAAAAAAUGACUAAUAGCUUACCGACAUAUAAUAAAUAAUGUGAAUAAUUUGAAAGUUUUGUAGCCAUAUAUCUAUUGUAAUUUUUUAGUAAAUCGUUUGAUUUUUAACAUCGUAAAAAUUAGUAAUUUAUAGAAAAAGAAUAAAUAAAAUAAAUUUUAAAUCAUGAAUUUGAAAUAUAGGGGUAUAAUUAUCUUUUAAGAACUUAGAUGAUACAUUUCGAAAACUUAUUUGGGUUUUUAAGCUCAUUCCCAAAAACAAAGAUCCAACUAAAAAAAUACCCGGAUUUUAAUUUUAACACCUAAUGAGCAAAUGCGAACAUUUAAAUGCUUCAAUAAUGAGUUUUGUUCCUUUAUUACUUCUAUAUAUAGAUCGUUAUUUUUACAAUAUUAUUAGAAUUUUUUUAAUUUCUUAGCCAAGUAGUCUCACACUUACUCUUGUAAUUAUUAAAACUUUAAGGUUCUUAAAUUUGUUUCAAAUAAUAAAAUGCUUAGGAAAAGAACAAAAUUUGCAAACUUUUACAAGAUUUGCCUUCAAUCCUCUCGGUAUGAGCAGAUGGAGGUUUUAGCUGUAGCCGUUCAUGGUGAAUUUAGAAGUACUAAAAGUCAUUUGAAGUUCCCAAAAUAACCUUAAUUAACAAAUUAAAGGAUGGGGUGCUAAUAUGAUUAUUGUUUCUCCUUUAAAGCUUUGAUAGUGACAGUAGUAACUCUUAGUUGAUUUAUUUAGAAAAUAUCUGAUAUAUUUGAAUUUUCAUUGUACAACAAGGAUUUGGGUGUAAAUUACUAUCGGAUUGCCAAAUUUGAGAACUCAAGGGUUACUUACUAACUGCAGAGGCAGAGCUCUUUCGCUUCUCAAAAUUUGCAUUCUCUGGCUUAGUAGCUGAACUGCCCGUCAAAGGUACAUCCUUUUUCUGAUUACCCACUUUAUUAUUGUUGUUGUUAUUAUUAUUAUUAUUUUGUUAUGAUUGUGUGAACUUAUGAACUCAAAUAAGAGUUUGUAAAUAUGCUUCAUAUUUUAAAUGGGUUUGUUGGAUAUUUUAAAUGGGUUUAUAUGCAUUAAAAAGCAUUCUAGUGUUGUUGAAAGGCGGAUGAGUAAGCAAAUUAAUAUGAUAUGAGGAGGAACGAUGGAACUUUUAUUAAGAAAAUAGAUUGCCUUUUGCAAUGGUAAAUGUAAUUCUAAUUGCCGAUUUACUGCUACUGAGCUCAUGAAAGCCACAAACAAAUAGAGUUGCUGGGAUGUUACACAAAUACAACUUCCAUAUCUCUUUAAAUUGUACCAAGGUUUUCUCGAGGACCGUCCAAUUUUAGUGAUGAAGUUUGCAGACUACGAAGACCAAUGUCCUUUUAAUAGCAUUAUGUUUGCAUCACAAAUGUGUCGUAAAAAUACUUGAAAUUCAUCACCCUCAUGAAUAUAACAGAACCACAUUUUAAGUCUUUAAAAUUGAAGCAUAGGCUAAAAAUUGCAAGAAAUAUAUUGAAGAUAACGGAUUUGAUAAGAGUAGCCGACCCUGUGAUUCUUGGAGACAGACCAUGUGGUUAAAAAAGUGUUAGGAAAUUGAGCUUCCUCCCAAGAUCUCUCCAAGCAAUUUAUCAAGUAACAAAUUAAUAAGAAAAAUUAAAUGGAGAAUAUACCAAUCACACAACACAUGAUUUACGUGGAAAACUCCAAAUCCGGAGAAAAACCACGGCCGUUGUCGAGAGACAACUAGAGAAAAAAUAUUCACUAUGUGAAAAAUUAUUACAACCACACUCUCAGAAAUAAUUUUCUCUCACCCACAAGAACUUUAUAAUUUUAAUUCCUUAAAAUUACUCAAGCUCUAAACUUUGUUUCUUCGCAAAACUGGAUGCACAAACCAAAUGAGCAGCAUCCCUUUUUAUAGCCAAAAUUUGCUAUUAAAAUACUAUUAUAUUUUCCACCGCCAUUAUCUUCUUCAACUCUUCCUUUUUCUUCUUCCUUGUCAAAGUUGUUUGCUUCUUUUCUUCAUUCAAAGAUUUGAAUGUCAACAUUCAAAGAUUUGAAUGUUGACAAUGGCUGACACCCCAUCUAGAAGGGCGGUGCCAGGUUAUCUCUUUUCACAAAAAGAUGGAAUAGUGGAAGCAGCUUGCUAUUAAAUGUGUCUCUGAAUCAGCAGAGAAUAGGCCGACAAUGGUUCAAGUGGCAAAACGACUUAGAAAAAUGUAUCAAUUAAUACCUUCAAUUUUCUCUGGAUUAACUGUAACUUAGCUUUCACUAUGUGUUUAAAAUUAAUACACAGGGGGAGAACUGGAAAUUCCUGUUUUGUUUAUGGGUCUUUCCCUUUUUUAUCUUGUUGAUAUUUCAAAUGUUUGGUUGUUUGUGGGUUUUUUUCUUUUCUUAUAGCACAUCGAGGAUCACUCCGCUUGAUUUAUUACUGGCUUAGGUUUCAAAUGCAAGUAGAUUUAAUCAGUUGGAUAUUACACUGUUGCUUAGCUCAAGGAUCUAAUAUGCAUAUUAUUUCCAAAUUCGUGCAACUGUUGCGUAACUAUAUCUGAAAAGCUACCGCAAAAGAUAUCUUUUGCAAUAUCGUGUUGUUUUAUUAACAAUGAUACACGAUUGACAAAAUUCCUUUAGUUUAAUGUUACCAACUUAGCAACUCUCUGCAUUUUUGAUUGAAUGGCGGAUGAAUGAUUUAGAAUAUGUUUAAAUUUCAAGUCAAAAUUUAAGUAUAAAACAGUACAUUUUAUAAAUGCACACAGUCAAUCAUCUGAAACAAAUAGAUGAGCCUUUAGCACAUGUUAUGUCUGUGGCUUACUUUACAUUGCAUGUCAACAUUAGACAUGGAAAUUUGCAUAUGGUUGACUGGGAAGACUUGCAAAGAUAUCAAGUUUCCCUUUAGUUAUUUGAAGUCUUGCUUCAGAUUUUGUACACACAUGCCAAAUUUGGAGCUUCUUUCCCAAACUUGUAAGUGCCAUAUCUCCUUCAUCUGAACACUGGAAUUGGCCACCCAAAGGUACAUCUUUCAAUGCUCUGCUUCAUUUUCUUCAAGUACAUCUGUGUGUACGGCGCCAUGCUUUCAUUUAUAUGCUUCUAAUGUUACAUUUCUGGAAUCAGAGUGAAAGAAAUUCUAUGAAGAGUAUAAUUCUUGUUCUGUAAUUUUAAUGAAAUUUACAGAGUUAUUUAUACAAAAUAAAGACAAAGUAGCCGUUGAAAGGCUUAAUAAUAUUAAAGGAAAAUAAGUAACUUCCUAAACUAUUGCACAAUAUCUUUAUAAAAUAGGAAUGAAAUAUUCCUACAUGAUAUUGGCAUUCAAGUGUAAAAAUCGUGCUGGAGAUAUUCCUUGACAAAUAGCUUUGACGUGAGCAAGCUGUGUGGAGUGAUAAACCCUUUGUUGACUUGACCGUUGAUGACUUUCCUUUUGGUAAUCUUGGUCAGCUUGCUUAAUGUUGAGUGUUAGAAAAUGCAUAUUUAUAAAGGAGAAAACCGUCAUUUUACAUUUCAAGUCUUACUAACAACCCUUACUUUUAUGUAUUUAACCUUCUUGUUAUUUAAUUACAUGUGUUUUAUUUUAAUUAAGUAUUUUAUGUAUUUUAGGGGCAUCAUAGUCAUUUCACAAUAAACGAGAAAUCAGAUGGCAAAACGGACAUCACUUUUGAACUCAGGACGGUCGAAAACCUUAGGAGGAGCAUAAAAGGAAAAAUGGCACUGUUCACUUGUACGGUACUAUUCACGUGUACGGUACUGUAUACGUUACUGUUCACGACACUGUUCACAUAGACGGACCGAUGACGUGGCAUUGACUGAUGAGGUGUCACGAUCCUGUUGGACUAAAAUUCUUAUAUACUGUUGAUGGUGACGUGGCAGCAUAUCAGUGGACGAAAAAUCUCGCAUACGGUGCAUGCAUCACACAGGAUUAUUUUCAACCAAACCGCGUUACUGUUCAUCCGGGUCAAACCGCGUUACUGUUCAUCCGGGUCAAACCGUGUUACUGUUCAUCCGCGUGGUCAAACCGUGGACUGUUGACUGAUGACGUGGCGCAAUCCUGAGCGUCCAAACUGUUUUUAAUCCGAUGGCCAUGAUUUACUCCAUGUAUCUAUAAAAAGGGGGCCUCCCCCCCUAAUUUGAUAUCUCUGAAUCCAUUUUUGGGAUCCAUUUUCUGUAAUUCCUUCUCCAUCUUGUAUUUUCUUUGUAUUUUAAUAAAUUCCCUUUUUGCCCCUAGUUCAAUUAUGAGUGGCUAAUUUUCUUUCAAGCUUGGGUUGAAGGUGAAGUCUCAACAUGUGUCAUGGGCUUUAUUUGGUAAAUUUAUUUUCUUUUCCCCUCUAGUUUUUGUGGAUGAUUUGACUUAUCGUCGACAAAUAAUACUGAUCUUGUCUAGAUACCGCCUUGGUUACACCGGCUCUCUAGUAUAAGGUUAUUAUUAUUUGGCACGAUAAGCCCUUAGCACCAUAUUGAUUAGAGCGUGGUUCAUGAGGUGUGAAUUCCCCCCCUCAUGAUUUAAUUGGCAUUAAUACGGAUUAUUUAGCCCAUGAUGCAUGUUGAUACGAAUCCAGAUACCCAAGUACGUCAUUUCAAUAGAAUUAUCUUCAAUUUAUUCUCGCCAUUGCAAUUCCAAUUUUAGAAUUUAUUCUCGCCAUUUUAAUUUAAGUUUUAGCAUAUACCAAAUCAUUUCCACCAUAAAUCCAACAACCCAUUUACAAAAUUAAUUCUAUACACAAUUAAAAUCCACCUCCUCGUGGGAUCGACACUCGUCACCAUAGAUCUAUACUACAACAGAUUCGUGCGCUUGCGAGUACAUUAAAAUUUGCACAACAAGUUUUUGGCGCCGUUGCCGGGGAGGUAAGUAAUUUUAAUUCAUAGAAUUAAUUUUUUUUGAAUAAUUUCUUUUAUUUGUUUUCUUGUAUUUUUUUUAUUAAAUUAAUUAAAAAAGAAAAAAAAAGUGAAUCUACAUUUAAAGGUUAGUAUUUCUUUUCUUUUUCUCUUCUUUAAAAUUCUGUAAUUUAUUUUUCAAUUUAUUUUUCUUUGUAAUUUUUUUUUUGUUUAUCUUAUUAAUUUAUUUUUAGUUAAUUUAUUUCACGUAUUUGUUUUUGUGUAUUUUUAUAGAAAGGUUUUAAUAGCGCAAUAAGGUUAGUAUCGUAAUUUCUCCCUCAUCUUUAUUUUUAUUUAUUUUGUUCCCAUCUUUAUUUUUUUAUUUUAUUUGUUUUGCAUGCAUGGUCGAAGGUCAUUAUUACCUAAUCUUGAACCUAUAGACCUUGAACUUGAGAAAACACUUCGCACACACAAACACGUUAAAAAUAAAAUGGAUUUACAAGCACCACAGGAGAGGCCAUUUAAGGACUACUUCAGUCCCUUAGCUAAUUUGAGCACAUCAUGCAUAAGAUACCCAAAUGUAGCUGCUAGGAGUUUUGAAUUAAAACCUAGUGUGCUAAAUUGUCUCCCCACAUUUUAUGGCCUAGAAAAUGAGGACCCAUAUAAUCAUCUGAACGAUUUUCAUGCCAUUUGUCAAACUUUUAAAUAUGAAAAUUUUUCAGACGAUGAUGUUAAACUUAGACUAUUCCCAUUUUCUUUAAAGGAUAGGGCUCGUUCAUGGCUUAAUACAUUGCCUGCUAAUAGCAUUGCAUCAUGGGAACAAAUGGUUACAAAAUUUUUGAAUAAAUAUUUCCCAGUGCAUAAAACCAAUGCUAUUCGCAGGGAAAUCUCAGAGUUUACCCAGAGAGAAGACGAGCAAUUUUUCGAAACUUGGGAGCGAUUCAAUGGGCUACUCUUGAAGUGUCCACAUCAUGGGUACGAGAAAUGGCACCAAUGCCAAUACUUUUUGGAGGGAUUAUUGCCGAAUGUGCAAGAAUGGCUAAUGGCGACAAGUGGAGGAGAGCUAAUGUCAAAAAGUGCAUCCGAGAUUUGGGAAUUCUUUCAGCGACAAGCGGAUAAUUCCCAACAACGGAGUCGAUCACUCAGGAAUACUAGAAGAAUUAAAGGAGUAAAUGAGGUUCAAAUUGGCGAAUCAACUUCAGGAAUCAAAGAAGUCAAGGAGAUGGUUGAAGGUCUUGCUCGACAAAUAGCAUCGUUAUCGACUGCUAAAUCAACAGAACCACAUGACCAGGACUCAUACUCAGAUCAAGCCAAUGCCAUAGGUGUAAUGAGAAAACCAUCGAAUUACAACCCAUACUCCAAUACAUAUAACCCUGGAUGGAGAGACCACCCCAAUUUUUCAUGGUCUCAAGGAUUCCAACAGAAUGGACCAGCAGCUCCAGCUCCACCAAUGCAACCAAUUCCACAAAAUCCUCAAGCCUCUCAGCCACCAUUCAGACCAUACAAUCAGAACCAUAAUUACUCUCAACCCAGACCAUGGGAGGAUUCAUUCCAGAAUCUCAAGAAUCUUACUCACUCUACGAUUGAGCAACAGAAUCGCACCAUUGAUGGACUACGAAAUGAGUUGAGAGCGGGCUUCAACUCACAAGCCCAAUCAGUUUCAAGCCUCGAGAAGAUGGUAGGACAACUUGCUUCUUCAGUUCAGACCUUGGCAAUGACCGUUGAGAAAGGUAAGUUUCCAAGUCAACCAGUGCCUAACCCUAAAGGAGUACAUGAAGCGAGUACCAGUUCACCACAGCAGCAUGGAGAGGUCAAAGCAAUAAUGACCUUGCGAAAAGGAAAAGAAAUCGACAACAAAGUGGAGAUGCCGGUGACAAAGGAAAAUCAAAUUGUACCUGUGAACGUUGAGGACUCACCACCGGAGGAGAGAGAAGAAGCCAACCCACGAGAAUACGUUCCCAAAGCUCCAUUUCCUCAGAGGUUAGCGAAAGGAAAAAAGGGAAAAUCUACAGGUGAGAUUCUCGAAAUCUUCAAACAGGUAAGUGUUAACAUCCCUUUGCUAGAUGCUAUAAAACAAGUUCCAUCUUAUGCCAAGUUUCUUAAAGACCUUUGUACUAAAAAGAGAAACAUGCAUGUUCAAAAGAAGGCAUUUUUAACAGAAAACGUUAGUUCUAUACUCCAACAUAAAAUUCCUUUAAAAUGCAAAGACCCAGGCUCCCCCACUAUCUCAUGUAGUAUAGGGAACCACACAAUUGAGAAUGCUUUGUUGGAUUUAGGAGCUAGUGUAAAUUUAUUGCCUUACUCUGUGUUUGUGAAACUUGGACUGGGAGAAUUACACCCAACUCCAGUGGUGUUACAACUUGCAGAUCGGUCCACAAAAAUACCUCGUGGUAUUGUGGAGGACGUGCUUAUCCAGGUAGACAAGUUUUAUUUUCCUGUUGAUUUCAUUGUAAUUGACACUCAACCAAUACAGGAUUCAAGGAAGCACAUCCCCAUUAUUCUAGGCCGACCUUUCUUGGCAACUGCGGAUGCUCACAUUCAAUGCAGGACUGGAAAUAUGCAAUUGUCUUUCGGCAACAUGACUAUGGAGCUGAACAUCUUCAACAUUGCCAAACAACCUCACAGUGCAGAUGAUGGAAUUGUUGAUGUGGAUUUAAUUGAAGCAUUAGUUGAUGACACUUUUCUUUCAAACCUUAGUGAUGAUCCUUUACAAACAUGUUUAACUCACUUUGGUUUGGAUUUUGAUGUUGACAGAUCGGUCGAUAAGGUCAAUGCCCUACUUGACUCAGCACCAUCUAUGGACACUAAUAAAUGGAAGUCAAGAGUUGAACAACUAGCACCAUCAGAGAAGAAACUCAUCCCAUCAUCAGAAUCACCACCGAAACUCGAGCUCAAACCAUUACCCAACACUUUGGAAUAUGCAUUUUUGGGAGAAGAAAGUUCUCUGCCGGUAAUCAUCUCAUCAUCCCUCAAUGAUGAACAAAAAGGUAAGUUGUUGGAUGUUUUAAAAGAGCACAAAGGAGCAUUAGGAUGGACCAUAGCAGACAUCAAAGGUAUAAAUCCAGUAGACUGCAUGCAUUACAUUCACCUUGAUGAAAAUGCUAAAUCUACUAGGGAAAUGCAACGUCGGUUAAAUCCUAAUAUGAAAGAAGUGGUUAGAACUGAAGUCCUUAAGCUAUUAGAUGCAGGUAUCAUUUACCCCAUUUCUGAUAGUUCAUGGGUUAGUCCUGUACAAGUUGUCCCCAAAAAGUCAGGAGUCACAGUAGUUACGAAUGCCGAUAAUGAAUUGAUACCAACUAGAGUAACUACAGGAUGGCGUGUAUGCAUUGAUUAUAGAAAAUUGAAUUCUGUCACACGUAAAGACCAUUUUCCUUUACCAUUUAUUGAUCAAAUGCUUGAUAGAUUAGCAGGCCAUGAAUUUUAUUGCUUUUUAGAUGGCUACUCAGGAUAUAAUCAGAUUCCCAUAGCACCAAAAGAUCAAGAGAAAACUACUUUCACUUGCCCUUUUGGCACAUUUGCAUAUAGGAGAAUGCCAUUUGGAUUAUGUAAUGCACCUGCUACAUUCCAACGAUGCAUGUUGAGCAUUUUUUCUGAUAUGGUUGAACGAUUCCUUGAAGUCUUUAUGGAUGAUUUUUCUGUCUUUGGUGACUCGUUUAAUCAAUGUUUACAUCAUCUAACGCUAGUUCUGCAGAGAUGUACCGAGAAGAACUUAGUCUUGAAUUGGGAGAAGUGCCAUUUUAUGGUAAAACAAGGUAUUGUUCUCGGUCACAUCAUUUCGAGCAAAGGUAUUGAGGUUGACAAAGCCAAGGUGGAUCUCAUUUCUAAUCUCCCUCCACCUAAAACAGUCAGAGAAGUAAGAUCUUUCCUUGGGCAUGCUGGUUUCUAUAGACGUUUCAUUAAAGACUUUAGCAAAGUUUCUAGACCCUUAUGCAAUUUACUUGCUAAGGAUGUACCUUUUAUCUUUAAUGAUUCAUGUCUUAUGGCUUUUGAAAAAUUAAAGCAAUUAUUGACAUCAUCACCCAUCAUUCAGGCCCCAAACUGGAGCUUACCAUUUGAGCUUAUGUGUGAUGCAUCUGAUUAUGCAGUAGGAGCAGUUUUAGGACAAAGAGUUGAUCGAAUUCCUCAUGUUAUUUACUAUGCUAGUAUGACAUUGAAUGAUGCACAGUUGAACUAUUCAACUACUGAAAAAGAAAUGCUAGCAGUAGUGUUUGCAUUGGAAAAAUUUCGAUCUUAUCUCAUUGGUUGUAAAAUAAUUAUAUUCACAGAUCAUGCUGCUCUUAAAUAUCUUCUCACAAAGAAAGAUGCAAAAGCUAGACUAAUUCGUUGGGUGUUACUUUUGCAGGAAUUUGACUUGGAAUUCAAAGAUAAGAAAGGGUCAGAAAAUGUUGUGGCGGACCAUCUCUCUCGUCUUCACUUUGACACAAUUACAGAGCCAUUAAUAUUAAAUGAGUCAUUUCCAGAUGAACAAUUAAUGAGUGUGGAAGUAUUACCUUGGUAUGCUGAUAUAGUUAAUUAUCUUGUUACAGGUAAACUUCCAGAGCAUUGGACCAAGCAAGAUAAGGCUAAAUUCUUUGCAGAGAUAAAGAAUUUCUUUUGGGAUGACCCUUAUUUGUUCAAGUAUUGUGCAGACCAAAUUGUUAGACGAUGUGUCCCUGAAAAUGAAAUUCAGAAUAUUCUUUCAUUCUGCCAUGAACAAGCUUGUGGAGGCCAUUUCAGUGCUAAGAAAACAGCGACUAAAGUUUUACAAUGUGGUUUCUAUUGGCCAUCUAUAUUUCGAGACGCUUACACUUUCUGUUCUUCAUGUGAUAGGUGUCAACGAAUGGGGAGCAUUACGCGAAGGAAUAUGAUGCCACUAAAUCCAAUUUUAGUGGUUGAGAUUUUUGACGUAUGGGGUAUCGACUUCAUGGGACCCUUUCCCCCUUCUUUUGGCCAUCAAUACAUAUUGGUUGGUGUUGACUACGUCUCGAAAUGGGUAGAAGCAAUUCCAUGUAGGACCAAUGAUCACAAAGUGGUGAUAGGAUUUUUGAAAAGCAACAUUGUCUCGCGCUUUGGAUUCCCUCGAGCAAUAAUCAGUGAUGGUGGUGCCCACUUUUGUAACAAAGCAUUCAAAGCACUUUUGACAAAGUAUUCAAUCACACACAAAGUGGCAACCCCGUAUCAUCCGCAAACCAGUGGCCAAGUUGAGAUAUCCAAUCGAGAAAUAAAGCACAUAUUAGAAAAGACGGUGAGGCCAGACAGAAAAGAUUGGUCAUUAAGACUUGAUGAUGCAUUAUGGGCAUAUAGAACGGCUUUCAAGACCCCGAUUGGGAUGUCACCCUACAGGCUAGUGUAUGGAAAAGCUUGCCACCUACCUGUGGAACUCGAACAUCGUGCAUAUUGGGCCAUCAAGAAGUUCAACUUUGAUAUGCAGCAUGCCAGCUCAGAAAGAAGAUUACAACUGGCAGAACUUGAAGAAAUUCGCAAUGAUGCAUACGAAAAUGCCAAGAUUUACAAGCAACGAAUGAAAGUCUUUCAUGACAAGCACAUUAUGAGAAAAUCUUUCACUCCAGGUCAGAAAGUGCUUUUGUUCAAUUCUCGCUUGCACCUAUUUCCAGGUAAGUUACGCUCUCGUUGGUCUGGCCCAUUUAUUGUUCAUACUGUUUUUCCACAUGGGGCAAUUGAAAUUAAAGACCCAAAGAAUGGUGUCACGUUUAAAGUUAAUGGUCAAAGAUUAAAGCCAUAUCUAGAGUACCAACCACAUGAAGAAGACACCGAAAUAAAUUUGAGUGACCCACCAAAUUUGAAUUGAUUUUUUUUUCUUUUCGUUGAUUUGAUUUUUCUUUCUUUCUUUUUAUUAUUAUUCUUUUGCUAAUUGAAAUUGUUUUUGCAUAAGUGUGUUUAUUUUACCAUUAAGUUUUCUCUUAUCAUUUUUAAUCAUGAGUCUCAUACUUAGACCGUUCCUCCUGAACAUUCUUAAACCACUUCAACGUGUCAAAACUCAUCUCAAAAGACAGAUUCAAUUUUGUAAAACACAUCGCAUUUGGGCUCUACAACCACCAGAAUUAGUAGCCUAUGUUGAGGGUUUAGAAAGCCAACUCAGAGACAUUGAGAGAAGUGUUUACGACAUCCAGUUGGAGCUUGAGGUAAAUUCAAUAAGAGGACGAUUUUAAUUUUCUUUGUGUGUUUUAAUUUGUUUUUCUGUUUGUGUGCUUUAGUUUGUUACCCCGGUGAAGUGGCGGAUAACGGUACUCCGUGACAAUCAAGUCGGUUACUUCAGUUUCCCAUAAUAACUGAUAUUCUGAGGCGAAAGUAUGGACAGAAACGAGAUUCUAGCAAAGCUUCACAAGCGAUUCCCUUCACUUCCUCAGAAUGCCCUCCUUACGAUCUAUAAAGCUCGGUCCGAACGCAUGCGAUUACUCAUGAGGAAUAACAUACCUGCUGACAUCCGUUGGUUAAUCGAGGCUAAAGUACGAUCGGCAGGUGAGUUACCUCCAAAAUUUAUUGCAUACAUGCCUGGUUGUGGUAGAGGAAAUUAUGCAAGAAAACGACGAGCUCGAAGAAUUUCUGUUGCUUGUCAUAAGUGUGCCAGAAUGAGUUGCAAUAAAAACCCAUGUUCUUUAGGAAUGAUGUCUGAUAACAGGGAAGAUAAGAUUCAAUUCAUUAGGGAUGGCUUGAAUAAGGAGUCAUUGGAUGAUAUCCUUUUGUCUCUUGAAACGCAUCCCAGUGGAUAUGUGCAAGGAGCGAUUCUCCAGUUAUGGCCAUUAUUCCAGAAAGAGCAUGCACGAUAUAGUCUCGGGAAUCUGACUAUAAACGACCCUGUUUGCCAGUUUAUAAGAAAACUGAAUAGGAAGCCUAUCCUCGACCCAUAGAGGGCGUUCAAGCCGUUUCUGGACGUAAAACCAGAGGAAGAUGUGAGCCACAGUCGCAACUACCUGUAAAUAUCCUUUUACUUUAUUGUUAUUUUAUUUCACUAUUGUCUUAUUGUUUGCAUUAUUGCCUUUAAUAAUUUUAUUACUGUUUGCUUUUUCCUUUUACUGUUUUCUUUUUGACUUGCGAGCCACGUGCUUUACGCGUUAUUUGACACUGACAUAUUACCUCAUACACAACCAUGACCCACUAUCACCAAGACUCUUAAAUGUGAUUUCUUUUUUGUCAAGCACUCACAAAUUAUUUUCGAGAAGUAUCACAAUGGCAGCUACUCCCAAUAGACAAUUCAAGAACAUUUGUGUGCUUUCUGGAUUUACCUAUGGCAAACAUAAAGAGUUCGUUGAGGCAGCCAUAGAUCUUGGUCGAAGCAUAGCAGCGAGAAAAUUACACUUGGUGUAUGGAGGAGGUAAUCGAGGGUUAUCAAAAAUGGUCUCAGAAGCAGCUUUUAUCAGAGGAAGUCAAGUGUUAGGCAUCAUCCCAAGAGUCCUAAAACCAUUGGGCAGUUCGUCUGACUCAUCAACUGGAGAAGAGUUAGUCGUCUCAGGUAUGCAAGAAAGAAUAACUGAAAUGCUUAAUUAUGCUGAUGCUUUUAUUUUCCUUCCAGGAGAUCUUGCAACACUAGAGGCACUUAUGACACUAGCAUCUUGGGCCCAUCUACACAUUCACCAGAAACCCAUCGGUUUGUUAAAUGUCAAUAACUUUUAUGAUGGCUUUAUCGCAUUUCUUAACCAUGCAAUAAAAACCUAUUUCAUUCCUUCUAAUGUAAAAAAACUCUUUAUUUGUGCUCACACUGCUAAUGAGCUACUUGAUCUGUUACAAGCUUAUAGACCGGAGCCAGACCCCUGGACCUUUGUGUUGGAGCGUCCAAAUAAUGAUGGUAACAAUAGCAGCAGUAAGAAGUACAAAUUAGAUUUAACUCUCCGCCUGUAAAUAUUUUCUUCUGUGUUGCACCACCCAGGUGAUGUCUUCUAAACUCUACUUCUUUCAUUUCAAACAUUGAGGACAAUGUUUCGUUCUGGUUGGGGGGAGGGAAUAGUCGACAAUUAUGGAAUUUUGGUUAAGUUUUUACUAAUUUUUUGUUGUAGAAACUAACUGUUGCUAACUUUUUGUGUUGAAGAUGGCUGAAUAUGGAGUGUAGUGACUCUAGAAACGCAUCUUCAUCGUUAAAAAAAAAUUAAAAAACUAAAAAAAAAAAUUUUUCAGACAUUUUCUUUUUCUUUAUUCUGUUUUUAUGUUUAUUUUUCUUCUUCUUUUUAUUUUCUCCUCUAUAAAUAUACAUUUUCCAACUUUUGAGUCGAAGAUGGCUGAAUAUGGAGUGUAGUGCCUCUAGAAACGCAUCUUCUUUUAAAAAAAAAAAUCAUUUUCUUUUUCUAUCAUUUUAAAUGUAACUUUUCUAAAUUAAUUUUUCUACAUCAUUUUCACAUUUCUGCAUGCAUAUAUUUUUUUUUUUUUUUUUAUGUUUAGAAUAGGUUGGGGGGUAGAAUGUUGUUUUAAAAAAAAAAAAAAAUUGUUUGGUUUGUUUUAACAUUGGAUGACAUGAUUAAUUUCAAAUUUUAGUAUUUGUAUUAUCUUUGGUCUUAAGUGAUGUUACGCUAUGUUUGCUACUUUACAUGUUGAUGUCGGAGACAAAUAUGAGUUGCUUGAAGGAAUGAACAUGUCAUAAAUAAGUGCCAAGUGAGUUGUUGAGCCUAUCAUUUUCUUGGAGAGUAACCCUUUUGCCCAUUCUCUAUACAGCUUAGCAGUUUAUUAUUUUAUACACGAUCUCUAGAUUUUUUUUGAGUUAACCCUUUAAAAAAAAAUGGUAAAAUUAAAAAAAAAAGAAAAAAGAAAAAAAUGUGUGUUACUACAUUGGGAGGCCCAUCUAACUAGUAGAUAUGGAUAAUUAUUUAGAGCCCUAAAAGACGAUGGAAAGGCCAUCUUUGAUCCGUUUGAGCCUUUCUAGCCAUCCCUGUUAUUAAAUAUCCAUAGUUACCCCUUUUGAGCCUUUAAAAAAAAAAAAAAAAAAAAAAAAAAAAAAAAACCUUUUCUUUGUCAACUUAUCAUCUUGACCCACUCCGAUUUGGAGUAUUACCCAAUGUUUUUUAAGUUCCAUCCCUAUUUAUGUUUGAGAAAAUGUAAAUAAUUAUGUUGUUCAGUGAAGUUAUGCCAAAUAAAAGCAAAAAAAAAAAAAAAAACAAAAAAACAAAACAAAACAAAAGUUGUUGUUUCAAAAGAAUAAAAAUAACAAUAAUAGGUGAAAUCCCCCUUGCAACUUUCAAAAAAAAAAAAAAAAAUUUGCAUUUUUUUCAAACAUACACUUUGUUUUCCUUAUUUCCUUUCUUUGUUAGCCAUAUCCCUAGCCUACGUUACGUCCUAAUAAAAGUCCUUUUUGAUUUUAGGGAACUAUAGUUUGAAGUAGAAGCUAGUUAUAUGGGCUAAAAAGAUGUAGUGAUGCAUAAAAAAAAAAAAAAGAUAAAUAAAGUGGGUUGACUAACAUUUUAUUUGACUUGAGAUCGUAUUAUUCUAAGAAGAGGGCAUAUUUAUUUCAUCUUGGUGAGAGCAUGUGAUAUCAUUUCUUUAUUAUUUUCUCUCUCAAUUACCAUUCAUUGGAGUGACUAUGUUUAUUGGGUUUUAAUUUCUUUGUGAGAGUGUUCCCACUUCCAGUGAAAUUUUGGGGUUUGACAUGUCAUUCUUGAAAGUAGAUAUAACAAAGUCUACUGGGCUGAUUCAUGUGGAUGGUUAAUAUGGGUGUGAUAUUUCUUUAGACUGGAGAUAAUGCUUAUACUUUUAUUUGAUUGCUAUCAUUAAUCUGAUUGAAUAAAUAUGAGUGUUUCAAAAAAAAAAAAAAAAAAAAAAAAAAGAAAAGAAAAGAAAAAUCAUUUUGAAUUUGAAUUUUGUUUUCGCUUUAUUUGCUAGGGACUAGCAAUAAGCUGGUUGGGGGGUGUGUUGAGUGUUAGAAAAUGCAUAUUUAUAAAGGAGAAAACCGUCAUUUUACAUUUCAAGUCUUACUAACAACCCUUACUUUUAUGUAUUUAACCUUCUUGUUAUUUAAUUACAUGUGUUUUAUUUUAAUUAAGUAUUUUAUGUAUUUUAGGGGCAUCAUAGUCAUUUCACAAUAAACGAGAAAUCAGAUGGCAAAACGGACAUCACUUUUGAACUCAGGACGGUCGAAAACCUUAGGAGGAGCAUAAAAGGAAAAAUGGCACUGUUCACUUGUACGGUACUAUUCACGUGUACGGUACUGUAUACGUUACUGUUCACGACACUGUUCACAUAGACGGACCGAUGACGUGGCAUUGACUGAUGAGGUGUCACGAUCCUGUUGGACUAAAAUUCUUAUAUACUGUUGAUGGUGACGUGGCAGCAUAUCAGUGGACGAAAAAUCUCGCAUACGGUGCAUGCAUCACACAGGAUUAUUUUCAACCAAACCGCGUUACUGUUCAUCCGGGUCAAACCGCGUUACUGUUCAUCCGGGUCAAACCGUGUUACUGUUCAUCCGCGUGGUCAAACCGUGGACUGUUGACUGAUGACGUGGCGCAAUCCUGAGCGUCCAAACUGUUUUUAAUCCGAUGGCCAUGAUUUACUCCAUGUAUCUAUAAAAAGGGGGCCUCCCCCCCUAAUUUGAUAUCUCUGAAUCCAUUUUUGGGAUCCAUUUUCUGUAAUUCCUUCUCCAUCUUGUAUUUUCUUUGUAUUUUAAUAAAUUCCCUUUUUGCCCCUAGUUCAAUUAUGAGUGGCUAAUUUUCUUUCAAGCUUGGGUUGAAGGUGAAGUCUCAACAUGUGUCAUGGGCUUUAUUUGGUAAAUUUAUUUUCUUUUCCCCUCUAGUUUUUGUGGAUGAUUUGACUUAUCGUCGACAAAUAAUACUGAUCUUGUCUAGAUACCGCCUUGGUUACACCGGCUCUCUAGUAUAAGGUUAUUAUUAUUUGGCACGAUAAGCCCUUAGCACCAUAUUGAUUAGAGCGUGGUUCAUGAGGUGUGAAUUCCCCCCCUCAUGAUUUAAUUGGCAUUAAUACGGAUUAUUUAGCCCAUGAUGCAUGUUGAUACGAAUCCAGAUACCCAAGUACGUCAUUUCAAUAGAAUUAUCUUCAAUUUAUUCUCGCCAUUGCAAUUCCAAUUUUAGAAUUUAUUCUCGCCAUUUUAAUUUAAGUUUUAGCAUAUACCAAAUCAUUUCCACCAUAAAUCCAACAACCCAUUUACAAAAUUAAUUCUAUACACAAUUAAAAUCCACCUCCUCGUGGGAUCGACACUCGUCACCAUAGAUCUAUACUACAACAGAUUCGUGCGCUUGCGAGUACAUUAAAAUUUGCACAACACUUAACAUCCCCCCUCAAGCUGGCAAGUGACAUUUGAUGAACGCCAAGCUUGUAUCUGAAAUCACGGAACAUGGCUUUUGACAAAGCCUUAGUAAAAACGUCUGCAAUUUGUAACGAAGAAGGGACAAACUUCGUAACCAAGGCACCAUCAACAACCUUUUCUCUAAUGAAGUGAUAAUCUAAUUCAAUAUGCUUCGAGCGAGCAUGAAAGACUGGGUUAAUAGUCAUAUGCAAGGCACUUAAAUUAUCACUUAAAAGUUGUGGAGGUUGAGCAAGAGGAAUGCCAAUUUCUCGGUACAGGUAUGUGAUCCACGUGAGUUCUGCUGCUGUAGAUGCAAGGGCUCGGUACUCAGCUUCAGCACUGGAUCUAGAGACAGUUGGCUGUCGUUUUGAAGACCAUGAGAUGCAAUUUGCACCCAUAUAGACACAAUAUCCCGUGGUACUUCUCCGAGUGUCUGGACAGCCUCCCCAAUCAGCAUCACAAAAGGCAGUAAUAUUAAGAGAGCUUUGUUAGAGAAAUCUGAUCCCAUAAUCCAAGCUCCCUUUUAAGUACCUGAGAAUACGUUUAACAGCACGUAAAUUAGCCUCAGUGGGUGUUUGAAAAUGUUGACAUACCUUAUUGACUGCGUGAACGAUGUCCGGCCUUGUUAGAGUGAGAUAUUGGAGCCCUCCAACUAAUCGUCUAUAUUCGGUUGCAUUGACGGGCUUGUGAUCAAUGGGGUUGGCUUGUUCUUUGAUGGCCAUAGGAGUUGACAAACUAGUGCUUUCUAGCAUCUUUGCUUUGGUCAGUAAGUCUUUGGUGUAUUUGGUUUGAGAAACAUAAAUACCUCCAGAGAAAUACCGAAUUUCAAGCCCUAAGAAGAAAUGGAGCUGUCCCAAAUCCUUUAAAGCAAACUCAAUGCUUAGUUGAUGAAUAAGUUGGUCAAUUAGAAAAGUAUUGUUGCCUGUCACCACUAUAUCAUCAACAUAAAUUAGCAUUAGGAUUAAUGAGUCAUUAUUAUGAAAUAUAAAUAAGGAAGAGUCGACUUUACUGCAUAUGAAACCCAAUUGAAGUAAAUAAUGAGAAAGCCUAUCAAACCAAGCACGGGGUGCUUGUUUAAGACCAUACAAGGACUUGUUAAGCUUACACACAUAAUCAGGAUAUAAAGGAUUAGAGAAACCAGGAGGUUGUUCCAUAAAAAUAGUUUCUUUUAAAAAACCAUGUAAAAAAGCAUUUUUAACAUCAAGUUGUCUCAUGGUCCAAUUUAAUGUUACAGCAAGAGAAAAAAUUAACCGAAUUGUGGUAGGUUUAAUCACAGGACUAAAGGUUUCUUCGAAAUCCAAACCUGGAAUUUGUGUGUAUCCUUGUGCUACAAGACGCGCCUUGUAUUUGUCUAUGGACCCAUCUUCCUUAAACUUAGUUCGAUACACCCAUUUUGAUCCCACUAUGUUUGUAUUUACUGGCCUUGGUACCAAACUCCAUGUAUUAUUCUGAUGGAGAGCAUCAAGCUCUUCUAACAUAGCUGUGCGCCAAUGAGGUUGUCGAAUGGCGGUUUUGAAGUGUUUUGGCUCUAUUGUUGUAGUAAGAGCCAUUUUAUCAACCAACUCAGGGUGAUGACGCAACUUGUGUCUAGUUAUCAUUUGAUGAGUGUUGCUUGUUUCUGGCUCUUUUGGAAUACGAAGAUCUACAAAUAUAUCAAUGCCUUUAGUUGACUGAGGAGUAUUAGUUUCUAACUCCAAAUGAGUGUUGCCAGUUCCUAUAUUGUUCUCUGACUCUUGCUCAGUUGAAGUGAUAUCAAAUUCUUCAAGUGAUGCUGAGCUAGGGCUUAAGCUGGCUUGAUUAUCUGUAGAGGCUGAAUCGGUGUGGAUGACUAUAUCAUGAAUUUCACGUGGGACUUGUUGGCUUGUGUCCAAGUCAUGCAUGUUUGAGUUCAUUGUGUUUUGAAAACCUAUAGAGUUUGGAUUUGCAUGAGCAACUUGUUGUUGGUUUACGUGAAAUUCAUGCUGGGCUUGCUGAAAUGGGGAGCUAUUUUCAUCUAAACUAAGUAUAUCAUGGCAACGAUGUGUAUGAUAAGGCUUGUUUGUUGCUUUCUCCUUUUUAGUCCAGCUCUCAACAUCAGGAAAUGUAACAAUUUCUUGGCUGACCUGUAUAGGUAAACUUGGCAGACUAUUAGUUUUAAAGGGAAACAAAUUCUCAUAAAAAAUUACAUGACGUGAGAUAUACACCUUGUUUGUUGGUGGAUACAAACAUCGAUACCCCUUAUGUGAAGGGCUGUAUCCAAUAAACACACAAGGGUAUGUUUUUGGUGAGAAUUUGUUUUUCCUAUAAAUACGUAGAUAUGGAAAACAUCGGCACCCAAAGCUUCUAAGCCUUCUGUAAUCAAAAUUUAUACCAAAAAGUUUGUAAAAGGGAGUCUUCAUAUUUAAAGUGGAUGAAGGUAGCUUAUUAAUAACAUAAACAGCAGUAGAAAAAGCAUCAACCCAAUAUUGUAAUGGCAUAUUUGCAUGAAAGAGCAUUGUCAAACCUGUUUCUACAAUAUGUCGGUGUUUCCUUUCGGCAACACCGUUUUGUUCAGGAGUUGCAGGACAUGACAAUUGAUGCUGUAUUCCACAUUGACUGAGAUGACUUUGAAAUUCAUUUGAUAUGAAUUCACCUCCUCCAUCACUUUGAAAUAUUUUUAUCCUCUUAUCGAAUCGAUUUUCAACCUGUUUCUGAAACUUGAUAAAAACAUCAAAUAAAUCAGAUUUAUUUUUCAAAGGGUAUAGCCAUGUAUAACGUGUGCAGUCAUCAACAAAGACAACAUAAUAUCUAAAAUUUUGAACAGAAGAAAUAGGAGCAGGACCCCACAAGUCGCAAUGAAUUUUAUGCAAAGGAACGCUGGAAAUUUUAUUGGAAAAAUUAAAAGGAAGUUUGCAGUUCUUUCCCAUUUGACAACUGGAACAUACAUAAUCUUUCGUAAUCCAAUUUGAAACAUCAAUAAGUUUUUUUUUAUUCAAAAACUUAAUGGACUUGAUUUGGGGGUGUCCCAUUCUUUGAUGCCAUAUGUUGUAAGGUGCUUUCCUGCCUUCGGAUAAGUAUAAGGCUGCAUGAUGUCCUUCAUCUAAAGCAUAAAGCCCUUUUGUCUUAGUUCCCUUUGCCAAGAUGUUUCCCUGAUAAUCCUUAACAACAAACUUGUUAGAUGAAAACUCAAUAAUGCAUGAAUUAUCAUGUGUGAGCUGCCCUACCGAAAGUAAAUUCUUUUUCAAGCUUGGAACCACAAGCACAUUUUUUAAAUAUAGUUUACUAAUGCCAGUGUCUAUGGAGGUGUUUCCUAUAUGUGAAAUAUUAAGACAAUCGCCAUUUCCAACAAUAAUGGCAUCAUUCCCUUCAUAAGGUUUAAGUUCAGAAAUUUUACCUGGAUCAUUGACCAUAUGGGUAGUUGCUCCUGAGUCAGCAUAUAAUUUGGCAUCAUUUGCAUCCAGGUUCAUUGCAGCUAAGGCUUGUGGAAUUUCCUCAGUAAGAUGUGAGUAGUCAUACCUACGUCGACAUUCAAUGGCUGUAUGUUUCGGUAAAUGACAAAUUUGACAUAUGACAGUUUCUUCUUUGACUUCCUCAGCUUGUUGUUUGGAUUGAUUCUGAAUUUUGUGCCAAGGCUGUCCAGAAUUAUUUUGCCGAGGUUGCUGCCACUGUUGUCCCCAAUUUCCUUGCCAUGAUUGUUGCCCUUGUUGACUUGGAUUAUUGUUUGAUUUUUGCCAUGGCUGACUUGCAUUAUUAUUCCAACUUUUUCCACCAUUGUAGUUGAUUUUUUGACCACUCGAAUUAGCCAAAUUUUGUCCUCCUGCUGCUGUAAAACCACGACCUUUUGAGUUAAAGAAACCUCCAUUUCCACGACCUUUUCCCUUGCCUCGUUGGCUAAAAAAGGCUUGAGCCAGAUUGAUUGUAUUCUUCUUUUCUUCUUCAAAAUUAAUAAGAGUUUGUUCAUGAUUUUCGAGGGCCAUGACAAACUGUUUAAAUGAGGGAUAAGGUGGUUUUGAAAGUUGAGCAAGUUUGAAGUCUUGAUACCUGUAGCCAAGACCUCUUGCAAGACCAAAGACUUUAUCUAAGUCAUUCACUGGUUUAUUUAUUGCAGCCAAAAAAUCACAAAUAUGCUUGUAUUUGCGCACAUACUCUUCAACUGAUAGAGAUCCCUUUUUUAAUGUUGCCAAUCUGUCCAUGAGAUGUACCUCUUUUUCCUUAGUCAUCGGAAGUAAUUGAUCCUCCAAAGAUGACCAAAUUUGUUGAGCAUUUUCUACUCCAACGAUUCCACUCAUCACUUCUUCUGUCAUCAGGCUUAACAACCAAGAUGUUAACAGCCCAUCAUUGUUGAUCCACAUGGUGAAAUCUUCGUUGCCAGCCUUUUCCCCAUCAGACAAUAAUAUUUCUUUUGCGGGUCUCUCAGCGUCUGUAAUAUGGUGCAGAAUGCCAAGGCUUCUGACCAAAGGGAGAACCUGUGAGCGCCACAACAAGAAGUUCGUGUUGUCUAGUUUAAUAGACACAAGACUUGAGCAUUGAUGAAAAGACUGAAUAUUUAGACUUGGCUCUUUGAUAAAGGAUGAAGAGGUUAUAUUGCUAGUACUCAUGGCUGGCUCUGAUACCAUGAAAGAAAUUCUAUGAAGAGUAUAAUUCUUGUUCUGUAAUUUUAAUGAAAUUUACAGAGUUAUUUAUACAAAAUAAAGACAAAGUAGCCGUUGAAAGGCUUAAUAAUAUUAAAGGAAAAUAAGUAACUUCCUAAACUAUUGCACAAUAUCUUUAUAAAAUAGGAAUGAAAUAUUCCUACAUGAUAUUGGCAUUCAAGUGUAAAAAUCGUGCUGGAGAUAUUCCUUGACAAAUAGCUUUGACGUGAGCAAGCUGUGUGGAGUGAUAAACCCUUUGUUGACUUGACCGUUGAUGACUUUCCUUUUGGUAAUCUUGGUCAGCUUGCUUAACACAGAGGACAUAUACAAUCAAUAUUUUCUCUUAACUUCAUAUUAAACAUGAAACGUCACUGAUGAAAAUAUUUCUUUUUCCUAAAAACUUACUAGAUCAUUUAAAAGUUGUACUACUAUACUAGUUUUAUAUUAUUUCAAUUCAGUGAAAGCAUUUCGUUGGUUUCUGAAUAGGUAUUAGAUGAGUUCGUUUUUUAGGAAGAUCGAGCAUCUGGGCAAGGCUGAUAAGAAGACAUUUAUGUUGAGGAAUGGCAAAGUUUUUCUUGAAAAAUUGUUUCGAUCUUGUGAUAAUAAACGUAACCCUAUUCGUUGUUUCCGUGAAAACGAGCUCAAGAUAGCAAUAAAAAAUUAUGACAGACAGAAAGUUAUAACAACUGGAUUGGGCUAUGAAUUAUUCAAGGGUGUUCUGCAUGACUAUCCUGUUUCUAUCAUGAAAUUUGUAAACUCCGACUAUGCAGCUGAAUUUUGUUUUAAUAACUUUGUAUUUGCAUCACAAAUGAAUCACAAGAAUGUGAUGACGCUGAUUGGAUGCUGUCUAGAAACCGAAAAUCCUGUUUUGGUGUUUGAAUAUGUUGAGUAUGGAACUCUUGCUGAUCGUAUUUAUCAUGCUCGUCAACCCAAUUUUGAACCUGUCACGUGGACACUGAGGCUAAAGAUUGCAAUGGAGAUAGCUUAUGGAAUUGCAUAUCUCCAUGUUGGUUUCUCCAGGCCUAUUUUUUUCAGAAACGUAAAACCAUCGAAUGUUUUAUUCCAAGACAAUCUGUUGCCAAACUGUUUGAUUUUUCGUGCUCUGUAUCUAUUCCAGAUGGUGAAACACGCAUAAGAGGCUGGGUGAUGGGAACAUUUGGAUAUCUUCCCCUGAAUACAUUGCAACAGGUGACUGCAAUGAGAAGUGUGAUGUUUAUAGUUUUGGUAUGUUGCUACUCGAGCUCUUGACUACACAGAGGGCGGUUGAUCGAGAAACUGAAGAUGAGUGCGUUUUGUCUGAUCGUGUGAGGAAAUUUCUAUUCCUAACUUGUGUGUGUAUAGGUGUUUACCUGUGUAUAUUUUGAUUACCUACUACAUUCCUUUGUUUUUAAUCAAAUUUCAAACAAAGGAUGAAUUAAUGACCCUUAAAAUUACACAGGUUUUACACGAAUUUUUAACCAUUAGAUCAAAGAUUGAACAUUAUAUAAAUAUUAAAUUGCAUGGAACAUUAAUUUUUGCCCAUUAAUUUCUAUGAUUUUUUUCCAUAUUCUCCCUUCUCAACUUUUUUUUAAAAAAAAGAAAAUCCUAUUUAAUUUUGGAAUAAAAAGUUCUUCAAGAUGUUCCUCAUUUUAUAUCUGUAGCAUAAACUUGUGUGAUUUGAAGGUGCCAUUGAUCCUUUCUCCUUCAAGCGGAGGAAUUUCAUAUAUAUUUAAAAUUAAAUAGACUGCAUAGACGACCCACUUCUUUUUGGGGAAUAUAUUUAUUUACUUUCUAUCAUGAUUUAUGAAUAUCUCGAUGAUGUUGUUGAAAAAGCGAAUCAAUUAAUAAUUACUUGAACGACAGAUUAAUUUGUGUAUGACUUCUAUUCACUUAAUAAUUACUUUGAACGACAAAUUAACUUGAGUAUGAUUGCUAAUGAUUCUGACCUGAUUAAUUACAUCCGGAGUUGGCUAAUUUACGGAUCAUGUUACUUACAGAUCCAGUGGCUGCCGACUCCCAUUGCUUGUAUGUCAAUGCUUUUUCUCUCUCCUCAGGACACAUGGCUGCUAACCAUUGGGUGUGUAUGUUACAUAAUCCGUAACAUAGCAAGCUCCAUUGUAUCCAGGGCACAUCAAUUAAUUUUUUUUUUCUCAAAUUAUAUCAUAGGCAUUUUCCGUCAUGGUGAAAAUUCUAUUUCUCACGGUUGAUAGUUUUGUUUAGCAUUUUAUAUCCAAUUUUGGACACAACAGUAAGUUGCAUUCUCAUUUUUCAAGUUUAUCGUUUGGACCGGCAGCUUCAUCAGAUUUUUUAUAGACAAAUACCAAAUCAGAAGGAAAAUAUGAAAUAUUAUUUAUGAUGAAAAUACAUAGGAGGUGCCAUAGAGGAAGAGGCUGCAGCAGUCUUUUCAUUGAGUCUGGCAAGAAAAGUUUUAUGCAGAUUAUCAAUUGUGGCAUCCAUUUGAAGCAGCUCCUGAUGGUUGAGCUCGUUAACUGGGGUUUCCCACCAACGCGGCUGCGUCUCUUUCCCCCUCCUCAUCUGUUUCAACACCUUCUCCCGUUCCUUUUCCUCAUCCAAUUGGCGAAGCAGCUCAUUAUAUAUGCUGCUGAUUGAGUUCAUUAAUUCUCACCUGGCGGUGAGCCUCAACCAGCGGAUGUGUGUUGUCAUUUACUGGCUGGUUCAACCCCAUGAAGCGGUUUGCAACAGCUUCAAUGGAGGGGUGGCCGAAUGAGAAAGGCUUUCCAGACUGUGAGAACACCAGAAUGGCAAUCUCAGAGCCAGUGAGAGUCACAAGCUCACUGGCCUUCUUGUAGAUCCCAGAUCUACGUUUUGAGAACGUGAUCAACCUACCAUCCUCAUUCUCAAUCCUUUUCAUCUGAAUCUUUUGUCUCCCUUUGGUUUUCUUGGCUGCCAUUUCCAAAAUCAAUGAUAUCUGGCUAGUUUCUUUUUUAUGAACAAUGAUUUUCCCGUGCUCCGAUAUGGUCAUUUUGGGAUGAAUUUAUAAGAGGAAAGACGCGUAGAAUUAAUUAGUAUUAGGUCAAGAAUUUAUCUUACUAAGUUGUUACCUUAUUAUCUUACCAUGUUUUUCAAAAUCUAAUACAAGGUGUAAAAUUACUGAAUGAGAUACCUUAAACCCCAAAGAAUUUAAUUCAUUAACAAUUAUAAAAAGAAAAUAGGAUAAGGUAACCACUAGGAAUAGAUAAAUUCAUGACCUUACUAACUAAUUCUUUGUGUCUUUCCUCGUAUAAAUUCACCAGAAAGUUACCAUAUCAUCAAAGUACAUGAAAACCACUGUACUGCUCAUACAAAAUAAAUUAGGCAAGCACAUCCAUUUUGGAAAUGGCAACCAAGAAAAAUUCAUUGAGCUUAUUAUAUAUGGUAGUAAUGCGCCAUAUAUAUGCGGCAAAAAAGGGAAAAUUUUUUUAAAAUGUAUCUAAUAUUUUUGCAAAUCAAAAUGUUACUCUAGUUUGUACUAAUUAACAACCUCAUUGUCCGCUAAAAUAUAAAACAAACUAAUGAAAAUAAGAUUUCGUCACCAAAAACUUAUGGCGUACAUAUUGAUAUGUACACAUAUGCCAUAUUUUACUAAAAGUAAUGCUAGAAUCAUAAACUCUUUGUAUAAACUAUUUUGUGUACAAACUAAAGUGGAAUAACAUUAUCAAGUAUAUGGAUCAUGUGAUAUUUCCAUUCAACUUUAACUGUUAUACCACAAAUAUUUGUAUAAAUUAAAUAGCUUGUAUAGAGAAUUUGUGGUAAAUUCUACCUAUGAGAAAAUAUUAGGUUCUCUCUUGUGUAUUCCCUCUGCUAUUGAAUUUUUUUCAUGGCAAACAUGCAUGAGUUAAGAAUUCAACUAGAGACAAUCUACACGUCGAAAGCACUUACUAUUUUCUCUUAAAAAACUAAAAAACUACUGAACAUGUUUUUUUUGGUUAAAAUACUUAUAAUUUUGAAAAAUCAAUUUAACUGAUGUUAAGCCAUCAGUAAAUAAUAUAAUAUAUUAUUAUUAAAAAUCAAUUAUUAAUGAUGUAAUAUAAUUUUGAAAAAAAAAAGCACCGUGAUAUCGUCAACAAAACUAAUGGCUCUGUUGGUACUGUUGGGAAUGGCGUAAUGACUGGCGAUGAGAUUUAUAGAUCUACAAAACAGUGAGAUUGUUAUAGGCAAAAUAGCAGCAUGAUGCAGGCACACAUUUCUCCCAGAAGUUGUAGGUCAACAUAAUAUUGUCAAUGAAGUUUAGUGGCCGAGCAGCGUUAUAUGGAUACCAACAAAUGUAAAAUUUCGUGAACUACAAGUCCAUGCCAACGAAAGACGAACAGUGAAUAGGAUGAAUAAAAAAUUACUUAUAAAGAGAGGCAAGAUGUAGGCAUACAUGCCUCCGGAAGUGACUGGGCAUAAAAGGGUACAAUUAAAUCUCAUAUACCUUGCAAAAGUGGUAGAUCGCUCAAUUAGUGUCAUCUUCAAAUCUUGGGGGGGAAGUCUGAAAAGUAAAAUAGGAAAAUCAAUGACAAAAAUAAAAAUAUAAACAAUAGAAAAGAACCAUAUCAAUUGUUAACAAGGAAUGAGAAUUAAGGGAAAACUUGACAUGCUUGACACUGGCUAGCUUUUUGGAUUUGCAAGCGUGUCUGUUUGUUUUGAUUCUUAAUCAUAAUUUUCAUGUUAAAACCUAAUCAAUAAAAACCCUAGAAAUUCACACAAAGAUGAACCCAAUUCAAUAAAACUAAAUAAAUAAUUCUUAUAUUUUGCUAGAACUAAAAAUGUUGAAACUUGACACGGGUUUAAGGAAAAUGUCAAAUCUUUACAGGGAAAAGCGCGUAAAAUACACAUGCUUAUGCGCGCGCUUGUAUGUGUAAUAUGCAUAAAUGUAAAUACAACUAUAUUCUUUUAAAAAUUACUAACUCGGGCUCUCAUGGUCACUAAUUGAAACAUGUUACAGAUAAGUGUAACUCAAAUUUGCCUAGUUAGUGAACAACAAUAGAACAAUAAUAUUUGGGAUAGCAUAAUGCCAUAAACAAUUAAAAGAACAUUUUUCUCCAAACAUACUUGAAAAAACUAAUUGUACAUAAUGGAAUAAGCAAAUUAAGAAGAAAAAAAAAUGAUUGUAAUAAAAUUUUUUGGGCUCAAUUUGAAAGAAAAAUAUGGCUACACUCCCAAGGUUUAGAAAAAUGAUAAUGUAGCCCCUAUAUUUUCAACAAGUGACAUCAAGACUACCUUUUUAAAAUUAUACCAUUUGUUUCUCUCAACCCAAAAAAUUAUUUCCGAUAUUUUAUUAGAAAUAUAAUAUUAAAAUAAAUGAAAUAAUAUAUGCAUUUUAAUAUAUUUUCAAUAUUAUAAAUUUUUUUUAAUAUUUGACAAUUUGUUAGACAUAUUUUACCAUACCAAAGUAAAUUUCAGAAUAAAUAGAAAUGUAUCAUUUAAAUAAGUGUAAAAAUUUGAGUCAUUUUAAAUUAUUAUAUAAAAUAAUUUUAAUAUUAUUAGUACAUUAAAUAUAUUUUUUAAUUGUAAAAUUUAGGUAACCUAAAGAUUUAUUUACAAUCUCUAUAAUGAACACAAAUAUAUUAUUAACAGAAAUAUAAAAAUAUAAAAAUUUAAAAUUAUUGCAAAUAUUAAAAAUAUUACUAUUAUUAUUAUUAUUAUUAUUAUUAAGAUUAAAUUAUUUUUAUUUAUUAUUUGAGUUUUUUAAAAUUAAUUAUCUACAAUGGGAUGGAUAUACCCAACUUGCAGAUUGGAAAUAUUCCCACCAUUUUAGACACCCAAUAAGGAAGUGCAUAUAUUUUAAUACUUGGAUUGUGGGUUUACUCCUUAAUUAUUUCUAUAUAUGGAUUAUUAUUUUAGCAAUAUUUGAUUUUUUUAAUUUGUUACCUAAUUAGCCUCGCGCUCACUCCAGUAAUUAUUAUAAUUUCAAGGCUUUUGGUUGUCAUCAAUUAAUAAAUCUUUCCGAAAUUAUGCUGGGCAAAACAACAAAAAAUUGCAAGCUUUUGGUUGUCAUCAAUUAAUUUAUCUAUCUGUAUGAGUACGUGCGAGACCUACAAAUGGUAGAUGUUCGAAAACAACUUAGGCUGAUUUUGAAAUGAAGAUUUUAAGGCAUUUCUACUUUAUGCAUCUUUUCUUUCUCUCUCUUACUGCUAGGAUUACGUCACGUCAUCCUAUCAUACUCCACAGGCUUGUUCAAUAAACGUGCCAUAAUCGCAGUUCCAUUUUGCUAUGUUAAAUUCUUUAUAACGAUAAUCUCGCAAAUAUAUCGUCAAUUUACCCCUACCUAGAGAGAGAAUAUUUACCACCUAUUUAAAAUGACAAUCUUCAAUCUACUCUAUCAAAGUGUGAAAAUAUCAAUUUUUCCGCAUUUAGCGCGCGCGCGCACAAACACACACACACACAGAGUAGUUUUUGAGUUAGGGAUGUUAAAGUGUGGAAAAGUUUGAGAAAGCUUUAAAACCGCACAUUUUUAGAGCAUUGUGAAAUUAACACUAGAAAACCAUAGGGUUUUAAAGUUUUCUCGGACUUUCUCACACAUUAGAAUCCUAAAUUAAAAAAUUUAUAUAUAUAUAUAUAUAUAUAUAUAUAUAUAUAUAUAUAUAGACGCACACAUGCACACACCCCAUCAAAGCGCCCGCUAUUUUCUAUCAUCUUUUGAAUUAAAAUUGGGGUAAAUUGAGGUUUUCACACUUUUUCGGAAUAUAUUAAACAUUAUCAUUCUAUCUAGGGAAUGAAUUGAAGUUCACCUUACUCUUUUUAUAUAGUUCUAUUUUACCUGAAUAGUUGUGAAUUUUUUGUUAAGAUUUUACGGUCAAAAUAUUUAUUACCCUAUGUCAUAAACAAUUUCGUGGAACCAUACGUCUCAUGGGCGUAGGACAAUUGGCUAUGAAUUCACUUUGUUUCCGAUCACUGGAGUUCGAUAAGAAAUACUUGGGGUACGUGUUAAUAUUUAAUGGAAAAGGAUUUUUAUCUCCAUCGAAAUCGUACACAUACAUUCAUAUCAUUUGAUUGCCCACAAAAAUCUUUUAUCUUUGUUUUUAAUCAAAUUUCAAAUUGAGGAAAUUAAAUAUAUUUGUAGCUACCUACUUCCUUGAGGGUUCAUUUAUCUACUUGUGAUUAUAAACAUAGUUUAAAUAGCUGGCUCGAUGAUGUAUUUGGAAAGUUGGGGUUUUCAAAAUAAAUCUAGUUCACCAAGCAUGAACAAGUAAAUUACUUGGACAAAUUGACAGAUUACUUUGAAUAUUGCUGCUAAUGAUGCUCACCAAGCCAUAUCACAUUUUUAGGCACAACAAUAACUUGCAUUCACAAAUUAUAUCAUCGGCAUUUACGAUAGGUAGUUUCUAAGCAUUAUCAAGUUAAUCAUUUGGACCCGUAGCCUCAGAUAUUUUAUAGACAAAUGAAAAACCAAAUGGAAAAUGAUGUAUAUUAUUUAUGAUGAAAAUACAAGGAAGGUGCCACGGGAGAGGAGGCAGCAGCAGUAGCAGCCCUUUCAUUGAGCUUGGCCAGAAAAAUUUGGUGCAGAUCAUCAACGACUGAAUCCAUUUAAAGCAGCUCCUGCAGGUUAUGCUCAUCAACUGGGGUUUCCCACCAACGCGGCUGAGUCUCUUUACCCCUCCUCAUCUGCGUCAACAUCUUCUCCUGUUCCUUCUCCUCAUCCAGCUGGCGCCGCAGCUCAUUAUGCUGCUGAUUCAGCUCGUUAAUUCUCACCUGGCUGUGACCUACAACCAACGAAUGAACGUUGUCAUUAGGCAACUGGUUCAUCCCAAGGAAGCGAUUUGCAACAGCCUCGACGGAGUGGUGACCAAAGGUGUAUGGCUUCCCAGAUUGUGAGAACACAACAACGGCAAUCUCAGAGCCAGUUAGAGUCACAAGUUCACAGGCCUUUUUGUAGAUCCCUGAUCUACGUUUAGAGAAUGUUAUUAAUCUUUCAUCCUCUUUCUCGUUCUUUUUCGUCUCAAUCUUUUUUCUCCAUUUGGUUUUCUUACCUGCCAUAUCCAAAAUCAAUGUAAUUGGCUGGUUUCUCUUUUAUUAAUAACGAUUUUUCUGUGCUCUGAUAUGGUCAUUUUUUGAUGAAUUUAUAAGAGGAAAAGCACGUGGAAUUAAUUAGUAUAAGGUCAAGAAUUUCUCUGUAUAAGUUGUUAACUUACCAUAUAUUUCAAAAUUUAAUGUAAGAGGUUGUUUGUUAAAUAUCUUAAAUCUAAAAUUUUAUUAAUUUCACAGCUUUUUUAAAAUAUGCUUGUUUGUUUUUUUGGAACUUUUGUCUGAUAUUCGACAUUUACAUCUAAAUAGAAAAAAUGAACUUUUGUGAUUUUUAUCUGAAUGGGAAAAGAUCUGAAUGACAAUUAAAUAUUAUAUUAAAAAAAUAUCUCUAUAAAAUAACUUAUUUCCUAAACUACAAAAUCUAAUCCUCUUUUUUUGUUUUAAUUUACAAGGACAUAAAUGUCAAAUAACCAAGUUUAAGAUAUUUUUUAUUGUAAAAACAAACAAGAUGUCAUUUAUAUUGUGAUAUUAAAAAAAGAAAAAACAAACAUGUCAUUCAGAUUUUUAUAUUCAGACCUAUUCAGACUUUAGAAAAAUUCAGACCCAUUUAGAUUUCAAAAAAAAAAAAAAAAACAAACAAACGCUACCUAAGUCUGUAAAGUUAUUAAAUGAGAUACCUUAAACUCUAAACAAUUUAAUUCAUUAACGACUAUAAAGACGAGUGUGUAAAGUUGCUAAGCGAGGUACCAUAAACUCUAAAGAUUUUAAUUCAUUAACAAUUAUGAAGAAAAUAUGAUAAGGUAACAACUUAGAAUAGUUAUACAGAUUUGUGACCUCCUAACUAAUUCUUUGUGUCUUUCCUUUUACAAUUUCAUUAGAAAAAUGACCAUGUCAAAGGACAUGAAAAUCACUUUGUUCAAAAAGAAGAAAAAAAGAAAUUAGUCAAUCCCUUUCAUCCCGGAAAUUGCUGAUUGAGCUUAGCCUAUUUUAUAUGGUAGCAAUGUCGUAUUAUUUGCAACAAUAGAGAGAAAAUCUUGUAGAAGUGCAUCUGAUAUUUUAACAAAUUAAAAUGUUGCUCUAGUAUGUACUAAAUACUAAUUAUAUAUCCUCAAUGUUUUCUAAAAUGUAAAAUAAUUCAUAAAAGGCAGAUUUCAUCCACUAAAAUCUUUUGGUGUUUGUAUUGGCAUGCAAAGGUAUUUUACAAAGAAUAAUGCUAGAAUCAUAUGUUAGACUUAUUGUUAUUUUGUGCCCUAAAAGCAAGUGAUAAAACAAAAAUUCCUGAAUUCCAUAAAAUUUAUUUAUUCAUUUUUUAUUUUAGGGUCAAAGUUCAUUUAGUCCCUGUACUUUUUAAAAAUACCUCAAAACAUUCCUGCCAUUGUUUCUUUUUCCUUUUGGCUAACUUUUAUAAUAUUAUCCUCUUAGAAUAAUGUUUCCUUUUUUUGGACAUUAAUAAAAGAAAUAAAUUAAAUUACCAAUUUAAGCCUAAAAAUAAAAUAGAAACAAAAUGAACAUAUAUUAUUUUUUCCUGAACACUUUGCUGAUGAGUAAAUAUAUUUUUUUUAUUAUUGUCCAAAAAAAUUGGUAAUUUAACUUUUCUUACCAUAUUUAUUUUUUUGGACAUACACGAGCUUCCAAAAAAAUAAAUGUAUUCUUUUGUCUUCAUUUUAUUUUAUAUAGUUUCUAGCUAUAUUUUUUUUACCAAAAAAAAAAACAUUAUUGUAAGAAUAUAAUAUUUGAAAAUCAAGCCAAAAGGAACAAAUAGUAGCGACAAGAUUGUUAAUAAUUUUACGCCAUGGAUGUUUUGAGAUAUUUUAAAACUGCAAGGACUAAACGGGCAUUAACCUCAAAAUAUAGAGAGUAAAUAAGCUUUAACCCUUUAUUUGAGCACUACAUUAUCAACCCUUAUCCAUAAAGUACGUGAUUUACGUAUUGGACUUAUGAUGUCAAUAUUAGAAGAUAUAAAUCACAAGUUCUUUAUAAAUAAAAUAUUAUGCACAACUAUUAAUGAAAUGGGCAUUUCAUACGCAAGGCUAUAAUUUUCUACUUCUAUUGUGACGAUUUUAUCUUGAUCAUUGAAGUGGAGGCGUGGAGUAGAAUAGUUAAUAUGUAUAUGUUAUAAGCAUAUUGAACUAGACUAUACUAAUUUAUGAUCUAAUUUAACAAAUGUCGUUGAUUGUAAUUUACAUAACCUUUAAUAAGCUUAGUUGACCUUAUACUUGAGUGGGCAAUGAACUCGCUUUCAUUUUUUGCUUCUUUUGAGUUGUGAUGGAGUGAGAUCCAUAUAAACAGUUAAAACCUCAAUAGCUUUGAGGUGUAAUUUCAUGGAUCAUGGGAACAUAUACUUACAAGAUGGAAUCUAUACUAAUGAUGCUUAUCCAAGUUAUUUGUGGUACUUGAUCAUUUAAAUUUAUUGCCACAGUUUAUUUAAUUAAUUAUUUAUUGAAUGAUAAUAUUUAUUUUAAUUUAAUUUACAAAUAUAGAUAUAUUGAAAGUAAUCACCAGAACAAAUAUUGACCUAGGGACAACUAUGUAAUUACAGAGGCACGACAUUUGUCUUUGGCCUAGCUUUAAUUAUGAGGUCGAAUAGAGUGUCAAUUAAGUGGUUAUUAUUGGUCUAAGACCAAGGACAAAAUUAAUAAAAAGAGUUUUAAUUAAUUAGGUUUUAUUUAAUUACAUGGUUUACUAGAGUGCAAUGUUGGACUUUUAGUGGAAUAAUCUGGGUUAACUUAGUAGUUUUAGUGUGUCAUGAUAUGACCAGGCCUUUACUAUUAAGUUGGAGCUAGAAAGCUCAUGGGUCUAUAAUUCCUCUACUAGCUAAAUUCUUGUCAAACUCUGAUUCUAAUAAAUACCUAUGUAAAAGAGAGGAAAUUAGAACCAAAAUAUGAUUUUACGUAUAGAUUUUGUUAAAAAUGAAAAAUAUAGCUCUAGGAUUUCCAUCUCCUAUAUAGACUUGUAGAGACGGAUGAGGAUAAUAAAGAAGACUACAACCAUAUUCUAUAGAUCCCAACAACAGUGGUGGAAAAGAUUGCUGUCGUCUUCUUCAGAUCUUCAACAGGAAAUCAAGGUAUUUCUCUAACCUUGUGCAUGUAUACAUAAUCAAGAAAAGUUCCUAGCUUUGAUUGAUUUUAUAAUAGAUAGAAAAAUUAUUUGUCUAGAUUUGAUCAACCAACAUCAUAAGCUCUUUGCACAUAUUGUUUUGUAUAUACACUGAAGUGGCAUAAUAGUAUUGAUUAUGUGGAUUGAACUAAUACUGUUACAUCACAAAUGUUUGUAAAAUAUAAUUUGUAUAAAGAAUUUGUGGUAGAUUCUAUACAGAGAAAAAUAUUAAGUACUCGCUUGUGCACUCUCUCAUUUAUAGAAUUUUGUCACGAGCAAGUCAAUAAUUCAAUUGGAGACAAUAUAGACAUCGAGAGUACUUAUUAUUUCUCUCGAAAUAAUAUUGAAUAUGUUUUUUUUAGAUACGUAUUGUUGGAGAAUGAACUGCAAAUUUGAUCUCUCAACCGAGUAUGACAAGUCAGUUGUAGACUUAGGGAUAUACCGACAUGUCGGUUGAAGUCUCCAAGGAGGCUGUAUGACAAGCUUUUGAUAUCAGUUGCGUGCAUUAGUAACACAUGUGGCCAAGCACGUGAAUAUCUUAACCAAAACAGUAGCUAAGGUUGGCGUUUCGGCAAAUAAGGUUAAUGAGACGUAGACACAUGGUCAGGGGCAGUUUUCAAAGGUUGUUGAAGGUUGCUACAAGCGCGGGAAGCAGCUGAGUUUGUUAUUAAGCUCAGGGGUCAUGUGCCGGCGUCUAGGGGAUCUUUCUAGAUUAGUCUCUUCUUGUAUAUAUAGUCUCACACUUUGACAUGUCAUGGUGUUGAUUCAGUUACAUCUUCUCUGUAAAUAUGUAUGUUGUAAACUCUCAUUCAGUGAAAGCUUGGUUAAUCUUUUCACAGUGGAUGUAAGCACAUCAAUGCCCGAACCACUUUAAAUUUGCCUUGCAUUGAUCUCUCAUUGAUUCAUUUUGCUUAUCUUGAUUAGUUUAAUCAUAUACAUCAAGAUUAGUUUGAUUAAUUGUUGUUUUAGCAUAAAGAAGUGAUUAGAGUGGAUAUUGGAGAGCCAAAUCCAGUGCUGCACUGGUUCAUGGUUCUACAUAUAUAGUUUUUGAAAUCAAUUUAGUGGCAUUUAUUUUUUUAUCUAAAAUCUGAAUAGACCUAAAUUGCUCGGAAUUCUAAGUAGACCUAAAUGUCUGAAUUUGAAUAAUAUGUUUUUUUUUGGCUCCGUGUCUCUAAAAAUAAGUAUUGAAUUGAAAAAUGUACUUUUACAUUUAUAUCCUUAUUAAAUUAUAUAUAUAUAUAUAUAUAUAUAUUAUUUAUUUGAGAUUCAAAUUUAAUAAGGAUACAAAUGUAAAAGUAUAUAUAUAUCCCAAAGAAAAUAAAUACCAUAAUACUUCAACAUAUAUAAGCAAAAACAUAUUCAAUUGAAUAGAUAAUGGUUUUGAAAUCAUAAUAUAUAAAGUACCAUAAGUUUCAAAUUUCAUCACAACUUCUCAAUAAUAGUACAUAAUAUAAGAUAAAAUUAUUAGUGAGUAAAUAUUUAUGGGUGAGUUUUGGAGUAGGCAUGAAAAAUAAUUUAUAUAGUAGGGAUAUUUUUGAGAUUGAAAAUUAGUUAGCUCAUUCAUAUUUCUCUAUUCCAAAAAAAUUAGCUUAUUUUAUUAAGUAAAAAUUAUCUAAAAUUCUCAUUAAGUUACAAAUACAAAUACCUCUACUUAACUAAAUUAAUUAAGUUAAAUCUCUUUAAGUCAUCAAGUGAAAAAAAAAACAUCCUUUUACUUAAUUAUUAGGCUAUUAGUAAAUGAAAAUAUAUAUAAUUAUUAAAAAUCAAUUAUUUAUAAUGUCAAAAAAUUUAAAAUUAAAAGUACCUUGUCAUUGUCAACACAGCUAAUGGGUCCAUCGGCAUUGUCGGUGAGGGUGCAAUAGCUGACCCCAAGAUUUAAAGACCUACAGGGCAGUGAGACGGUUAUUGGCAAAACAACAUCAUACUUUAAGCACACGUCUCCCAAAAGUUGCAGGGCAAUAUAACAUUGUUAGUAAUGGGUAGUAGCUAAAAGGUGUUAAUCGAUGCAAUCAAAUAUAAAAUUUCCAGAGCUGCAUAUCGAUGCCAACAAAAGAGGCACAAUUAGGGCGUCCAUUCCUCGAAAACGUGGUAGCCAAUAAAAUUUCAUCGAUGAUGAGGUAGUGAUCGAGUGAUAAAAUAGUUAACAGGUACCAUCAAAUUCAAAAUUUCUAGUUCUCCACACCAGUGGCAGAAAAUUAGGAAGAAAGCAGCUGCACAGACUUUCAGAAGUGGCUGGGCAAUACGGUGAAGUUUUUAAUUGGGUCGGGUGACGAGAUACUGAGUCUGGGAUCGGCCAAAGAGACACGAUUUAGGCAUACAUUCCUUGAUGAAGUGGUCGAUUAUGCUCAACGUAGUGUCAUUUCGCACCAUGGGGAGUUGCUCUGAAAAGUAAAAUAGGAAAAUCAAUAACAAAAAUAACAAUACAAAUAAAAAUAAAAGAAACAAAAGAACUAUGGCAAAUAAUAAUUUGUUACAUAACAAGGAAUGAGAACAAAGGGAAACUUUGACAUGCUUAAACUCUAAUCAAUCUAAAUCCCUAGCAAGAAAUUCACAAAAAGAUGAAUCCAAUUGGCCUGUUUUCAUAAAACCAAAAAUAUUUCUUAUUUUGUUUAUUUUAUUAGAAUUGUUGAAGUCUGAACUAGGUCUGAGCAAAAUGUUAAAACAUUUAUCGGGAAAGGUGUGUAAUAUACACGUAUGCAUUUGUGUGCAUGUGCUAUGCACAUACAUAUAUAAAUGUAAACAAAAUUAUAAUCUUUUAAAAUUUCAAUGUUACAGAUAUGUUAUUUCAAAUUUUCCUAGUUAGUGAAUAAAAAGAAAACAACAAUAUUUGUAAUAGCAUAAUGCCAAAAAACAAUUAAAAGAACAUUUUUCUGUGAGUACAUUUAGAAAAACUAAUUCUACCUAAUGAUAUCAGCAAAGAAGAAAAAAUGUGAUUGUGCAAAGGUUAAUACACACACACACACAUCCAUCCAUACAUACACAUACACAUAUUUGGCUCAACUAUGCUUCAAAAUAUUACGUUCAUAUAAAAUUUAACUGUGACUAAAGUAUAUUGAAAAUGAUGAGAUUGUAUAUCAUUGUAAGAAAUUUGGUGCUGAAAGAGGAAAAAAAUAACUAAUAGCUUACUGAAAUUCAAGGGUACUUAUGUGUUACGGAGAAUAAAAUUUAAUAAAUAAUGUGAAUAAUUUGAAAGUUUUGUAGCCAUUUAUCUGUUGUAAUAUUUUAGUAAAUGGUUUGAUUUUUAACAUCGUAAAAAUUAGUAAUUUAUCGAAAAAGAAUAAAAUAAAAUUAAUUUUAAAUCAUGAAUUUGAAAUAUAGGGGUAUAAUUAUCUUUUAAGAACUUAAAUGAUACAUUUCGAAAACUUAUUUGGGUUUUUAAGCUCAUUCCAAAAAACCAAGAUCCAACUAAAAAAAUACCCGGAUUUUAAUUUUAACACCUAAUGAGCAAAUGCGAACAUUUAAAUGCUUGAAUAAUGGGUUUUGCUCCUUUAUUACUUAUGUAUAGAUCGUUAUUUUGACAAUAUUAUUAGAAAUUUUUUAAUUUGUUAGCCAAGUAGUCUCACGCUUACUCCUGUAAUUAUUAAAACUUAAGGGUUCUUAAAUUUGUUUCAAAUAAUGUUAUGCUUAGGAAAAGAACAAAAAAUGGAAACUUUUACAAGAUUUGCCUUCAAUCCUCUCUGUAUGAGUAGACGGGGGUUUUAGCUGUAGCCGUUCGAGGUGAAUUUAGAAGUACUAAAAGUCAUUGAAGUUACCAAAUAACCUUAAGUAACAAAAGGAUGUGGUGCUAAUAUGAUUAUUGUUUCUCCUUUAAAGCUUUGAUUGUGAUAGUAGUAACUCUUAGUUGAUUUUAUUUAGAAAUUUUUUGAUAUAUUUGAAUUUUCACUAUACAAUAAGGAUUUGGGUGUAAAUUACCAUUUAUUGUCCGAUUGCCGAAUUUGAGAACUCAAGGGUUACAUAUUAAGUGCAGAGGCAGAGCUCUUUCGCUUAUCAAAAUUUGCAUUCUCUGGCUUAGUAGCUAAACUGCCCAUCAACGGUAGAACCUUUUUCUCAUUAUCCUCUUAUUAUUGUUGUUGUUGUUGUUGUUAUUAUUAUUAUUAUUGUUAUUGUUUUCUUAUGAUUGUGUGAAUUUAUGAACUCAAAUAAGAGUUCCAAUCCAAUAGUUCAAUUUUAUGGGUUUGUUGGAUAGAUUAAAUGGGCAUAUAUGUAUUGAAAAGCGUUCUAGUGUUGUGGAUGUUGGAUCAUAAACUUGAUCCAAAAUAAACAAAUUCAAGCCCAAAUACAUUGAAGUUUCUUGUGGUAGGUGUGGUAGGUAUGACUGGUGAAGUAGAUGAGUGGUAGGUUUUAAUGAAUGGUGAGGAUUUGUGUAGUAGUUGAAUAAAUGAAUGGUUGUGAUUAGUUUGUUUCAUGUAUAAAUACCCCUUCUCCCCUUUGGUUUAUGUAUUAAGUGAAGUAACAAAGUCUCUAAGUUGUAGAGAGUGAAAAAUAAGAGUUGUCGUUGAGGAGUAUUAUUGAAGAAAUAAAAUAUUGUGUUUUUUGAGUGUUGAUUUUUUUAAAAUUCUCCAACAGUGGAAAGGCGGAUGAGUAAGCAAUUAUGAUAUGACGAGGAACGAUGGAAUUUUUAUUAAGAAAAUUGAUUGCCUCUUGCAAUGGUAAAUGUAAUCCUAAUUGUCGAUUUACUGCUAUUGAGCUGACAAAAGCAACAAACAACUAGAGUUGCUGGGAUAUUACACAAAUGCAACUUCCAUAUCUCUUUAAAUUACAUCAAGGUCUUCUUGAGGAUCGUUCAAUUUUAGUGAUGAAGUUUGCAGACUACUAAGACCGAUAUCCUUUUAAUAGCAUUAUGUUUGCAUCACAUAUGUGUCGUAAAAAUAUUUGAAAUUCAUCACCCUCAUUAUUUGAAAGCUUGAAAUUUCAAUGAUCAAUUUGUUUGGUUAUCAAGAAAAUGUGUUUUUAUUGCUAAGAAAAUUGUAAAGAGGCUUUUGGAAUUUCUUAUUUUUAUUUCUCUCUCUAAUUACAGAAUGAUUACAAAAUGUACUUAUUUAUAUUCAGUUUGUUUUUCUUAAGCUAACAGAAGAGAAAAACAAACUAAAACAGAAUCUUAGUGUGCUUAACUAACUUCUGCUGAGCUGACAUUACAUUCUUCAACUAAUUCAGCUAACUGGAUUCUUUUAGCCUAAAAGAUUACACAUAUUGUAAUUUUUAUGAUAAUAAACAUGUGUCUAAAGUGAUAUAAUAAAUAUUGUAUUUCACAAGUUCACUAGUUCUUGAAGGAUAAUGUUUAUACAAGUGAAAUCAAGUUCAAGACACUCGACGGAUAACGACACAAUCAAGAAUAAAGUUUAGAGCUCAACAUAUUAAUUAUUGCGAUAAAUUCUUGUAAAACCGGUAUGAUUUAAUUGAUGAAUGGUUUAACAUUUGAGAAGCUUAAGAUUUUAUUUAAAUCAUUACUUUUCAUAAACCAAAAGAUUCUAUAUUUUUUAAGAUAAAGUAUUUUUUGGAUUUGAGUAAUUUGGACUAAAAUAAAAAAAGUUUUGCCAUAUUUGAUUUUAAUAAGUAUUUUUCUUGAAUUCUGGAUUUGGACUUAUUUGCAAACAUUUGAAACAUAUUGGGCCAUACUAUAAUUUAUGAAAGUUUGAGGGUCUGAGUGUAAAUAUCAUAAGUGGACAGAGAGUUAGUGGCUAGCUGCUGAGGAAAACUUCACAUUUCAAAUUUUGGACUAAAUUGAAAAAGUUUUGAAAUCUUUAAAAUUUAUAAGUAUUAUGUUAAAUUUUGAAAAGGACUAUUUUGAAAAAUAUUAUCAUGUAUUGGGCCAUGUCACAUUUUCAAAAAAUUUUGUGAAUAACAAGUAUUAUUUAGAAAUUCUGAAAUUUGACUUAUUUGCAAAGUUCUAUGACGCUUUGGGCCAUAGUAUAAUUACAAAAAGUUCGGGCAAAAAUGUAAUUUUGUGAAUAGUACUACUGUAGCAAAAUUUAAAUUUAACGGUAACUUUACUGUUCUAAAGCAGGCAGCUGACUAAAUUAAGUGGCUAGCCGCUUGCUCGCUGGAAUUUACCCAUAACGGCUAGUUUUCGGGCUUUAACUAUAAAAACUAAACUCCAACUUUGAAUUUAAGACUCUUGCAAGCAUAAACAACCGAAAAGAACAUAUUUUGAGCUUUCAAAUUUGAAAAUCAUCAUAGAUUAAAUCUUUAUUGUGCUAUCAUUUGUACAUUUACUCUAAAAGAGAGUUCAUUAUUGUAAUCUUUAUUUGAUCAUCAAAUUUGUAAGUGUUUAAGUGUGAGAAACAUUUGAGUAAAAAGAUUAAAAGAUAAUCUCUUGGUUGUAAAUGUUUAUUGACACUUUGGAAGUCAAUUGUAAAGAACUUGAAGCCUUGGGAGGUUUGGAUAGUGAAAUCCUCAAGCCGGGUGAGCUUGGAGGCGCGGACUUAGGCGGGGGAUUGCCGAACCACGUAAAAAUCAUUAUGUUUGCUCUCUCUUUCCUUACUAUUUUAUUAUUGUGCUUUAUUAAAUUUAUUAUUUUUGAUUUCAUUAAGGGAAUAGAUUGAAUUGUUGUGUGUUUUAUUUAGCUUAAGUUUUAAAAUCUUAAUUCACCCCCCUCUUUGGUUGCCUAAUUAGUAUUUCAGAUUCUACUCACACGUGUGCAACAUGCUUCCAUACAUUAUGUGCUUCCUUAACAGCCCCCCUCAAACUCAAGGAGCAUGGUUGCACAUUGAGUUUGGCUCUGAAAUAGUUGAAAUGGAUGAAUGUCAGAGACUUUGUCAAAAUAUCAGCAAUUUGUUCCUCACUGGGAAUAUAGUUAAUGUCCAAUUCCUUUGCCAAUACUUUGUACCCAAUAAAAUGCAUAUCCAGUUUAAUGUGUUUAGUUUUUGAAUGAUAGACUGGAUUCUUGGCCAACUAUGUUGCACUCAUAUUAUCACACCAGAUAAUAGGUAAUGAAGUGCAUUUGAUGUUAAGUUCACCGAAUAAUGACUGCAACCAUGUUAUCUCUGCACUUGCAGAAGCCAGAGCUUGAUAUUCACUCUCUGCACUGGACCGUGUAACUACAGACUGUUUCUUGGAUGACCAUGAAACUAGAUUGUUUCCAAAAUAAAUGCAAUAUACUCCUAUUGAUUUUCUAUUAUCAAUAUCACAUGCCCAGUCUGCAUCUGUAAAGCUUGUGAUUUUCAUUUCCCCACCAGCUGAAAACUUCAAUCCAUAGUUUGCAAUUUCCUUUAAGUAUCUGAGAACCCUCUUGCAAGUCAUUACAUGCUGCAGUGUUGGAGCUAUCACAUAUUGACUCAAUUUAUGCACAGCAAAUGCUAUCUCUAGUCUAGUUAAUACCAGAUAUUGUAAUCCUCCAACUAAGCUUCUAUAGCUUGUUGCAUCCUCAAUAUACUGACCCAAAUUACCUUUCACUUCUUUAUGAAGCUUUGAUCCAGUAACUAUAGGAGUGUCACAUUCUUUACAAUUUAGCAUAUUAGCCUUGGAUAACAAAUCCUUGAUAUAUUUCUUCUAAGAUAGAUAGAUAUAGUCUUCAAUAUAAGAAACUUCUAUCCCAAGAAAAUAUGACAGUAUUCCCAAGUCCUUUAAAGCAAAAGUCAUACUGAAUUCCGAGAUGAAUUUCUCCAGCUCUCUGCUAUCAGGUCCUGUGAUUAGGAUGUCAUUAACAUAGAUUAGUGAACCCUGCAUUUCUUUGAAGAAAAUAGAGGUAUCGGCUUCAGAAUUCUGAAACCCCCAAUUAGCAAUCAGACAGCUCUUAAGCUUGUCAUACCAAGCUCUAAGAGUUUGUUUCAAGCCAUACAAGGCCUUCUACAGCUUACAUAUAUAAUUGAGUUUUUGCUAAUCAACAAAUUCUUCAGGUUGAUACAUGUAGACAUCUUUUGUUAAUUCCCAUUCAAAAAGACAUUAUUCACAUCCACUUGCCUUAUUUUCCAUUUAUGCAUUACAGCCAAACUUAAAACAACCUUUAUUGUGGAAGCCUUUACAACCGGACUAAAAGUCUUAAAAUAAUCCACACCUUCAGCCUGUUGAAAACCUUUUGCAACUAACUUGACCUUGUAUUUAGCUAUGCUUCCAUCAGUAUUUUGCUUGAUUCUGAACACUCAUUUGCUGUCAACCACCUUAUAUGCAUUUGAAAAUGGUACCAAUGACCAAGUUUAUUCUUUAUCAAGGCUUAAUACUCAUCUCUCAUGGCUUGAUGCCAAUUUUGAUCACUAAGAGCUUCUUGAACUGUACUGGGUACUUUGUUGAUUAAAGUGACUGUAUAGACCUUUGAUUGGAAGAUUCCAAACUUUGAUAUGGUAAUCAUUGGAUGAGAGGAUUGUGGGAGAAGAUUUCUGGUUUGAUUUUGAUCUGUGUUUUGUGGAAUAGAUGGUUGUGUUGGUAAUGUAUUUGCGUCAGUUUGUGGUUGUGUUGCUAAUGUAUUUGGUGAUGGUGAGGUUGAGGAUGACAAUUCUGAGAGUGUGUGUGGUGAAUGUUCUUGUUGAUUCAGAUUAUUUGUAUGUAUAGGAAUAGAAGACAUUUGUUCAUUCCUUGCUGAACCUGCUGACUGAAAACCUUCAUAGCUGUUGUUGGGUAAGGAUAUUGUAGAAAGAUGAUAAAUCUGUUGUAGAGAGAAAUUAGACAUUGAUAUUUCAGAGGAUGUAGGGGUUUCUGAUGAAUGAAAUGUAAUGUUUAUUGAAUAAGAAAAUGUGUUUUCAUAAAAAAUGACAUGUCUAAGAACAUAAACUUUACCAGAACUUGCUAAGCAUUUGUAUCUUUUAUGAGAGGGACUGUAGCCAAUGAAGAUGCAUUUAGAAGUGUGAAAAUCAAAUUUAUGCUUGUUAAAGUCUCUCAAAUAUGGAUAGCAAAGACAACCAAAGCACUUGAGAAAUGUAUAGUCUGGUUUGUGCUUGAACAAUUUUUCAAAAGGAGAUAGAAAUUUUCGAACAACGGUUGGCAAUCUAUUAAUAUGGUAUAUUGCUGUGUGAACAACUUCCCACCAGAAUUGAAACGGGAAAUUUGCUUGAGCAAUGAGAGUUAAGCCUAGCUCAAUUAUAUGCCUAUGUUUUCUUUCAACAAAACCAUUUUGAUGAUGGCUGUAAAGACAUGAGUGCUUAAAGAUUAUCCCAUUUUGAUUGAUGGAUGUAAAGACAUGAGUGCCUGAAGAUUAUCCCAUUUUGAUUAAGGAAGUCAGUAAAUACUCUAACUUCUCCCCCAGGUCAGAUUGUAUCACCUUGAUUUUGGCAUUAAACUAAUUUUCAACUUGAAUUUUGAACAAUUUAUGAAAUAUAUGUAUUCUAAUUUCUCUAAUUAAGGGUAGUAUUUAAUUUUUCCCCUUCGGCAUUAAUUUAACCCGGAUUCGACCCAGAAACCCACGUCCUUGACUCAACUCCAGCUGCCGAUUCCGGCCACCUCACCGGCCGACCAAGGUACAGAUUUGAAGCUUAGUAGCCGGCCAUCACAUCCCCAUCGUCCUCGCCGUCGAAAACUAACCGGAACACCGCCGUUGGAAGCUCGAAAAGCCACGGCCCAAACCCAUCGCCGUCGAUUUCUUUGGAUUAGGCUGCGCCACCGGCUGGGUUCGACUCCUCAUGUUACCAGCUUCCAUUUUCGACUAGUUUCGUCACCUGAAACGGCCGGAUUGCUGCCGAUCGACCACUUGGAGCUCACGGAUUUGGAAGCUCGAUCCGCCAUCGUCGCCGCGCGUGGAAGAUCACCGCCGGCACCAUUGGACUCAGCGUGGCCAGAACUUUCAAACCUGAGCUUUCUGUCGACGUUGACUAAGUUCGGUCACCGUUGACCGGUAGGGGUAAUUCGGUAAUUUUAUAAAACUUUGGGAUAAAUUUGUAAUUUCUAAAAAUAGUGGAUAAUUUGGUAAUUUCAGACUAGGACACUGAGGUAAUUUGAGAUUUCGGGGGUUAUUCAAUAAUUUACGUUGUCAAGGAUAUUUUGGUAAUUUUACACUCCGGGGUGAUUUCAUAGUUUCUGAUAUUGUGGUUAUUUUGUGAUCUGAGUUGAUGUUGGGGGCAUUUUGGUAAUUUUGGCAUGCGGGGGUAUUUUGGUAAUUUGAUGCAUACAAGAAUAGUUUAAUGCGGAUAAAUAUUCGUUUAGAGAUUAAUCGCGUAAAAUUUAUUAUAUUUCAUGUUUACGGAAAAUGAUUUAUCGUUUAUGUAAUUAGGAGGACUCGCGAACGAGAAUCAACCUGCGGACGUUGUUGAUACCGAGUCUGGAUAUUGUCACUGUGAGUGGAAUAUACAAAAUCUAUUUUUAUAAUAUAGGGCUUUGGGGCCCGUCUGAACACACAUAGAGGUUUUGAGCUGUGUGCUUGGGCGCUUUUACCUUUUGGGGGCGUAUGCAUGCAAUAUGAUGAUUACAGAGAUACAAAUAUUGAGAUAAAGAUGAUACAAAUGAGAUAUGAUGAUACAGAUGAGAUAUGGUGAUAUAGAUGAGAUAUUAUGAUACAGAUGUGAUAUACGCCUUUGGGGCCCGUCUGAGUACACACAUAGACUUUGAACCGUGUACUUGGGCGCAUUGUCCUUUGGGGACCAGAUCAUGUAUGCACAUAUAUGAUGAGAUAUAUGCGAUGAUAUUUCCCUGUCUAUCCGUGUAGUUCCGGGGCAUGACGGUAGUUAGAUAGUACGUCAUUUCUUGUCCGUUGAGGUCCGGAUAUGAGAUAUGAGACAUAUGAGAUGACAUUUCCCUGAAUACCUGUUGCAGCUUCGGGGCAUGAUGGUUCCCUGAUUGCCUGUCAGUUGAGGUCCGAGUAUGACGAGAUUAUUCCCUCGAGUACUUGUUUGGCGAUAGUUUUCGAUAUUCAAUGUUCGAUAUUAUAAGUUUUAUGAUUUAUUGAUUUUAUGCAGAUUUGUAUAAUAUUGUUAUUCCAGUGCAUGAUUUAAAUUAAAUAAGCUUAUUUAAGUUGUUAUGAUAUUUUGAUGAGAUUGUUAGAGGAAGAUUAACUUAUUUUUAAAUAAGUUUAUUUUUUUAAAAAUUUAUUAUCCACUCACUGAGCUCACUGAGUUUUAUACUCACCCUGUAUUUAUUAUAUUUUUCCCCCAUAGGAGACUUGCAGGUACAUCAAUCGACCCAACAACGAUAGUUAUUUUGAUAUUAUGGCUACAUGAUGGUGUUAGGAAUUUUAGAUAUUUUAAUUGAGAUAUUUUGGAUUGUAUAAUUUAUUAUGUUUUGGUGAUUGAGGAAAAGUUAUUGUAUUUUGAUAUUCGUUAUUUUAUCUAAGGAAGUUGGUUGUAUUUGGAAUUAUUUUGGGAGUGUUAAUUUUAUAAAUUGCAGGUUUGGGUAUAUUAUAUUUAUAGGAGAGACUCUGCCGAAUUUUCGAUAGAAUUGUUGUUAAUUAGAUUAAUUUCUAUUCGAUUUGAUAGACUUAGAUAGACUUGCCCUGGAGGUUCGAGGUGGGUCAUUUCAGUUUAAAGACUUCAAAUGCUUGUGAUUUGAGCUUAAGAGGAUAUAUCCAGGUGUAUCUAGUAUAGUCAUCCACAAAACUAAUGUAGUAUUUGUAUUCAUUUCUAGAUAUAGUAGGUGAAGGCCCCCAAAGAUCAGUGUGGAUCAAUUUUAACACCUUUUUGUUUUUGUUUCGGUUGUAGAGAAAUAUUGCUUAAGGACUUUGCCUAACUGACAUGCUUCACAUGAAGAACUUGCAGAGGACAAAAUAUCAUUUUGAGAGACUUUAAACUGUUUACAUGAUUUAAGCAAAUGCAUCAAUGUCAUUGAACUUGGAUAGCCAAACUUUCUAUGUAACAAAGUUAUUGUAUCGGGUUUAGCAUUACACUUAUUGGAAACAAAAUGAUAACAUGCUUUAGUAACAUUAUCACAGUUUCUAAAAACAGACAACAUAGAAAUAGGUUUAUUUAGCUAAGAUUGACAAAAAUGAGAUGUAGGUGAUGAGGAAAGAGAACUAGAAUUCAGCAGCAGCUUGCAAAGGCCUUUUUCAACAAUGCCCUGCAGAAGAACUUGGCCCUUCAUGACCUUCACAAAACAAACAUUUCCACUAAAUUCAACAGAUAUAGGAUUGUCAGAUGUGAGUUUGGACACACCUUUUAAUAAUAGAAAUGCUUGUCCAACAUGAGUGAUAGACAAACCUUGACCAUUGCUAAUGAUAAGUUGAUCAAUACCUUUAAAUUCUUCACUGAUCUGUAAAUUCUCCAUAUUGUUGGUCAAAUGGUAAGUUGCUCCACUAUCCAGAUAGCAUCCAUCAUUAGCAGAUCCAUUCUUAGUUAGCCAUAAAAGCUGCGUCAGGAGUACAUGCAUCCAUGCCAGAAUAGUAGCCACUGCCAGAUAUAUAAUCAUAUCCUGGAAACAUAUUAUUGAAAUUUUCAUAGCCAAUAAAGUCUGGAUUAGCAGCAGAGCCAUCAGAAUUUGAAAAAUAUGCUGCUCUUGGUGCUUUGCCUUUGCCAAAACCUCUUGGAAUAGGCACAUAAUCUUGAACAAAUCUGUGCCAACAGACAUCAGCAAUAUGACCAAAUUUAAAGCAAAUCUGACAUAUCAGCUCUCCCAUAUUAUUGAGAAUUCAUUGUGAUCCAUUCAUGUUAGCAAAUCCAUUCUUAAUCAAAUGAGCUCGGUUCCCUAAGUGCUGGAUUCUUAGGUGCUGAAAAAGGAUUGAAACCAGUAUAGUUAUUGCCAGAAAAAUAUCCUCUGCCAUAUCCACUUUUAAAACCUCAAUUAAAUAUUCUUGGAGAGUAAUUCAUGCCUCCUCUGCCAAAGAAAAGAUUUCUACCACUGGAAUAGCCUUCUCAUUUAAAUCUUUCCUAGGCUGUGUGAUAACUCUAUGAAAUGAGAGUUAUUACAUCAAUUCUAUACUUAAAUCAAGAUCACUUAGAGAGCAAAUAAGGUGGUUUUAUUACAUUUUGGUUAUAUUUUGCAUAAACAGUCAUUUUAGUUGAGUCUUAAUAAGUUUUACUUGAAUCAAAGUAAUUUGUGCUCAAAACAGGUACAUAAUUGUAGGUUUUCAGAAAUCCUUAAUUCAUGAAGGGAUGCUUAGACAUUAGAUUAGCAAGAGGAGGAAAGAAGAUGGCCGCAAAAGAAGUAAAGCACAAUCGGGAACAAUGCAGUGUUGUAGCUGUUAUUAGAGCAACCAGUGCUGUAGCAAUUUGCAAGCACUGAGGGAGAAAACUUAAGUGCGGGUCAGCUGCAGAAUUACGAUAUGCAUGUUUCCUAAUUUAACUCAUGCACGUCCACAGACUUUUAUUUACCCUAGUUUACAGUAUAAAAGGUGGCGCGCACUACAUAAAACGGCAGUAAGGGAAUUAUCAUCGAGACAUUAGAGAAAAAGAAGGAGAAUAAGAUCGGAAUUGAAGAGAGCGGCGUCAGCAGUAUUGAGGAAUCCUGCAGAGUUAUUUGGAUUUGCUUUUUGUCGUUCUCAACUUAUACUUUUCUUCUUUAUUUGACUGUUCUGAUGUAUUCUGUGAACAAUAUAUUAAUGUUUGUUUUCUCAUUCAAAAUAUGAACUAGAUUUGCUUGUAGUUGCGUGACAAACAAUCUAAUGGAUGCUUGAUUGUUCUUAUGUGUUGUUAUGUAUUGAGUGUUAGAAAAUAUAUAUUUAUAAAGGAGAAAAUCGUCAUUUUACAUUUCAAGUCUUACUAACAACCCUUACUUUUAUGUAUUUAAGGUUCUUGUAAUUUAAUUAUGUGUGUUUUAUUUUAAUUAAGUAUUUUGUGUAUUUUAGGGGCAUCAUAGUCAUUUCACAAUAAACGAGAGAUCAAACGGCAAAACGGACAUCACUUUUGAACUUAGGACGAUCGAAAACCUUAGGAGGAGCAUAAAAGGAAAAAUGGCACUGUUCACAUGUACGGUACUAUUCAUAUGUACGGUACUGUCUACGUUACUGUUCACGACACUGUUCAGAUAGACAGAUCGAUGACGUGGCAUUGACCGAUGAUGCGGCAUUGACUGAUGAGGUGUCAUGAUCCUGUUGGUCUAAAAUUCUUAUGAACUGUUGAUGGUGAUGUGGCAGCAUAUUAGUGGACCAAAACUUGCGCGUACGGUACAUGCAUUACACAGGAUUAUUUUCAACCAAACCGUGUUACUAUUUAAAGCCGGGUCAAAUCGUGUUAAUGUUCACCCACGUGGUCAAACCGCGUACUGUUGACUGAUGACGUGGCGCAAUCCUGAGCGUCCAAACUGUUUUUAAUCCGAUAGCCAUAAUUUACUCCAUGUAUCUAUAAAAAGAGGGACUCUCCCCCCUAAUUUGAGAGCUCUGAAUCCAUUUUUGGGAUCUAUUUUCUGUAAUUCCUUCUCCAUUUUGUAUUUUCUACGUAUUUUAAUAAAUUCUCAUUUUGCCCCUAGUUCAAUUAUGAGUAGCUAAUUUUCUUUCAAGCUUGGGUUGAAGGUGAAGUCUCAACAUGUGUCACGGGCUUUAUUUGAUAAAUUUACUUUCUCUUCUCCUUUAAGUUUUGUGGAUGUUUUGACUUCUUGUCGACAAAUAGUACUAAUCUUGUCUAGUACCGCCUUGGUUUCACCGGCCCCCUAGUACAAGGUUAUUAUUAUUUGGCACGAUAAUCCUUUAGCACCAUAUUGAUUAGAGCGUGGUUCAUGAGGUGUGGAUUCCCCCCUCAUGAUUUAAUUGGCAUUAAUAAUGAUUAUUUAGCCCAUGAUGUAUGUUGAUACGGAUCCAAAUACCCAAGUACGUCAUUACAAUAGAAUUCUCUUCAAAUUAUUCUCGCCAUUUCAAUUCCAAUUUUAAGAUAAUCCAAAUCAUUUUCACCACAAAUCCAACCACCCAUUUACAAAAUUAAUUCUACACACAAUUAAAAUCCACCUCCUCGUGGGAUCGACACUCGUCACCAUUGAUCUAUUCUACAAUAGAUUCGUGCACUUGUGAGUUCAAUAAAAUUUGCACAAUAUUAUGUCAUUGCUGUAGCAUUUUACUCUAGUAGUUAUUAUUAAUAUAACUGUUAUUUUGGUUGACCACCCAUUUAAUAGUUCAAGUUAAGAUAGAGCAGCAAAAUGGCAUGUCUUAGCAGAUAUUAUUAGAGUAUUACUUGAUCUUAAUUUUAGUUUCCUGGAUUAAGUUAUGUUGAAUCCCAUAAGGGCUAUACUUGAAGUUAAGAUUUGUGACACACUAGAUAUAGGUGCUCACCUUGUAGGGUGGAGAGAUUAAAUGGUCAUAAGGCCAUAUCAUAAGUAGAUUAGCAACUGGUCAUUACUAAUAUAUUUAAGAGUAUGAGAGUUUCAAUACGCGACAGCUGAGGAUGCAGAUUAAUUCUGCCCAGUGCUGCAGUAUUUGCCAUAACAACUGGUGUUAACUUGAUGAAAAAUAGUCAACCCAUAAGGAGAGUUUGAUCAUUCAACUACCAUAGUUUCAAUUGAAUCUUAGACACAUUUAAUUUAGUUUAUUUUAUUACGGUAUUGUUUUACUUUAUUCUCUCACAAUCAUCAAUUACGAUAGAACCCACUUUACGUUUAAUAACUUCAGACUUAAGUUAGUUUGCACUAUUGUGAUUACUAUAGCAUUUCAAGUGACAUCAAUCCCUAUGGAGACGAUCUUGAAUAUUCAUCACUUUAUUACUUGUUAUGUAUACUUGCACAUUGGCAUUAGUAGCAUUUGAUUAUAAAAUUUACCAACAAGUUUUUGGCGCCGUGGCCGGGGAUUGAUUGUUUAUUUUUGAAGUGUAAAGUAAAUCUUGAUAGCGCCAAUUUGAUUUGAUUCAUUCUAUUUAUUGGCAUAUCAAUACUUGCAUGCACAAAGACGGAUCUGUGGUAUUCUAAUUCGAUCAUGAGAUUGAAAGGACUGUUAGGAGACUGCGAAGAGAACAAAGAAAUUCAAAAACUAUUUCAGAUAUGAAUAAUUUGUAGGAUGUGAGAAAUAUGGACCCUCACUAGCCCUUAAAACCAGUCAAUGUUCAAGAAGAGCAGCAUGAACAUGCUAAUAAGAGACAGCCAGACGAUAACAACAUUAUUUACAUGGCUGAUGACAGAGACAGAGACAGAGCUAUUAGACCUGAAGUAGAAGCCAAAAACUUUGAAUUGAAGCCAGCGAUGUUUCAAAUGUUGCAAACAAUUGGUCAAUUCAAUGGAUUGCCAAAUGAAGAUCCUCAUCUCCAUCUUAAGUUGUUCUUGGAAGUGAGUGAUGCUUUCAAGAUUGCUGGAGCAACACAAUAUGCCUUAAGACUGAGGCUUUUUCCUUAUUCCUUAAGAGAUCGAGCAAGAGCAUGGUUAAAUUCGUUACCAUAUCAUUCUAUCACUACAUGGAAUGAGUUGGCUGAUAAAUUCCUAAUGAACUAUUUUCUACCAACAAAAAAUACAAAAUUUCAUAAUGAGAUUACUUCUUUCCAUCAACUUGAAGAUGAGAGUUUGUAUGAGGCUUGGGAAAGAUUCAAAGACUGCUCAGAAGGUGUCCUCAUCAUGGCAUUCCUUGUUGCAUUCAAUUGGAAACUUUCUACAAUGGGUUGAUCCGAGUACAAGAUUAAUAGUUGAUGCUUCAGUAAAUGGAGCUCUGUUAUCCAAAUCUUACACUGAAGCUUAUGAAAUUCUGGAGAGAAUUGCCAAUAAUAAUUAUCAGUGGCCAUCAACCAGGCCACCAGUGGCAAGAGGAACAACAGGGGUACAUAAUAUAGAUGCAAUUACAACCUUAUGAGCGCAAGUAACCUCAUUGACUAACAUGGUAAAUGUCAUGACAUCUGCUCCAGCAGUAGUGAAGCAAGUUGCUGAACUUUCUUGUGUAUACUGUGGUGAAGAUUAUGGCUUUGAUAAUUGUCUUGGUAAUCCAGCUUCAAUAAACUAUGUGGGUAAUUUCAAUCGACAGCUUCAGAACAACCCAUAUUUAAAUACUUACAACCCUGGCUGGAAACAACACCCAAAUUUUUCAUUGAGCAGUCAGAAUCGAAAUGCCCCAGCAUUAAAUGGACAAAAUAAGAACACUCAACCACCUGGUUUUCGUCAGCAGAGUCAAGGGAAAAAACAUAUCAGUCAGGAUCAAAUCACUUCAUUGGAAGUACUAAUUAAGGAAUACAUUGCAAAGAAUGAAGCAAUUGUGCAGAGUCAAGCUGUAUCCUUGAGGAACCUGGAAAACCAAAUAGGACAACUUGCCACAGCAAUGAGUAGCAGGAUUCAAGGAAGCUUACCUAACAACACAGAAGACCCUAGGAGAGAGGGCAAAGAACACUGCAAAGUAAUUAAUUUUAGUAAAUUCCUGGAAGUACUGAAGCAAUUACACAUCAUUUAAAUUAGAUUGUUUAUUCUCGUAACACAACUCUCUGUUAUGUUAUUUGUCACAAACAUUAAAAUCUUCAUACGAUGAAUCCUUUAAUUGACAAUAGAUUAAGUUGAUAAUUAAAUAGUGGUCAGUUAUCUAAUUAACAAACAUAAUCAUGAAAAUAAUUCAGAGAACAAACAAAUACUCAAAAAGCAAUAAAACAAUUAAAGCAUAAGAAAGAUCUCACAGUAGUGAUGAAUCAAAACUUCAUUAACCUUCAACUAGAAUAAUAGGUUUAGUUCUUCAUAGAGAGAAGAGAAAAAUUUAGCUCUGGGUUUCUUUCUUUUCUCCAAAGUCUCCCCCUCUUCACAAUAGAUUUCUCCCUUAAAUACUCUCUCUCUCUUCUCCUCUAGAGUUCUUUUUAAAAUCAAAUAUUAAUAUCUAAAAUAUUAAAUUCGUAAUUACAAAAAUAACCAAAAAUACAAAACACGUUAAACUAAAAACUGCAGGUCCGUAGUUGACAGCACGCGCCCACGCCUUAUCAACAAAGUUCUUCUGACGCUCAUAAUUUCUCCAAGAGAACAAUCAUCCUUAAACAUCAUCUUGUCCCUCAAUUUUAGCAUCAAUCAAUAGAAUUGCACCUACAAAAAUAAAACACAAGUAAAUCACUAUUAUUAAGUGCAAAACAUCGAUAUUAAGGGAAGUAAACAAUACAAAACUAGUGCAUAAAUUGCACUCUAACAAAUUCCCCACACCAAGAUGAUGCUUGUGCUCAAGCAUAUAACUCAGGACUAAUCCCAAAUCUCCACUCAAUUCUCAUCUCAACUCAUCCAAAAAUAAUCUUAAGCAAGCAUACCUCAAGAAUUUAAGUCGAUCAACAUUCGAGAGACAAGGAUUUUAAAGCAUAUGAUCUCAUAAACUAAUAUAAAAAAAAACAUUCAACCACCAAGAAGAUCCAUUCAAAAUUCAAGUGCAACAAGAUUUAAUAGCCCUCUUAAUGACUUCACUCCAUGCACUCAAAGUGUUCAAGGUAUCAUUUAUGCACUCAAAUCAAAUCAAAGAAUGCUAUUACAAUAAGCUUGCUCAUAUAUCACAUCUCAAUCCACAAAACAUGAAUUAAAUGCAAAAAUCUAAGGGUCUUAAAAAGGUUGUAACGAGGUUAAAUGAAAAAGAAAGGUCUAUGAAAGAAAAAGAGAUCAAAAUGAGAAGAAUGAAUUCAUUGAACAAACUUUAUGAUAUUGAAACACUUAUUUCUACUCAAGUCACCAAGAAUGUAAACACAUUUUUUUUCUUUUCUUUUUUUUUUGAUUUUUUUUUGAUUUUUUUGGUUUUUUUUUUAAUUUUUUUUAAUCAAACAAAAGAAAUGAACCUUGCACAAUUUAAUUCAAGCAUAAUGCUUGUUGAUCUAAUUGAGAAACUUUAAUUCAAGGUAGCAAGAGCAACAAAAUAUAUCCAAACAAUGAGUCCAAAAAUCUCCUUAAAUUGAGGCUCAAAAAGAAGAAAAAUGGGUAAAUAGAGGGAGAGAAUUGAAUGAGUAAUGGUUGAGGCUCAAACAAAGAUAGUAAAUAAAGAUCUUCGGGUAGAGAAAAAAAAAGAAAAAUGCGAGAAUAGAAAGAUGGGAAAUGGGUUGCCCUUAUCAUUUUAAUGCAUAAAAUCUCGUAAUGCGGCUUCAACAUGCAUAAUAAAGCAAGUUCUAGAAUAAACAAACUAAGAUUGAUAUUCAUAUAACAAAAAUAAUUAGAACAAAGUGGUUGCUCAUAGGGUCAAAUCCUCACAAAGUUGGUAAAUUUGCCAUCAAAUCAUGUACACUCUUCAAAUGAAUCAACCAUCAAUAGUGGUGUAGAAUGAGAAGAAGGUAGGAGUGAUGUUGUGCAAAUUUUAAUGUACUCGCAAGCGCACGAAUCUAUUGUAGUAUAAACUAAUGGUGACGAGUGUCGAUCCCACGAGGAGGUAGAUUUUAAUUGUGUAGAAUUAAUUUUGUAAAUGGGUGAUUGGAUUUGUGGUGGAAAUGAUUUGGGAUAUGCUAAAACUUAAAUUAAAAUGGCGAGAAUAAAUUCUAAAAUUGGAAUUGAAAUGGCGAGAAUAAAUUGAAGAGAAUUCUAUUAAAAUGACGUACUUGGGUAUCUGGAUCCGUAUCAACAUGCAUCAUGGGCUAAAUAAUCCGUAUUAACGCCAAUUAAAUCAUGAGGGGGGAAUCCACACCUCAUGAACCACGCUCUAAUCAAUAUGGUGCUAAGGGCUUAUCGUGCCAAAUAAUAAUAACCUUAUACUAGAGAGCCGGUGUAACCAAAGCGGUAUCUAGACAAGAUUAUUAUUAUUUGUCGACGAGAAGUCAAAACAUCCACAAAAACUAGAGGGGAAGAGAAAAUAAAUUUACCAAAUUAAGCCCAUGACACAUGUUGAGACUUCACCUUCAACCCAAGCUUGAAAGAAAAUUAGCCACUCAUAAUUGAACUAAGGGCAAAAUGAGAAUUUAUUAAAAUACGAAGAAAAUACAAGAUGGAGAAGGAAUUAUAGAAAAUGGAUCCCAAAAAUGGAUUCAGAGAUAUCAAAUUAGGGGGGGGAGGCCCCCUUUUUAUAAAUACAUGGAGUAAAUCAUGGCCAUCGGAUUAAAAACAGUUUGGACGCUCAGGAUUGCGCCACGUCAUCAGUCAACAGUACGCGGUUUGACCACGCAGAUGAACAGUAACACGGUUUGACCCGGAUGAACAGUAAUGCGGUUUGACCCGGAUGAACAGUAACGCAGUUUGGUUGAAAAUAAUCCUGUGUGAUGCAUGUACCGUACGUGAGAUUUUUCAUCCACUGAUAUGCUGCCACGUCACCAUCAACAAUACAUAAGAAUUUUAGCUCAACAGGAUCGUGACACCUCAUCAGUCAAUGCCACAUCAUCGGUCAAUGCCAUGUCAUCGUCCGUCUAUGUGAACAGUGUCGUGAAUAGUAACGUAAACAGUAUCGUACAUGUGAAUAGUACCGUACAUGUGAACAGUGCCAUUUUUCCUUUUAUGCUCCUCCUAAGGUUUUCGACCGUGCUGAGUUCAAACGUGAUGUCCGUUUUGCCAUCUGAUCUCUCGUUUAUUGUGAAAUGACUAUGAUGCCCCUAAAAUACAUAAAAUACUUAAUUAAAAUAAAACACACGGAAUUAAUUCAAAAGAAGGUUAAAUUCAUAAAAGUAAAAGUGUUAGUAAAACUUGUAGUGUAAAAUGACGAUUUUCUCCUUUAUAAAUAUACAUUUUCUAACACUCAACACACUCCCCAACCAGCUUAUUGCUAGUCCCUUUAUAAAUAUACAUUUUCAAAACCAAAAUGAUUUUAUUUUAUUUAGAAACACUCGUGUUUAUUCAAUCAGAUUAAUAAUAGCAAUCAAAUAAAAGUAUAAGUAUUAUCUCCAGUCUAAAGUAACAUCACACCCACAUCAACCAUCCACAUGAAUCAGUCCAGUAGACUUUGUCAUAGCUACUUGCAAGAAUGACAUGUCAAACCCCAAAAUCUCACUGGAAGUAGUGACAUUCUCACAAAGAAAUUAAAACCAAUAAAAAUAGUCACUCCAAUGAAUGGUAAUUGAGAGAGAAAAUAAUAAAGAAGUGAUAUCACAUGCUCUCACCAAGAUGAAAUAAAUAUGCCCUCAGCUUAUAAAUAAUACGAACUCAAGUUAAACAAAAAUGCUAGUCAACCCACUUUAUUUAUCUUCUUUUUUUUUAUUAUGCAUCACUACAUCUUUUUAGCCCAUAUAACUAGCUUCUACUUCAAACUAUAGUUCCCUAAAAUCAAGAAGGACUUUUAUUAGGACGUAACGUAGGCUAGGGACAUGGCUAACAAAGAAGGAAAAUAAGGAAAACAAAGUGUAUGUUUGAGAAAAAUGCAGAGAAUUUUUUUUUUUUUGGAAGUUGCAAGGUGGAUUUCACCUAUUAUUUUUAUUUUUAUUCUUUUGAAACAACAACUUUUGUUUUUUUUUUCUCUUUUUUUUUGGCAUAACUUCACUGAACAAAAUAAUUAUUUACAUUUUUCUCAAACAUAAAUAGGUGAUGGAACUUAUAAGACAUCGGGUAAUACUCCAAAUCGGAGUGGGUCAAGAUGAUAAGUUGACAAAGAAAAGGUUUUUUUUUUUUUUUAAAGGCUCAAAAGGGUUAACUAUGGAUAUUUAAUAAAAGGGAUGGCUAGAAAGGCUUAAACGGAUCAAAGAUGGCCUUUCCAUCGUCUUUUAGGGCUCUAAAUAAUCAUCCAUAUCUACUAGUUAGAUGGGACUCCCAAUGUAACAACACACAUUUUUUUCUCUUUUUUUUUAUUUUACAAUUUUUUUAAGGGUUAACUCAAAAGCAAUUUAGAGAUCGUGUGUAAAAUAAUAAACUGCUAAGCUGUAUAAAGAGUGGGUAAAAGGGUUAUUCUCCAAGAAAAAUAAUAGGCUCAAAAACUCACUUGGUACUUAUUAUGACAUGUUCAUUCCUUCAAGCAACUCAUAUUUGUCUUCGACAUCAACAUGUAGAGUAGCAAACAUAAUGUAACAUCACUUAAGACCAAAAAUAAUACAAAUACUAAAAUUUGAAAUUAAUCAUAUCAUCCAAUGUUAAAACAAAUCACACAAUUUUUUUUUAAACAACAUUCUACCCCCCAACCUAUUCUAAACAUGAAAGGAAAAUAUGCAUGCAGAAAUGUGAAAAUGAUGCAUAAAAACUAAUUAGAAAAGUUACACGUAAAAUGAUAGAAAACGAAAAUGUUUUUUUUUUUAAAAAAAGAUGCGUUUCUAGAGGAACUACACUCCAUAUUCAGCCAUCUUCGACUCACAAGUUGGAAAAUGUAUAUUGAUAGAGGAGAAAUUAAAAAGAAGAAAAAUAAACAUAAAAACAUAAUAAAGAAAAAGAAAAUGUCUGAAAUUUUUUUUUAGUUUUUUAAUUUUUUUUUUUACGAUGAAGAUGCGUUUCUAGAGUCACUACACUCCAUAUUCAGCCAUCUUCGACACAAAAAGUUAGCAACAGUUAGUUUCUACAACAAAAAUUAGUAAAAACUUAACCAAAAUUCCACAAUUGUCGACUAUUCCCUCCCCCCAACUAGAACGAAACAUUGUCCUCAAUGUUUGAAAGGAAAGAAGUAGAGUUUAGAAGAUAUCACCUGGGUGGUGCAACACAGAAAACAAUAUUUACAAGCGGAGAGUUAAAUCUAAUUUGUACUUCUUACUGCGGCUACUGUUACCAUCAUUAUUUGGGCGCUCCAACACAAAGGUCCAGGGGUCUGGCUUCGGUUUAUAAGCUUGUAACAGAUCAAGUAGCUCAUUAGCAGUGUGAGCACAAAUAAAAAGUUUUUUCACAUUAGAAGGAAUGAAAUAGUUUUUUAUUGCAUGGUUAAGAAAUGCGAUAAAGCCAUCAUAAAAGUUAUUGACAUUUAACAAAUCGAUGGGUUUUUAGUGGAUGUGCAGAUGGGCCCAAGAUGCUAGCGUGAUAAGUGCCUCUAGUGUUGCAAGAUCUCCUGGAAGAAAAAUAAAAUCAUCAGCAUGAUUAAGUAUUUCAGUUAUUCUUUCUUGCAUACCUGAGACGACUAACUCUUCUCCAGUUGAUGAGUCAGACGAACUGCCCAAUGGUUUUAAGACUCUUGGGAUGAUUCCUAACACUUGACUUCCUCUGAUAAAAGCUGCUUCUGAGACCAUUUUUGAUAACCCUCGGUUACCUCCUCCAUACACCAAGUGUAAUUUUCUCGCUGCUAUGCUUCGACCAAGAUCUAUAGCUGCCUCAACGAACUCUUUAUGUUUGCCAUAUGUAAAUCCAGAAAGCACACAAAUGUUCUUGAAUUGUCUAUUGGGAGUAGCUGACAUUGUGAUACUUCUCAAAAACAAUUUGUGAGUGCUUGACAAAAAAGAAAUCACAUUUAAGAGUCUCGGUGAUAGUGGGUCAUGGUUGUGUAUGAGGUAAUAUGUCAGUGUCAAAUAACGCGUAAAGCACGUGGCUCGCGCGAGUCAAAAAGGAAACAGUAAAAAAGAAAAAGUAAACAGUAAUAAGAAAAAAACAAACAGUAAUAAAAUUAUUAAAGACAAUAAUACACAUAAUAAACAAAAAUAACAGUAAAGUAAAAGGAUAUUUACAGGUAGUUGCGACUGUGGCUCACAUCUUCCUUUGGUUUUACGUCCAGAAACGGCUUAAACGCCCUCUAUGGGUCGAGGAUAGGCUUCCUAUCCAAUUUUCUUAUAAACUGGCAAACAUGGUCGUUUAUAGUCAGAUUCCCAAGACUAUAUCGUGCAUGCUCUUUCUGGAAUAAUGGCCAUAACUAGAGAAUCGCUCCUUGCAUAUAUCCACUGGGAUGCGUUUCAAGAGACAAAAGGAUAUCAUCCAAUGACUCCUUAUUCAAGCCAUCCCUAAUGAAUUGAAUCUUAUCUUCCCUGUUAUCAGACACCAUUCCUAAAGAACAUGGGUUUUUAUUGCACACUUAUGACAAGCAACAGAAAUUCUUCGAGCUCGUCGUUUUCUUGCAUAAUUUCCUUUACCACAAUCAGGCAUGUAUGCAAUAAAUUUUGGAGGUAACUCACCUACCGAUCGUACUUUAGCCUCGAUUAACCAACGAAUGUCAGCAGGUAUGUUAUUCCUCAUGAGUAAUCGCAUGCGUUCGGACCGAGCUUUAUAGAUCGUAAGGAGGGCAUUCUGAGGAAGUGAAGGGAAUCGCUUGUGAAGCUUCGCUAGAAUCUCAUUUCUGUCCAUACCUUCGCCUCAGAAUAUCAGUUAUUAUGGGAAACUGAAGUAACCGACUUGAUUGUCACGGAGUACCGUUAUCCGCCACUUCACCGGGGUAACAAACUAAAACACACAAAUAGAAAAACAAAUUAAAACACACAAAGAAAAUUAAAAUCGUCCUCUUAUUGAAUUUACCUCAAGCUCCAACUGGAUGUCGUAAACACUUCUCUCAAUGUCUCUGAGUUGGCGUUCUAAACCCUCAACAUAGGCUACUAACUCUGGUGAUUGUAGAGCCCAAAUGCGUUGUGUUUUACAAAAUUGAAUCUGCCUUUUGAGAUGAGUUUUGACACGUUGAAGUGGUUUAAGAAUGUUCAGGAGGAACGGUCUAAGUAUGAGACUCAUGAUUAAAAAUGAUAAGAGAAAACAAUUUCAAUUAGCAAAAGAAUAAUAAUAAAAAGAAAGAAAGAAAAAUCAAAUCAACGAAAAGAAAAAAAAAUCAAUUCAAAUUUGGUGGGUCACUCAAAUUUAUUUCGGUGUCUUUGUCAUGUGGUUGGUACUCUAGAUAUGGCUUUAAUCUUUGACCAUUAACUUUAAACGUGACACCGUUCUUUAGGUCCUUAAUUUCAAUUGCCCCAUGUGGAAAAACAGUAUGAACAAUAAAGGGACCAGACCAACGAGAGCGUAACUUACCUAGGAAUAGGUGCAAGCGAGAAUUGAAUAAAAGUACUUUCUGACCUGGAGUGAACGAUUUUCUCAUAAUUUGCUUAUCAUGGAAGAUUUCAUUCGUUGCUUGUAAAUCUUGGCAUUUUCAUAUGAAUCAUUGCGAAUUUCUUCAAGUUCUGCCAGCUGUAAUCUUCUUUCUGAGCUGGCUUGCUGCAUGUCAAAAUUGAAUUUCUUGAUGGCCCAAUAUGCACGAUGCUCGAGUUCCACAGGUAGGUGGCAAGCUUUUCCAUACACUAGCCUGUAGGGUGACAUCCCAAUCGGGGUCUUGAAAGCCGUUCUAUAUGCCCAUAAGGCAUCAUCAAGUCUUAAUGACCAAUCUUUUCUGUCCGGCUUCACCGUCUUUUCUAAUAUGUGCUUUAUUUCUCGAUUGGAGAUCUCAACUUGGCCACUGGUUUGCGGAUGAUACGGGGUCGCCACUUUGUGUGUGAUUGAAUACUUUGUCAAAAGAGCUUUGAAUGCUUUGUUACAAAAGUGGGCACCACCAUCACUGAUUAUUGCUCGAGGGAAUCCAAAGCAUGAAACAAUGUUGCUCUUAAAAAAUGCUAUCACCACCUUGUGAUCAUUGGUUCUACAUGGAAUUGCUUCUACCCAUUUCGAUACGUAGUCAACACCAACCAAUAUGUAUUGAUGGCCAAAAGAAGGGGGAAAGGGUCCCAUGAAGUCGAUACCCCAUACAUUAAAAAUCUCAACCACUAAAAUUAGAUUUAGUGGCAUCAUGUUCCUCCGUGUAAUGCUCCCCAUUCGUUGACACCUAUCACAUGAAGAACAGAAAGUGUAAGCGUCUCGAAAUAUAGAUGGCCAAUAGAAACUACAUUAUAAAACUUUAGUCGCUGUUUUCUUAGCACUGAAAUGGCCUCAAGCUUAUUCAUGGCAGAAUAAAAGAAUAUUCUGAAUUUUAUUUUCUGGGACACAUCGUCUAACAAUUUGGUCUGCACAAUACUCGAACAAAUAAAGUUCAUCCCAAAAGAAAUUCUUUAUCUCUGCAAAGAAUUUAGCCUUAUCUUGCUUGGUCCAAUGCUCUGGAAGUUUACCUGUAACAAGAUAAUUAACUAUAUCAGCAUACCAAGGUAAUACUUCCACACUCAUUAAUUGUUCAUCUGGAAAUGACUCAUUCAAUAUUAAUGGCUCUGUAAUUGUGUCAAAAUGGAGACGAGAGAGGUGGUCCGCCACAACAUUUUCUGUCCCUUUCUUAUCUUUGAAUUCCAAGUCAAAUUCCUACAAAAGUAACACCCAACGAAUUAGUCUGGCUUUUGCAUCUUUCUUUGUAAGAAGAUAUUUAAGAGCAGCAUGAUCCGUGAAUAUAAUUAUUUUACAACUAAUGAGAUAUGAUCGAAAUUUCUCUAAUGCAAACACUACUGCUAGCAUUUCUUUUUUAGUAGUUGAAUAGUUCAACUGUGCAUCAUUCAAUGUUAUACUAGCAUAGUAAAUAACGUGGAGAAUUCGAUCAACUCUUUGUCCUAAUACUGCUCCUACUGCAUAAUCAGAUGCAUCACACAUUAGCUCAAAUGGUAAGCUCCAGUUUGGGGCCUGAAUGAUGGGUGAUGAUGUCAACAACUGUUUUAAUUUUUCAAACGCCAUAAGACAUGAAUCAUUAAAGAUAAAAGGUACAUCCUUAGCAAGUAAAUUGCAUAAGGGUCUAGAAACUUUGCUAAAAUCUUUAAUGAAACGUCUAUAGAAACCAGCAUGCCCAAGGAAAGAUCUUACUUCUCUGACUGUUUUAGGUGGAGAAAGAUUAGAAAUGAGAUCCACCUUUGCUUUGUCAACCUCAAUACCUUUGCUCGAAAUGAUGUGACCGAGAACAAUACCUUGUUUUACCAUAAAAUGACAUUUCUCCCAAUUUAAGACCAAGUUCUUCUCGAUACAUCUCUGCAGAACUAGUGUUAGAUGAUGUAAGCAUUGAUCAAACGAGUCACUAAAGACAGAAAAAUCAUCUAUAAAGACUUCAAGGAAUCGUUCAACCAUAUCAGAAAAAAUGCUCAACAUGCAUCGUUGAAAUGUAGCAGGUGUAUUACAUAAUCCAAAUGACAUUCUCCUAUAUGCAAAUGUGCCAAAAGGGCAAGUGAAAGUAGUUUUCUCUUGAUCUUUUGGUGCUAUGGGUAUCUGAUUGUAUCCUGAGUAGCCAUCUAGAAAGCAAUAAAAUUCAUGGCCUGCUAAUCUAUCAAGCAUUUGAUCGAUAAAUGGUAAAAGAAAAUGGUCUUUACGUGUGACAGAAUUCAACUAUCUGUAAUCAAUGCAUACACGCCAUCCUGUAGUUACUCUAGUGGGUAUCAAUUCAUUAUUGGCAUUGGUAACUACAGUAACUCCUGAAUUUUUGGGGACAACUUGCACAGGACUGACCCAUGAAUUAUCAGAAAUGGGGUAAAUGAUACCUGCGUCUAAUAGCUUAAGGAUUUCUGUUCUAACAACUUCUUUCAUGUUAGGAUUUAACUGACGUUGCAUCUCCCUAGUAGUUUUAGCAUUUUCAUCAAGGUGAAUGUAAUGCAUGCAGUCUACUGGAUUUAUACUUUUUAUGUCUGCUAUGGUCCAUCCUAAUGCUCCUUUGUGCUCUUUUAAAACAUCCAACAACUUACCGUUUUGUUCGUCAUUUAGGGAUGAUGAGAUAAUUACCAGCAGAGUACUUUCUUUUCCCAAAAAUGCAUAUUCCAGAGUGUUGGGUAAUGAUUUGAGCUCAAGUUUCGGUGGUGAUUCUGAUGAUGGGAUGAGUUUCUUCUCUGAUGGUGCUAGUUGCUCAACUCUUAACUUCCAUUUAUUAGCAUCCAUGGAUAGUGCUGAGUCAAGCAGGGCGUUGACCUCAUCAACCGAUCUGUCAAUAUCAAAAUCAAAACCAAAGUGAGUUAAACAUGUUUGUAAAGGAUCAUCACUAAGGUUUGAAACAAAAGUAUCAUCAACUAAUGUUUCAAUUAAAUCCACAUCAACAAUUCCAUCAUCUGCACUGUGAGGUUGUUUGGCAAUGUUGAAGAUGUUCAGCUCCAUAGUCAUGUUGCCGAAGGACAACUGCAUAUUUCCGGUCCUGCAUUGAAUGUGAGCAUCCGCAGUUGCCAAGAAAGGUCGGCCUAGAAUAAUGGGGAUGUGCUUCCUUGAAUCCUGUAUUGGUUGAGUGUCAAUUACAAUGAAAUCAACAAGAAAAUAGAACUUGUCUACCUGGAUAAGCACGUCCUCCACAAUACCACGAGGUAUUUUCGUGGACCGAUCUGCAAGCUGUAACACCACUGGAGUUGGGUGUAAUUCUCCCAGUCCAAGUUUCACGAAUACAGAGUAAGGUAAAAGAUUUACACUAGCUCCUAAAUCCAACAAAGCAUUCUCAAUUGUGUGGUUCCCUAUGCUACAUGAAAUAGUAGGGGAGCCUGGGUCUUUGCAUUUUAAAGGAAUUUUAUGUUGGAGGAUAGAACUAACGUUUUCUGUUAAAAAUGCCUUCUUUUGAACAUGCAUGUUUCUCUUUUUAGUACAAAGGUCUUUAAGAAACUUGGCAUAAGAUGGAACUUAUUUAAUAGCAUCAAGUAAAGGGAUGUUAACACUUACCUGUUUGAAGAUUUCAAGAAUCUCACCUGUGGAUUUUCCCUUCUUGCCUUUAGCUAACCUCUGGGGGAAUGGAGCUUUGGGAACGUAUUCUCGUGGGUUGGUUUCUUCUUUCUCCUCCGGUGAUGAGUCGUCAACAUUUAUAGGUACAAUUUGAUUUUUUUUUUUCGCCGGCAUCUCCACUUUGUUGUCGACUUCUUUUCCUUUUCGUAAGGUCAUGACUGCUUUGACCUCUCCAUGCUGCUGUGGUGAACUAGUACUUGCUUCAUGCACUCCUUUAGGGUUAGGCACUGGUUGACUUGGAAACUUGCCUUUCUCAACAGUCAUUGCCAAGGUCUGAACUGAAGAAGCAAGUUGUCCCACCAUCUUCUCGAGGCUUGAAACUGAUUGAGCUUGUGAGUUGAAGCCUGCUCUCAACUCAUUUCGUAGUCCAUCAAUGGUGCGGUUCUGUUGCUCAAUCGUGGAGUGAGUAACAUUCCUGAAAUUCUAGAAUGCAUCCUCCCAUGGUCUAGGUUGAGAGUGGUUCUGGUUCUGAUUGUAUGGUCUAAAUGGUGGUUGAGAGGCUUGAGGAUUUUGUGGAAUUGGUGGAGCUGGAGCUGCUGGUCCGUUCUGUUGGAAUCCUUGAGACCAUGAAAAAUUGGGGUGGUCUCUCCAUCCAGGGUUAUAUGUGUUGGAGUAUGGGUUGUAAUUCGAUGGUUUUCUCAUUACACCUAUAGCAUUGGCUUGAUCUGAGUAUGAGUCAUGGUCAUGUGGCUCUGUUGAUUUAGCAGUCGAUAAUGAUGCUAUUUGUCGAGAGAGACCUUCAAUUAUCGCUUUGACUUCUUUAAUUUCUGAACUUGAUUCGCCAAUGUGAACCUCAUUUACUCCCUUAAUUCUUCUAGUAUUCCUGAGUGAUCGACUCCGUUGUUGGAAAUUAUCCGCUUGUCGCUGGAAGAAUUCCCAAAUCUCUAAUGCACUUUUUGACAUUAGCUCUCCUCCACUUGUUGCCAUUCGCCAUUCUUGCACAUUCGGCAAUAAUCUCUCAAAAACGUAUUGGCAUUGGUGCCAUUUCUCGUACCCAUGAUGUAGACACUUCAAGAGUAGCCCAUUGAAUUGCUCCCAAGUUUCGAAAAAUUGUUCGUCUUCUCUCUGAGUAAACUCUGAGAUUUCCCUGCGAAUAGCAUUGGUUUUAUGCACUGGGAAAUAUUUAUUCAAAAAUUUCGUUACCAUUUGUUCCCAUGAUGUGAUGCUAUUAGCAGGCAAAGUAUUUAACCAUGAACGAGCUCUAUCCUUUAAAGAAAAUGGGAAUAAUCUGAGUUUAACAUCAUCGUCUGAAAAAUUUUCAUAUUUAAAAGUUUGACAAAUGGCAUGAAAAUCAUUCAGAUGAUUAUAUGGAUCCUCAUUUUCUAGGCCAUAAAAUGUGGGGAGACAAUUUAGCACACUAGGUUUUAGUUCAAAGCUCCUAGCAGCUACAUUAGGGUAUCUUAUGCAUGAUGUGCUCAAAUUAGCUAAAGGACUGAAGUAGUCCUUAAAUGGCCUCUCCUGUGGUUGCAAAUCCAUUUUAUUUUUAAUUUGUUUGUGUGUGCGAAGUGUUUUUUCUAGUUCAAGGUCUAUAGUGCGAAGUGUUUUUUCUAGUUCAAGGUCUAUAGGUUCAAGAUUAGGUAAUAAUGACCUACGACCAUGCAUGCAAAACAAAUAAAAUGAAAAUAAAGAUGGGAACAAAACAAAUAAAAAUAAAUAAGAGGGAGAAAUUAUGAUACUAACCUUAUUGCGCUAUUAAAACCUUUCUAUAAAAAUACACAAAAACAAAUACGUGAAAUAAAUUAACUAAAAAUUAAAUUAAUAAAAUAAAAAAAAUACAAAGAAAAAUAAAUUAAAAAUUAAAUCACAGAAUUUUAAAGAAGAGAAAAAGAAAAGAAAUACUAACCUUUAAAUGUAGAUUCACUUUUUUUUUUAAUUAAAAAAAUAGAAGAAAACAAAUAAAAGAAAUUAUUAAAAAAAAUUUAAUUCUAUGAAUUAAAAUUACUUACCUCCCCGGCAACGGCGCCAAAAACUUGUUGUGCAAAUUUUAAUGUACUCGCAAGCGCACGAAUCUAUUGUAGUAUAAACUAAUGGUGACGAGUGUCGAUCCCACGAGGAGGUGGAUUUUAAUUGUGUAGAAUUAAUUUUGUAAAUGGGUGAUUGGAUUUGUGGUGGAAAUGAUUUGGGAUAUGCUAAAACUUAAAUUAAAAUGGCGAGAAUAAAUUCUAAAAUUGGAAUUGAAAUGGCGAGAAUAAAUUAAAGAGAAUUCUAUUAAAAUGACGUACUUGGGUAUCUGGAUCCGUAUCAACAUGCAUCAUGGGCUAAAUAAUCCGUAUUAACGCCAAUUAAAUCAUGAGGGGGGAAUCCACACCUCAUGAACCACACUCUAAUCAAUAUGGUGCUAAGGGCUUAUCGUGCCAAAUAAUAAUAACCUUAUACUAGAGACCCGGUGUAACCAAGGCGGUAUCUAGACAAGAUUAUUAUUAUUUGUCGACGAGAAGUCAAAACAUCCACAAAAACUAGAGGGGAAGAGAAAAUAAAUUUACCAAAUUAAGCCCAUGACACAUGUUGAGACUUCACCUUCAACCCAAGCUUGAAAGAAAAUUAGCCACUCAUAAUUGAACUAGGGGCAAAAUGAAAAUUUAUUAAAAUACGAAGAAAAUACAAGAUGGAGAAGGAAUUAUAGAAAAUGGAUUCCAAAAAUGGAUUCAGAGAUAUCAAAUUAGGGGGGAGGCCCCCUUUUUAUAGAUACAUGGAGUAAAUCAUGGCCAUCGGAUUAAAAACAGUUUGGACGCUCAAGAUUGCGCCACGUCAUCAGUCAACAGUACGCGGUUUGACCACGCGGAUGAACAGUAACACGGUUUGACCCGGAUGAACAGUAAUGCGGUUUGGUUGAAAAUAAUCCUGUGUGAUGCAUGUACCGUACGUGAGAUUUUUCAUCCACUGAUAUGCUGCCACGUCACCAUCAACAAUACAUAAGAAUUUUAGCUCAACAGGAUCGUGACACCUCAUCAGUCAAUGCCACAUCAUCGGUCAAUGCCAUGUCAUCGUCCGUCUAUGUGAACAGUGUCGUGAACAGUAACGUGAACAGUACCGCACAUGUGAACAAUGCCAUUUUUCCUUUUAUGCUCCUCCUAAGGUUUUCGACCGUCCUGAGUUCAAAAGUGAUGUCCGUUUUGCCAUCUGAUCUCUCGUUUAUUGUGAAAUGACUAUGAUGCCCCUAAAAUACUUAAAAUACUUAAUUAAAAUAAAACACAUGGAAUUAAAUCAAAAGAAGGUUAAAUUCAUAAAAGUAAAAGUGUUAGUAAAACUUGUAGUGUAAAAUGAUGAUUUUCUCCUUUAUAAAUAUACAUUUUCUAACACUCAACAAGUGAUAUAUAUAAAGAAAGGUAAAAAUGAUAAGAAGUGAGAAAGAUGUAUGUAGUAAUAUAAAAAGUGAAAGAUAAAAUGUGAGUGAUGAAAGAGUAUGAUAGAAUAAAAAUAGAUGUAAAUAAUUUGAGAUAGAUGGAAAAUAGUAGUGAGAAAGAAAAGAAAAGAAAAAUAAUAAUAUAUGAAGCAUACUAACUCCAAAAUCAUUUAAGGAUGAGCAGAGUGAAAAUAAUACUUUCAGACAUCAAUAUUGCAAAUAUCCCUCCCCCGCACCAAGAACUUACAUUGUCCCCAAUGUAAGAUAAUCAAAGCUCACGUAAAAAUUAAAGCGUAAGGAUAAAAGAUUAAAGGCAAAAACUUCCCUGAAUUGUGAGCUUUGAUCCACAUAACGUCUAUGGGCUUGGCGGAAAUGGUGGGAUAAAUCCCACACUCUCAAAGUGUGCGGCCAAAUUCUGCUCCAUCUUGUUAAGCUUGUGCUCCAUUUUCUCUAAUUAAAUGCUUAAAUGUGGUGCAGAUGUAGAAGGAAUAGUUGGUGGGGCAGCAGUUUCGUCGUCAAACUCGUCGUCAGAGGUAGCACCACUUCUAGCAUAAAGCUUCUUUGGAAGUUGAAUGGGUCCUGGUUCAGUAAACUGAAAUCUCCCCUCCUUGAAUUCGACCACACCUGUUCUUUCAAGCACAGACAUAUCCAAAAAUUCCUUUUUGCAAGCAGGAUGCAAAUCAUUAUUGUCAGGAUCAAGCACACAUAAGUUUAUAGCUAACAGAGUAAUGUAUGGACCAAGAAAUAAAGUCCUAUACCGUUUAAGCACACUUUGAAAUUGAUCUGCUAACCAAAAACCUAAAUUAGGCCUCACAUCAUUUAACAUGCACCAGAUAAAAUAAAACUCAGUUUUAGAGAAAACUCUCGAGUGAUCUUUCUUUCUUAAAAAAUUAUAUGCUAAGAACCGAUGCACACAUUUCAAAAUAGGAUCACGUAAGAAAGAACUCUUUGAUUUACUCGAGUCAUAGGCAUUGUGAUCAACAGAUAAAUUACGCCAAAGAUCAUAAGGCUCAAAAUUUUCGCUAAAGUCACAAGUUGUUCCUAAAUAUGCAUCACUAGAAGAAUAAUCAUCAUCAAUGAAAAAUCUGUGAUAGAUUGUGAAAAAUUUCGUCCCAUUAACCUAAAAUUUAUAACAUCUGGAGUAUGGAAAGUAAAAUCAUUCGGUAUAUUAAAUUGAAAAGUAGCAUAGAACUCCCUAAUCAACUCAACAUAACCUAAACAAUCAACAUCAACAAACUUCCACAAACCAAUCUUAUCUAUCAAAGAAUCAAAAUUAUCCUUAACAUUUAAUUUUUCAAGAGUCGGGUAAUGAAUAUACUUAGCUGGAAGUAUUUUUCGCUUGGAAAUAUCUUUGUACCUCUCUUUCUUUUGUUGAGUCGUGAAUGUGAGGCACCCUCCGAGAUUGGAUUCCGCAAGUGGCAAAACACUCAUGCCUCUUCCAUGUUUCGAUCUUUGUCUCACGGCUUGGCAUGAAUUUGAAACUGUGUUCCAUGGAACUGUAGUGGGAGCGGCAAUCUUGGAUUUCUUUGCGACAGGUUUCUUUUUAGACGUUGAUGACUUGGAAGUUGAUGUUUUCCUCUUCGGCAUUGUUACAGUAAUUUCACUCACGGGUUUCGAUUCACGCGGCUGGAAUGCAGGGCGUGGGCUAGUUGCUUGCGCAGAUUGCUGGUUGCUUGUGCGGGCUGCUGCUCGCGAGAUGCUUGCGCGUGCGCGGUGGUGCUUGAUGGUCGCGUGAUGGUUGCGGAUGAAACUGCGCGCAGGCUACUUGCACGCGGGAUACUGCGCGGCUGAUUACAGCACGAAGCUGUGCGUGGGAUGCUGGUGCUUGCAUUGGUGACUCUGGUACUGCUAGACGCGGGAUGAAGUUGGUUGCGCGCGCGGGAUGCUGAGAUGCGUGCUGACGUUGCGCGGAUGGUGCUCGAUGUUGGUGCUGAGUGCGUGCGUGGCUGGUUGCCGCGGGAGAUACUUGCUAGUUCACGCGGGCUGGUUUGCUACUGGUGUGCUGCAAGCGGCUGGAGAAGAAAACAAAUUCUGGUGAAUUAGGGAUUUUGUGAACAGUGAAAUUUUUUUCUUUCUCAUUUUUUAUUAUUAUUUUUUCAAAUAAAAAAAAUAAAAGAAAGAGAAGAAAAAAAACUCUUUUUUCAUUUUUGUUUUUUUUAAAAUAAUAAAUAAAAUAAUAUUUUUUUUAGUGAUGAAUCACUUGAGAUACUAAAAAUUUCAAAAGUACUUUUUUAAUAAGCACGUGGGCACGCCUUAAAACUAUUUUACUUUAAAAUCACAGAAGUACUUAUUAGUUAAAACGUGGGCACGCCUUACCAAAAAUUUUCUUCUGGCCAAAAUAAGCAAAAACAUUAUUUAAACAAUCUGAAUCAAAAUUAAAAACAAAAGAUAUAACAAAAAUCAAAAUAAAUAAAUCCUUUGGGUUGCCUCCCAAAAAUCGCCUUUGUUUUAUGUCUUUGGAUAGACACAUUCAUGCAUCAAUCUCCAUAAAUGGGACUCUCGAGAGCCACAUCCUCCACAAUAUUCACCGAAAACCUUCAUAAAAAGGUUUUAAGCGUUGAUCAUUAACCUUAAAAACUUUAUCAGAGGUCGGACUCCGAAUCUCAACUGCACCAUGAGGAAAAACAUUAGUAACAAUAAAAGGUCCAACCCAACAAGAACGUAAUUUACCCGAAAAAAGUUUAAGCUUAGAAUGAAAAAGAAGAACUUUUUGACCAACAGAUAACUCCUUUCUCAAAAUCAUUCUGUCAUGAAAUGUCUUCGUCUUUUCCUUGUAAAAAACUUCUUGCACUAUAGGGUUAAUAACAUCCACAAAAAAUGCCGAAUGUUCCUCAUUAGGAUAUUUCAUGGCAUCAUUCAUACUGAAUUCUAUAACCUCUCCAUCAAACUCCAUAGUGAGAGUCCCUUUAUAUACAUCCAUUUUAGUCCUAGUAGUCUUAAGAAAAGGUCUUCCUAGCAAAAUUAGGACAGAAUUAGAGGAGUUAUCCUCUUCCAUAUCAAGUACAUAAAAAUCAGCAGGAAAAACCAACUCAUUAACUUGUACUAAGACAUCUUCUAAUACCCUGUCAGGAUAUGCAUUAGACCUAUCAGCUAGUUGAAUUAUCACGCCAGUUUCUUUUAAUGAACCAACAUUUAAAGAUGAAUAAAUGGAACGAGGCAUGACAUUAAUAGAAGCUCCUAGAUCUAACAUAGCCUUUUCAACUCUAACACUACCAAUUUUACAAAGGAUAGUAAACAUACCUGGAUCCUUGCACUUAGAAGGUAGUUUCUUUUGGAGAACUGCUGAAACAUUCUCCCCCAUGUGAACUUUUUCAUCUCCUCUUAAUUUUUUCUUGGAGGUGCACAGUUCCUUAAGGACUUUAGCAUAUCGAGGUAUUUGUUUUAUAGCAUCUAAUAAAGGAAUAUUUACCCUAACCUUGCGAAAUGUCUCAAGGAUGUCUUUCUCUUGUUCCUCCUUCUUGGAUUUUGUAAACCGGCUUGGAAAAGGAUGAGGUAUCACAAUAAGUAGGGGUUUCGCUCUAGUGGGGUGCACAUCUUGAGAUUUAGGCAUCAAUUCAUUCUUCUCAAGCUCAUCUUCUACAUGUUUUGUCAUUUUCUUACUAGGCUCUUGCAACUCCUUUCCACUUCUAAGGAUGACAACACUAACAUUUUACUUUGUAUUCACCUCAGAUUGUGAAGGCAAUCUCCCUAAUACUUGAAACUCCAGACGGCUCAUUGUAGUCGCCAAUUGACUCAUUUGGCUCUCCAAAUUCUGAAUGCUUGUUGUAGUUGCCUGCUGAAAUUAUUGAGUGUUAGUCGCAAGUGAUUUAACAAUUUCAUCAAGAGAUAUACCUGACUUGGAGUUUGACUGUGGAGGUGCUAAUUGUCUUGGUGGAUACUGUUGUGGGAAUCCUGACGGCCUAACUCCAUAGCUAAAGUUGGGAUGAUCCUUCCAUCCCGGAUUGUAUGCUUGUGCAUAAGGAUCAUACCUCCUCUGAGGCAUGCCUGGAAAUCCUCCAACUACAUUGGCUUGUUCAACGGGUUCUUCUUGAAGUGUAGGACACAUAUUAGUUGAAUGACUCAUAUUGUAAUAAAUGCCACAAGUCUUCACUUGUUGCACAUUAUCUACAACAAACUUUUCCACAAGAGAAGUAAGUUUAUCUAAACGUUGUUCAACAGAAGAAAUAUUUACCUCAUUCACCGUUCUUGAAGUGGCAUCUUGCCUAUUGCCAAAUUGUUGUGCAUUGGCAACCAUAUUUGAGAUCAACUCCCUUGCUUGAGUAGGGGUCUUGUUCACCAACACACCUCCACUAGCAGCAUCUAUCAUACUCCUAUCCAUUAAUGAUAGUCCUUCGUAAAAAUAUUGAAUAAGAAGUUUAUCAGAAAUCUGAUGCUGGGGACAACUGGCACACAAUUGUUUGAAUCGCUCCCAAUACUCAUACAAAGUCUCCCCGGGAAGUUGUCUGAUCCCACAAAUAUCUUUUCUGAUAUUGGCAGCUCUUGAAGCAGGAAAGUACUUCUCGAGGAUCUGCUUCUUCAAACCAUUCCACGUUGUAAUCGAUCCACGAGGCAAGUAGUACAACCAGUCUUUAGCUAGUCCAUUUAAAGAGAAAGGAAAAGCACGCAGCUUAAUCUGCUUUUCAGUCACGCCUUGUGGCCUCAUACUUGAACACACAACAUGAAACUCCUUAAGAUGUUUAUGAGGAUCUUCACCUGUAAAACCAUGAAACUUGGGUAACAAAUGAAUAAGACUAGACUUUAAUUCAAAAUUUACCUCCAAGUCUACAUAUUGAAUACAGAGUGGUUGCUGACUCAAGUCUAGUUCAGCUAACUCUCUAAGAGUUCUUUCUACAGGUGCAGCUCUAUCCAUCACUUGUUCUUCUGAAUCACUAGAUGAUUCAACUAAAUCAAGCACCGUAUAUGUUUCAGAAAGCAAAGGCGACGAGGAUCGUUUCUUAGCUCGCUUCGUCUGCUGUCUCAGCUGGCGAGCUGUGUUCUCAAUUUCAGGAUCAAACGAAAGUGUACCUGUACGAGAAGAAAGAACCAUACACCAAGUAAAACGUAAAGAAGAUUAAAUAAACGACACCAAUCCCCGGCAAUGGCGCCAAAAUUUGAUGGUUGUCGAAGCCAAUAAAAAUAAAUACCUACUCUAAAUAAAUUGUGUAUAGUGAUUAAGUAGGGUAAUGUCCACAGAGAUCGGUAAUUAUUUAAAUCCUCUUAAAAUGUAAAAUGAAAAAUGGGAGAUUUGUUGACAAUAAUAAAAAUUAAAUUAAAAUAACAAGAGUGCAAAUUAAAAUUGUAAUUCAAAUUGGAGAAAGCUCUGGUUGAAGGAAUUAACUCAGCUUGAUUCGACUACUGAUCAUUUAUUCAAAUAUAAAUUAUUACUACUUAUGAAUAGACCGGUUAUAGCUACUGAGACACUCUAAUAGCCAAUCUCUCCUUAACUAGUCGAUAACCAAUGUACGACCGUUGAUUAUUUCCGUAAUCAAUAGACAACCUUAGAUACGAUCAUAUGAUUUAAUCAAUUGACAGCUUGAAAAAUCAGAGAGACCCAAAUCCUAAUCAACAAACGCAUACGAUAGUUCAUUUAAAUUAGAUUGUUUAUUCUCAUAACACAACUCUCUGUUAUGUUAUUUAUCACAAACAUUAAAAUCUUCAUACGAUGAAUCUUUAAUUGACAAUAGAUUAAGUUGAUAAUUAAAUAGUGGUCAGUUAUCUAAUUAACAAACAUAAUCAUGAAAAUAAUUCAGAGAACAAACAAAUACCCAAAAAGCAAUAAAACAAUUAAAGCAUAAGAAAGAUCUCACAGUAGUGAUGAAUCAAAGCUUCAUUAACCUUCAACCAGAAUAAUAGGUUUAGUUCUUCAUAGAGAGAAGAGAAAAAUUUAGAUCUAGGGUUUCUUUCUUUUCUCCAAAAUCUCCCCCUCUUCACAAUAGAUUUCUCCCUUAAAUACUCUCUCUCUCUUCUCCUCUAGAGUUCUUUUUAAAAUAAAAUACUAAUAUCUGAAAUAUUAAAUUUGUAAUUACAAAAAUAACCAAAAAUACAAAACACGUUAAACUAAAAACUGCAUGUCCGUAGUUGACAGCAGGCGCCCACACUUUAUCAACAAAGUUCUUCUGGCACUCAUAAUUUCUCCAAGAGAACAAUCAUCCUUAAACAUCAUCUUGUCGCUCAAUUUUAGCACCAAUCAAUAGAAUUGCACCUACAAAAAUAAAACACAAGUAAAUCACUAUUAUUAAGUGCAAAACAUCGAUAUUAAGGGAAGUAAACAAUGCAAAACUAGUGCAUAAAUUGCACUCUAACACUAGUCAAGUUAUUUUAUGUUAAAAAUAAAGCUUUUCUUUCAUUAUGUUUUUCAAUUUGUGUGGUAUUUUCUAAUGUCUUCCAUGUCCUUGUCAAAUUAUGUGACUUCGUUGUGUAUGCUUGUGAGGACACAACACCUUUCAAGUUUGUGGGGGUUGUGUUUCUGAGUGCAGAUGUGUAUGCUUAUGUUGUGUGUUGUGUGAAGCUCUGUUAUCUAAUGUUUGUGUAUGGAUUUGAAAACCAAAUGAAGAUAAAUUGAGUGUUAUUCAAUAUUUGUGAGAAUGCCAAGUAGAGACAGUUAUAGAUAGAGGUUGAAAUUCUGUCCCGACACUUAGACUUUGGUUGAGUUGUAUGAGACUGCUAGAGCAGAGCCAAAAGAAUAUAAAAGAUCUUAAGUUUGGGGUGAAAAGCAAGUUUGAUUGACUGUGAUAUCUAUGAAAUAAACUUUGGUCCAAUGGCUCCAGUUGCUGAGUAACCAGAUUUGAGUAUGUACCCCAUAUGCAGAGUUGUGUUCAAAGGGAACAAGAGUUAUGAGCAAUGUUGUAGCAUUUUAUAAAAAAUAAAAAAAAGAGAAAAGUAAGACAAUAAUACAAGAAAGUCCUCUGUCUAAGGCAUUGAGUAGCCAAGUCUGUUCAUGAGCCUCAUGUUCAGCCUUGAGUAAAAGAUAUCUCUAGAUAAGAUUAUAUUAUAGAUAUUGCUAUAGCAACUCUGAUCUGUGCAUGGUUUGAGUAAUUGGGUGUCAUCAUUACAAUUGAUUGACAUUCACAUGAAAAAUAAAUGUUACAGUGAGGAGAUUGAAUACUCUCAAGUUUUGAAUACUCUCAAGUUUUCAAUCUUAAAAUCGACACAAUUUGAGCAUGGGAAAUUUAUGAUACCUCAUAUAUAAAUGCAAUUUUGUUACUACUGAAUUACAUGCAAUCUUUUGGUGAUGUUAUAGCAUCUCUAGAAUUCAAUCAAAAGUAGCACACACACAUUGUGGACAGAAGGAAGCUUAAGUCUAGAACUGAUUUACUAUGGUCACUUUACAUGAUUGGGAUUGUGAUAUGAAGGUGGAAGAAUCCUUGCAAAUUUGAUAAAAGUGCUAAAGUUGUGUUGCAUGAUUGUUUGCAUGAAGUGUUAGUAUGUUGUCAUUACUUGAGGACAAGUAAAGGAUUAAGUUUGGAGGUGUAAUAACUCUAUGAAAUGAGAGUUAUUACAUCAAUUCUAGACUUAAAUCAAGAUCACUCAUAGAGCAAAUAAGGUGUUUUUAUUACAUUUUGGUUAUAUUUUGCAUAAACAUUCAUUUUAGUUGAGUCUUAAUAAGUUUUACUUGAAUCAAAAUAAUUUGUGCUCAAAACAGGUGCAUAAUUAUAGGUUUUCAGAAAUCCUUAAUUCAUGAAGGGAUGCUAACACAUUAGACUAGUAAGAGGAGGAAAGAAGAUGGUCGUAAAAGAAGUAAAGCACAAUCGGGAACAAUGCAGUGUUGUAGCUGUUGUUAGAGCAACCAGUGCUGUAGCAAUCUGCGAGCACUAAGGGAGAAAACUUAAGCGCAGGUCAGCUACAGAAUUACAAUCUGCAUGUUUCCUAAUUUAACUCAUGCACGCCCACUAACUUUUAUUUACCCUAGUUUGCAGUAUAAAAGGGGGCGCGCACUACAAAAAACAGCGGCAAGGGAAUUAUCAUCGAGACAUUAGAGAAAAAAAGGAGAAUAAGAUCAGAAUUGAAGAGAGUGGUGUCAGCAGAUUGAGGAAUCCUGCAGAGUUAUAUGGAUUUGCUUUUUACCAUUCUCAACUUAUACUUUUCUUCUUUAUUUGACUGUUCUGAUGUAUUCCGUGAACAAUAUAUUAAUGUUUGUUUUUCUCAUUCAAAAUAUGAACUAGAUUUGCUUGUAGUUGAGUGACAAACAAUCUAAUGGGUACUUGACUGUUCUUAUGUGUUGUUAUGUCAUUGCUGUAGCAUUUUACUCUAGUAGUUAUUAUUAAUAUAAUUGUUAUUUCGGUUGACCAUCCAUUUAAUAGUUCAAGUUAAGAUAGAGCAGCAAAAGGGCAUGUCUUAGCGGAUAUUAUUAGAGUAUUACUUAAUCUUAAUUUUAGUUUCCUGGAUUAAGUUAUCUUGAAUCUCAUAAGGGCUAUACUUGAAGUUAAGAUUUGUGACACACUAGACAUAGGUGCUCACUUUGUAGGGUGGAGAGACUAAAGGGUCAUAAGGCCAUAUCAUAAGUAGAUUAGCAACUAGUCAUUGCUAAUAUAUUUAAGGGUAUGAGAGUUUCAAUACGCGACAGUUGAGGAUGCAGAUUAAUUCUGCCCAGUGCUGCAGCAUUUGUCGUAACAACUGGUGUUAACUUGAUGAAAAAUAGUCAGCCCAUAAGGAGAGUUUGAUCAUUCAACUACCAUAGUCUCAAUUAAAUCUUAGACAUAUUUAAUUUAGUUUAUUUCAUUACGGUAUUGUUUUACUUUAUUCUCUCACAAUCAUCAAUUACGAUAGAAUCCACUUUACGUUUGAUAACUUCAGACUUAAGUUAGUUUGCACUAUUGUGAUUGCUAUAGCAUUUCAAGUGACAUCAAUCCCUGUGGAGACGAUCUUGAAUAUUCAUCACUUUAUUACUUGUUGUGUAUACUUGUACAUUGGCAUUAAUAGUAUUUGAUUAUAAAAUUUACCAACACUGUGCAUACUAAGCCUUAGGAUAAAAUGCAUUAGUAUAUGCAUAAUUUGCAUUAAACACACUUUUGUCAUCCUGCUCCUGCUCUAAUCUAGUUUCAUGAGUGAGUAACAGUGCAUAAGCAUCAUCAAAUUCCAUCCGUGAACCAGUUAUAAAUGCAACAAUAUCACGAUAUCCUGGUCCUAAUCCAUUAAGAAUAGUUAACAUAAGAUCCUUCUUUGUAAUUGGACUACCAGCACUGGCAAGUUUAUCAGCUAUUGCCUUCAUUUUGAUACAAUAAUCUUCAACACUAAGAGCUUCCUUUUUAAGAGUAUUCAGUUCAUAUAUGAGCUGAAGAACUUGAGCCUUAGAUUGAACUCUAAAUAUCUUUUCCAAAGUUCUCUAUAUAUCAAAUGAACUCUCACAAUUGAUAACAAGACUUAAAAUACCUUCACUUAUUGAUGAUAGUAGCCAACCAAGAAGAGUAUGAUCCUGUGAUCUCCAAAUAUGAUAGCUUCAGUUAACAGAAGAUACUCAUCAGGUGCUGAUCUAGUUCCUAUGACAAAAUCCUCUAAACGAUUGCCUCUAAUUGAAGCUAGAACUUGAGAACGCUAGAGUAAGUAAUUUGAUCGAUUUAGCUUAAUAGGAUUAGUAAAAGAAAAAUUGAUUUGAGUAAAUUGAUUUGUGUUGUUUGUUGUUUGAUUAUGAAAGCUUGACUGCUGAUUACUAGAGCUAGCUCUGUAUGGCUCUGAUACCAUGUUUGAAAGAUUGAAAUUUCAAUGAUCAAUCUAUUUGGUUACCAAGAAAAUGUGUUUUGAUUGCUAAGAAAAGUGUAAAGAGGCUUCUGGAAUUUCAUAUUUUUAUUUCUCUCUCUAAUUACAGAAUGAUUACAAAAUGCACUUAUUUAUAUUCAAUUCGUUUUCAGCUAACAGAAGAGAAACACAAACUAAAACAGAAACUUAGUGUGCUUAACUAACUUCUACUGAGCUGGCAUUACAUUCUUCAACUAAUUCUGCUGACUGUAUUCUACUCACAUGUGUGCAACAUGCUUCCAUUCAUUAUGUGCUUCCUUAGCACUCAUGAAUAUAACAAAACCACAUUUUAAGUCUUUAAAAUUGAAGCAUAGGCUAAAAAUUGCAAGAAAUAUAUUGAACAUAACGGAUUUGAUAAGAGUAGUCGACCCGGUGAUUCUUAGAGGCAGACCAUGUGGUAAAAAAAGAUGGAAUAGUGGAAGCAUCUAUAGAGCUUGCUAUUAACUGUCUCUGAAUCAGCAGAGAGUAGGCCAACAAUGGUUCAUGUGGCGAAUUGACUUAGAAAAAUGUAUCAAUUAAUACCUUGAAUUUUCUCUGGAUUAACUAUAACUUAGCUUUCACUAUGUGUUUAAAAUUAAUACACAGGGAGAGAAUUGGAAAUCCCCGUUUUGUUUAUUAGUCUUUCCCUUUCGUAUCUUGUUGAUAUUUCAAAUGUUUGUUUGUUUGUGGAUUUUUUCCCUGGUAUGCAAGAUUUAAGUCAGUGGNNNNNNNNNNNNNNNNNNNNNNNNNNNNNNNNNNNNNNNNNNNNNNNNNNNNNNNNNNNNNNNNNNNNNNNNNNNNNNNNNNNNNNNNNNNNNNNNNNNNAUGAUACAUUAUUGACUAAAUUCCUGGUAGUUUAAAUGUUACUAACUUAGCAACUCCCUGCACUUUUUGAUUGGAUGGGAUGAAUGAUUUAAAAUAUGUUUAAAUUUCAAGUCAAAAUUGAAGUAUAAAACAGUACAUUUUAUACAUAGACGCUGUCAAUUAUCUGAAACAAAUAGAUGAGCCUUUAGCACAUGUUAUGUCUGUGGCUUACUUUACAUUGCAUGUCAACAUUAGAUAUGGAAAUUUGCAUAUGGUUGACUGGGAAGACUUGCAAAGAUGUCAAUUUUCACUUUAGUUAUUUGAAGUCUUGCUUCAGAUUUUAUACACACAUGCCAAAUCUGGAGCUUCUUUCCCAAACUUGUAACUGCUAUAUCUCCUUUAUCUGAACACUGGAAUUGGCCACCCAAAGGUAUAUCUUUCAAUGCUCUGCUUCAUUUUCUUCAAGUGCAUCUGUGCGUACGGCGCCAUGUUUUCAUUUAUAUGCUUCUAAUGUUACAUUUCUGGAAUCAGAAGAAAUAAACAAUCAAAUAUUUUCUCUUUACUUCAUAUUAAACAUGAAACGUCACUGAUGAAAAUAUUUCCUUUUCCUGAAAACUUAAUAGAACAUUUAAAAGUUGUACUACUAUACUAGUUUUAUCUUAUUUCAAUUCAGUGAAAGCAUUUCAUUGGUUUCUGAAUAGGUAUUAGAUGAGUUCGUUUUUUAGAAAGAUCAAGCAUCUGGGCAAGGCUGAUAAGGAGACAUUUAUGUUGAUGAAUGGCAAAGUUUUUCUUGAAAAAUUGAUCAAAUCUUGUGAUAAUAAACGCAACCCUAUUCGUUGUUUCCAUGAAAACGAGCUCAAGAUAGCAACAAAAAAUUAUGACAGACAGAAAGUUAUAACAACUGGAUUGGGCUAUGAAUUAUUCAAGGGUUUUCUGCAUGACUAUCCUGUUUCUAUCAUGAAAUUUGUAAACUCCGACUAUGCAGCUGAAUUUUGUUUUAAUAACAUUGUAUUUGCAUCACAAAUGAAUCACAAGAAUGUGAUAAGGCUGAUUGGAUGCUGCCUAGAAACUGAAAAUCCUGUUUUGGUAUUUGAAUAUGUUGAGUAUGGAACUCUUGCUGAUUGUAUUUAUCAUCCUCGUCAACCCAAUUUUGAACCUGUCACGUGGUCACUGAGGUUAAAGAUUGCAAUGGAGAUAGCUUAUGGAAUUGCAUAUCUCCAUGUUGGUUUCUCCAGGCCUAUUGUUUUUAGAAACUUAAGACCAUCGAAUAUUUUAUUCCAGGGACAAUCUGCUGCCAAACUGUUUGAUUUUUCGUACUCUGAAUCUGUUCCAGUGGGUGAAACACGCAUAAGAGGCAGGGUGAUGGGAACAUUUGGAUAUCUUCCUCCUGAAUACAUUGCAACAGGUGAUUGCAAUGAGAAGUGUGAUGUUUAUAGUUUUGGUAUGUUGCUACUUGAGCUCUUGACUGGACAGAGGGCGGUUGAUCGAGAAACUGAAGAUGGGUGGUUUUUGUCUGAUCGUGUGAGAAAAUAUAUUAAGAAGAGUAGGUUCACUGAGAUAGUGGAUCCCGAAAUUGUUGGAGAAAGAUUAUGCUCAGCAAAAGAGCAAAAAUUGAAAGCUUUCACAAGGCUGGCCUUCAAUUGUCUCUCUGUAUCAGCAGAUGAUAGACCUACAAUGGUAGAUGUGGCAAAACAACUUAGGCUAAUGCAUCGUUCUGAAAUGUAAUUUUAUGAAGCAUAUAUUCCUAGUUUCUUCAUCUGUUCUUUCUCUCUCUUGUUGCUACGAUCAUGUCAUUCUAUCAUACUUCAUAUGGCAUGUCGAAUAACUAUACCACAAUUGGUACUCCGAGAUAAAUUUAAUUUAACUUCACUUUUUUAAUUUCUUCAUAAUUCUACUUUACUUGAAUGGUUGUGAAUUUUUUGUUAAGAUUUUAAUUUCAAAAGAAUUAUGUAACAUAUGCAUUUUGAUUUUUACUAAUUAAGUGUAUGAUUUAAUUUUUCCUCUUCGAUAUUAAUUUUAAAAUUGUCACAACAUUAAAUCAAGAUAAAUUGAGCACGAUUAAAAGCUCAGGUAGUCGGAUUUUAUUUUCGUCACGGGUCUAGUAUUAGCUUAAUUUGUAUUAAGCUUAAGUGAAAAAAAAAAAAGAAGCUGGUUUCUAUAAAUGGAAAGUGGGAGACUGGUUUUCAAAAAAGGAAAGAAAGAGGGGCACGUGAGAGAGAAGGAGAGAGAGAGAUUGAUCCGGUUUGACCCGCAAAACCGACCCGACCCGUGACCUUGACCCAGACGGAUCUCGCGAUUCGGGCCACCUCACCGGCCGAGCUUGGUACCGGUCGGAAGCUUGGAAGCCGGCCGUCAUAACCCAGCCGUCCUCGUUGCCGGAAAACGGCAAGAAUACCGACGAUCGAAGCUCGAAAAGACGCGGCAAAAACCCAUCAUCAUCGCCGUCUAUUUCGCCGGAGUUUGGGCACGCCUCCAGCUGGGUUCUACUCCUCACGUCACCAUCAUCAUUUUCCGACCAACCUUGCCACCUGAAACGGCCGGAUUGUUGACGAUCGGCCACUUGGAAAGCUCGGGCCUUUGGGAGCACGAUCCGCCGCCAUCGCCGCGCGUGGUAAGUCACCGCCGGCACCAUUGGACUCACCGAGGUCUGAACCAUCAGACCUAAGCUUCCUGUCGUCGUUGACUGAAGUCUGGUCACCGUUGACCGGCAGGGGCAAUUCGGUAAAUUCAUAAAACCUUAGGGUGAAUUUGUAAUUUAUGGAAUCAGUGGAUAAUUUGGUAAUUUUAGGUUAAGGCAGUGAGGUAAUUUGAGAUUUCGAGGGUAAUUCAGUAAUUUAAGUCGUUAAGGACAUUUUGGUAAUUUUACGCUCCGAGUGUAAUUUCAUAAUUUCUGAUAUUGUGGUAAUUUCGUGAUCUGAAUUGAGGACAAUUUAGUAAUUGAAGAUUUUGAGGAUAAUUUUGGUAAAAUAAUGAUGUUGUGGGCAUUUUGGUAAUUUUGGCAUGCAUGGGUAUUUUGGUAAUUUUGUGCAUGCGGGAAUAGUUUAUUGUGGAUAGAUAUUCGUUUUGAGAAUUAUUAUGUAAAAUUUGUUGUAUUUCAAAUUUACUGUGAAUGAUUAUGUUGUUUCCUUGAUUAGGAGGAUCCGUGAACGAGAAUCAACCCGCGGACGUUGUUGAUACCGAGUCUGGACUUCGUCACUGUGAGCAGAAUAUACAAAACCUAUUUUCAUAGUAUAUUCUGAUUUUACCAUACAGUACAACAUGUUUUUUAUGCUUCGAUUUAAUGAUUUUCUAGACAAUUGAUUUUUUAUUUACGUGUUGAUAUUUAUUGUUAUCAAGAAUGAGUUUGAUUAAUGAUUUUAUUGUCAUUUUUGAGUAAAUGCAUGGUAUUAGAAUUUAGUGGAUUUGAGAUAUGUUAAAUAAAAAGAAAAUGAGAUUUCAGAUGUGAUUAUAUGUUUAUGAACAUGUGUAUAAAAAGUUGUUUGGAAAAUCAUUGGACAAUACCCUUUCCCUCCAGAUACAGAGAUACAGAUAAUACGAGAUGAAUACAGAGAUACAAAUGAGAUGAGAUAGAGGCAUUUGGGGCCUGUUUGAACACACAUAGAGACUUUGGGCCGUGUGUUUGGGCGCUUUUACCUUUUGGGGGCUUAUGCAUGCAGUAUGAUGAUUACAAAGAUACAGAUGUUGAGAUACAUGAGAUACGAGAUGAGAUUUCCCUAUCUAUCCGUUGUAGCUCCGGGGCAUGAUGGUUCCCUGAUUGCCCGUCCGUCGAGGUCCGGAUAUGAUGAGAUCAUUCCUCUGGGUACUUGUUUGAUGAUAGUUUUUGGUAUUAUAAGUAUUAUGAUUUCAUUGAUUUUAUUCAGAUUUAUGUAAUAUAGUUAUUUCAGUGACUGAUUUGAAUUGAAUAUGUUUAUAUAAGUUAUGAUAUUUUGAUGAAAUUGAUUUGAGAAAAAUUAAAUCAUUUUAAAUAAAUUUAUUUUUCAAAAACUACUAUCCACUCACUGAGCUCACUGAGUUUUAUACUCACCUCAUUUUUAUUAUAUUUCCCCCCACAGGAGAUUUGCAGGUACAUUAGUUGACCCAGCAACGAUAGUUAGAUUUGAAAUUGUGGCCACGUGAUGGUGCUAGGAGUCGUAGAUUUAAUAUUUUUAUAUUUGAGAUAUUGCGAAUUGUAUGUAUUUGUUAUAUUUUGUAAUUAAGGAUAACCAUUAUAUUUUAAUAUUAGAAUGAUUUGGGUGAUAUUUGGUAUGUUGACUUGAGAAGUUAGUUAUGAAGGAUGGAUGAAUAUUGAAUUAUUUUUAGCGUAUUUUUUGUAAAUUGUAGGUUUGGGGAUGUUUUAUUUAUAGGGGAGAUUUUGUCAAAUUUUUGAUAAAAUUCUUAGAUAUCAUAAUUAUUAUUGAUUCGAUUAUACGAGUUUAGAUAGACCCGCCCUGGAGUACGGGACGGGUCGUUUCAAAUUAUUCGUUUGCAUCACAAACAAUUAUGUGUAACAAAAAUUCCCAUAGGCCGAGUUCGAUUGGAUGUGACUUCGCUUUCAAUCCAAUCACCUGAGUUCAAGUAAAAUUUUGAGACAAGGAUUAAUGUUUAGCAGGUAGUUUUCAUUAAUUUCUAUCCCUAACUUGUGUGUGUGUAUUGGUGUUUACCUGUGUCUAUUUUGAUUACCCACUAAAUUCCUUUGUUUUUAAUCAAAUUUCAAACAAAGGAUGGAUUAAUGACCCCUUCAAAAUUACACAGGUUUUACACGAAUUUUAAACCAUUAGAUCAAAGAUUGAAGAUUAUAUAAAUAUUAAAUUACACGGAACACUAAGUUUUGCACAUUAAUUUCUAUGAUUUUUUCCUUAUUCUCUCUUCUCAACCUUUUUUUUUUCUUUUUUUACUGUUCUUUCUCAUUCAGCUCAACUCUCCAUUUUCUUAUUUGUUCUUGUUCUCUCUCUCUCUCUCUUUUUGAAAGGAAAUCCCAUUUAAUUUUGGAAUAAAAAGUUAUUCAAUAUGUUCGUUUUUUUAUAUCUGUAGCAUAAACUUGUGUGAUUUGAAGGUGCCAUUGAUCAUUUCUCACUCAAGUAGAGGAAUUUCAAAUAUAUUUAAAAUUAGAUAGACUUCCUAGAGGGCCGAGUUCUUUUUUGGAAUGUAUUUAUUUACUUUCUAUCAUGAUUUAUAAAUAUCUCGAAGAUGUCGUUGAAAAGACAAAUCAAUUAAUAAUUACUUCAAUGACAUAUUGAUUUGAGUAUGACUACUAUUUACUUAGUAAUUACUUUGCACGACAAAUCAACUUGAGUAUGAUUGCUAAUGAUUCUGACCAGAUUAAUUAUAUCCAGGGCACAUCAAUUAAGUUUUUUUCUCAAACUAUAUCAUCGGCAUUUGCCGUCAUGGUGAAAAUUCUAUUUCUCACGGUUGAUAGUUUUGUUUAGCAUUUUAUAUCCAAUUUUGGACACAACAGUAAGUUGCAUUCUCAUUUUAGAGACAAAUACCAAAUCAAAAGGAAAAUAUUAAAUAUUAUUUAUGAUAAAAAUACAUAGGAGGUGCCAUAGAGGAAGAGGCUGCAGUAGUCUUUUCAUUGAGUUUGGCAAGAAAAGAUUUAUGCAGAUUAUCAAUUGUUGCAUCCAUUUGAAGCAGCUCCUGAUGGUUAAGCUCAUCAACUGAAGUUUCCCACCAACGCGGCUGAGUCUCUUUCCCCCUCCUCAUCUGCUUCAACACCUUCUCCCGUUCCUUUUCCUCAUCCAAUUGGCGAAGCAGCUCAUUAUGCUGGUGAUUGAGUUCAUUAAUUCUCACCUGGCGGUGAGCCUCAGCCAGCGGAUGAGUGUUGUCAUUUGCUGCCUGGUUCAACCCCACGAAGCGGUUUGCAACAGCUUCAAUGGAAGGGUGGCCGAAUGAGAAAGGCUUUCCAGACUGUGAGAACACCAGAAUGGCAAUCUCAGAGCCCGUGAGAGUCACAAGCUCACUGGCCUUCUUGUAGAUCCCAGAUCUACGUUUUGAGAACGUGAUCAACCUACCAUCCUCACUCUCAAUCUUUUUCAUCUCAAUCUUUUGUCUCCCUUUGGUUUUCUUGUCUGCCAUUUCCAAAAUCAAUGAUAUCUGGCUAGUUUCUUUUUUAUGAACAAUGAUUUUCUCGUGCUCCGAUAUGGUCAUUUUGGGAUGAAUUUAUAAGAGGAAAGACGCGUAGAAUUAAUUAGUAUAAGGUAAGGAAUUUAUCUUACUAAGUUGUUACCUUAUUAUCUUACCAUGUUUUUCAAAAUCUAAUACAAGGUGUAAAGUUACUAAAUGAGAUACCUAAAACCCCAAAGAAUUUAAUUCAUUAACAAUUAUAAAAAGAAAAUAGGAUGAGGUAACAACUAGGAAUAGAUAAAUUCAUGACCUUACUAACUAAUUCUUUGUGUCUUUCCUCGUAUAAAUUCACCAGAAAGUUACCAUAUCAUCAAAGCACAUGAAAACCACUGUACUGCUCAUAAAACAUAAAUUAGGCAAGCACAUUCAUUUUGGAAAUGGCAGCCAACAAAAAUUUAUUGAGCUUAUUAUAUAUGGUAGUAAUGCGCCAUAGAUGUGUGACAAAAAAGGGAAAAGUUUUAAAAAUGUAUCUAAUAUUUUUGCAAAUCAAAAUGUCACUCUAGUCUGUACUAAUUAAUAACCUCAUUGUCAGCUAAAAUAUAAAACAAACUAAUGAAAAUAAAGAUUUCGUUCACCAAAAACUUAUGUCGUACAUAUGUAUAUGUACGCAUAUGCCGUAUUUUACUAAAAGUAAUGCUAGAAUCAUAAACUCUUUGCAUAAACUAUUUUCUCUACAAAGUGAAGUGGAAUAACAUUAGUAAGUACAUGGAUCAUGGGAUAUUUCCAAUCACCUUUAACUGUUAUACCACAAAUAUUUGUAGAAAAUAGCUUGUACAAAGAAUUUGUGGUAAAUUCUACAUAUUAGAAAAUAUUAGGUGCUCUCUUGUGUUUUCCCUCUGCUAUUGAUUUUUUUUCAUGGGAAACAUGCAUGAGUUAAGAAUUCAACUAGAGACAAUCUACACGUCGAAUGAAACUACUGAAUAUGUUUUUUUUUUUUUUUGUUUAAAUACUCAUAAUUUUUAAAAAUCAAUUUAACUGAUAUUAAGCCAUCAGUAAAUGAUAAAAUAUAUUAUUAUUAAAAAUCAAUAAUUAAUGAUGUAAUAUAAUUUUGAAAAAAAAAGUACCGUGACAUCGUCACCACAGCUAAUGGCUCUGUUGGUAUCGUUGGGAAUGGCGCAAUGACCGGCGAUGAGAUUUAGAGAUCUGCAAAACAGUGAGAUUGUUAUUGGCAAAAUAGCAUCAUGAUGCAGGCACACAUUUCUCCCAGAAGUUGUAGGUCAACAUAAUAUUGUCAAUGAAGCUUAGUGGCUGAACAGCGUUGUAAUGGAUACCAUCAAAUUUAAAAUGUCGAGAACUACAAUUCGAUGCCAACCAAAGAGGCACAGUGAGGGCGUUCAUGCGUCCUUAAAGUGGUAGGCCAGUAUAAUGUGACUGGUGAGGAGGUAGUGAUCCAGCGAUAAAGGAAAUAAUAAAUACGUAACACCAGACUCAAAUUUUUUAAUUCUACACAUCGACACCAGAAGAAAUAGGAACGAUGUCGAUGUAGGCGUGCAUGCCUCCAAAAGUGAAUGGGCAAUAUAAUGAAGUCAGCAAUGUGGUCGAUUGGAUGACGAGAUAUUGAGACUGUGAUUGGCAAAAGAGACACAAUUAAGUCUCGCAUACCUUGCAAAAGUGGUCGAUCGCUCAAUGUAGUGUCAUCUUCAAAUCGUGGGGAAUAAGUCUGAAAAGGAAAAUAGGAAAAUCAAUGACAAAAAUAAAAAUAUAACUAAUAUCAAAUGUUAACAAAGAAUGAGAAUUAAGGGAAAACUUGACAUACUUGACACUAGCUAGCUUUUUGGAUUUGCAAGCGUGUCUGUUUGUUUUGAUUCUUAAUCAUGAUUUUCAUGUUAAAACCUAAUCAAUCAAAAUCCCUAGAAAUUCACACAAAGAUGAACCCAAUCACCUUCUCUUCAAUAAAACUAAAUAAAUAAAUAAUUCUUAUAUUUUGCUAGUACUAAAAAUAUUGAAGCUUGACCCGAGUUUAAGGAAAAUGUUAAAUCUUUAUAGGGAAAAGUGCGUAAAAUACACGUACUUAUGCACGCGCUUGAAUGCGUAAUAUGCAUAAAUGUAAAUACAACUAUGUUCUAUUAAAAAUUACUAAUUGGAGUUCUCAUGGUUAUUAAUUGAAGCAUGUUACAGAUAAGUUAACUCCAAUUUGCCUAGUUAGCGAACAACAAUAGAACAACAAUAUUUGGGAUAGCAUAAUGUAGCCCCCUAUGUUUUCAACAAGUGACAUCAACACUUCCUUUUGAAUAUUAUACCAUUUGUUUCUCUCAAACCAAAAAUUUAUUUAUGAUAUUUUACUAGAAUUAUAAUAUUAAAAUAAAUGAAAUAAUAUAUGCAUUUUAAUAUAUUUUCAAUAUUAUAAAAAAUAUUUUAAUAUUUGACAAUUUGUUAGACAUAUUUUACCAUACUAAAGUAAAUUUCAGAAUAAAUAGAAAUGUAUCAUUAAAAUAAGUGUAUAAAAAUUUUAGUCAUUUAAAAUUAUUAUAUAAAAUAAUUUUAAUAUUAUUAAUACAUUAAAUAUAUUUUGUUAAUUGUAAAAUUUAUGUAACCCAAAGAUUUAUUUACAAUCUCUAUAAUAAAUACAAAUAUAUUAUUAAAAUAAAUAUAAUAAUUUAAAAUUUUAAAAUUAUUGUAAAUAUUAAAAAUAUUACUAUUAUUAUUAUUAAGAUUAAAUUAUUUAUAUUUAUUAUUUGAGUCUUUUAAAAUUAGUUAUCUAAAAUGGGAUGGAUAUACCCAAGUUGCAGAUUGGAAAUAUCCCCACCAUUUUAGACACCCAAUAAGGUAGUGCAUAUAUUUUAAAAAACUUCAGAUCCCCACAGACAGGUGCCAACCCAAAAAUAUAUAUUGGGUGUUUAAAAUGGUGGGGAUAUUGCCAAUCUGCAAUUUGGGUAUAUCGGUAAUUAUAAAUACUUGAAUAGUGGGUUUACUCCUUAAUUAUUUCUAUAUAUGGAUACUAUUUUACCAAUAUUUGAAUUUUUUUUAUUUGUUACCUAAUUAGCCUCACACUCACUCCAGUAAUUAUUAAAAUUUAAAGGCUUUUGGUUGUCAGCAAUUAAUAAAUCUUUCCGAAAUUAUGCUGGGCAAAACAGCAAAAAAUUGCAAGCUUUUGGUUGUCAUCAAUUAAUUUAUCUAUCUAUAUGAGUACGUGAUAGACCUUCAAAUGGUAGAUGUGCGAAAACAACUUAGGCUGAUUCUGAAAUGAAGAUUUUAAGGCAUUUAUACUUUAUGCAUCUUUUCUUUCUCUCUCUUGCUGCUAGGACUACGAUCACGUCAUCCUAUCAUACUCCAAAUGCUUGUUCAAUAAACGUGCCAUAAUCGCAAUUCCAUUUUGCUAUGUUAAAUUCUUUAGAACGAUAAUCUUGUAAAUAUAUCUUCAAUUUACCCCUACCUAGGGGGAGAAUAUUUAAUUUACCACCUACUUAAAAUGACGAUCUUCAAUCUACUCUAUAAAAGUGUGAAAAUAUCAAUUUAUCGGCAUUUACCACACACACACACACACACACACAUAUAUAUAUAAUAGUUUUUUGGUCAGGGAUCUUAAAGUGUGGAAAAGUUCAGGAAAGCUUCAAAACUGUACAGUUUUAAAACAUUGUGAAAUUAACAUUAUAAAA
rnacentral:lncRNA from 1 species